rnacentral:lncRNA from 1 species
AAAAUCUGAUCGGUGAAGAUAAGAAAACGGAGACCAUGGGAAUUCUUCUAGUCCUGUUUACAGCUUCUUUAUGCCUCUACCUUUUCGUUGCUUUGCUCAAUGUUUUCUACAAGUAUUGGUGGAUACCUCAACGGGUACAGUUCGCCAUGAAUUCACAGGGAAUCAGAGGACCUCCUUAUGAAUUUAUCCAUGGAAACAACAAAGAAGCUGCCCAAAUGCUCAUGGAAGCAUCUACCAAACCUAUGGGCUUGACACACGAUAUAUUUCCCAGAGUCGUGCCUCAUGUUUACUCCUGGAUCAACAAAUACGGUGAGAAUGUCUUUUUUUUCUUUUUUGGGUAGUAUUUUCUGAUUAACCUCCACUUUCCAUGAAGAGAAAUCACUUUCUUUCAGGGAGCACUUUUCUUAGUUGGAAUGGAAUUCGAGCUCAACUGCAAAUUACAGACCCAGAUCUGGUCAAAGAGGUCCUUAAAAACAGUGACAAAGCUUUUCGAAAGCCAAAGACUUCAUAUUUCUUCGUCAAGCUAAUAGGCGAUGGGCUUGCUUCAACCGAACGUGAGAAAUGGGCAAGGCAAAGGAAACUGGCCAAUUAUGCCUUUCAUGGGGAGAGCUUAAAAGUAAAUCAUCUCUACCUUCUAAUCUAAUUAUUGUAGUGGACAUUUACAAACUUGAUAAUUUUUUGCAGAAUAUGACUCCAGCAGUAGUUGCUAGCGUUGAAACCAUGCUUGAGAAAUGGAAAAGUAAGGAGGGCAAAGAGAUAGAAGUGUUCCAAGAGUUCAGAUUAUUGACUUCAGAAGUGAUAUCCAGAACCGCCUUUGGUAGCAGUUACUUGGAAGGGGAGAAGAUUUUUGACAUGCUGAUGAAGUUGACAGUAAUUGCAGGCAGAAAUAUUUUUAAAGCAAAGAUUCCCAUCAUCAGGUAACUUCAUCAAAUCUUUACUUUGUUAAUCAACAUACUUCAGCUUACAAUGGGUUGAUUUAAUCUGGUUGUCCUUUUCAGCAAGUUUUGGAAAUCUGCUGAUGAAAUUGAAUCAGAAAGAAUUGCCAAAAUGAUACAUGAUUCUGUGAUGAGGAUUGUUAAAAAAAGGGAAGAGAGAGUAGUGAACGGAGAAGCUGAUAACUUCGGUCGUGAUUUUCUGGGAUUACUUAUAAAUGCUUAUCAUGAGGCGGACCAGAAAAACAGGCUUUCGAUUCAAGAUUUGGUAGAUGAGUGUAAAACUUUUUAUUUUGCUGGGCAAGAAACAGUCAAUUCCUUGCUGGCAUGGGCAACUCUGCUUUUAGCAAUACACACCGAUUGGCAAGACAAAGCAAGAGCAGAGGUGAUUGAGGUCUUUGGUAAUCAAAACCCAGAUUCUGAAGGGAUGGCCAAAUUAAAGACGGUAAGCAAACUAUACAAAUUCAAUAGCUUGAAAACUAACACUGACCAUUUAUAUUGCCUUUUGGAUUUUUUUUUUCUCCAACAGAUUACCAUGAUUAUCAAUGAAACUUUACGGCUCUAUCCUCCUAUAAAUCGCGUGAUAAGAGAAGUAGGAAGAGAAGUCCAAUUAGGAAAACUUGUCCUGCCUACUCAUUCAGAGGUCGACAUGCAAAUCAUAGCACUUCACCAUGACCCUGACUUAUGGGGAGAUGAUGUUAACCUUUUCAAACCAGAGAGGUUUGCUGAAGGGAUAGCGAAAGCUACUAAGUACAAUGCAGCUGCAUUUAUGCCUUUUGGAUUGGGACCUCGAUCUUGCGUAGGCAUGAGCUUUGCAAUCACUGAAGUGAAAACUGCACUUUCCAUGAUUCUGCAACGCUAUACUUUCACCGUCUCCCCUACCUAUGUUCACGCACCUGCACCACGUCUUUCACUCAAGCCACAACAUGGGAUUCAGUUGUUGUUUCAUUCACUACAUUAUGAUGCUUAAAAUUCUAGGCUGUUGGUCUCCAAUAUUGUAAUAUAUAAUAAAAUGUGGAUGAUACUGUAUUUUGCAACCAUACGAUGAUAUAUGGUUUGGGGAUUUCAUGUUUUGGCAACAAGAUUAUAUGCUUUUUGUUGUUGUUGAUAUUGUUAAAGGUUAAAAAGGUAUUACAGCAAACAUCGCCACCGCAGGAGCAGGCCCUACGGUCCACCAAAGAGAAAUCAAUUCAAACUACCCCAAAAAGCUGGAACGGCAGCAGCAAAUCGAGUCAGCUCCCUGAACAUCAUACAGCAACACAGAAAGAAGAACAUCACAACCCAGUCAUAUACACGCCAUGAAGACAUUGGACUCCACAUUUUGCUAAAGUAUCAGCAAAGCAGCUAGAUUCUUUAUACACAUUCACAAUGGAGACAUUAUGGGAUCUCAUCACAGAGCUUAGAAUAUGACCCAUCCAGCAUUUGAGAAACAGUGAAGAUGUCAAGUCCAGGAGCUCCAAACAAUGCCUUGGCCGCUGGAUCCUAUAAUUAGGUGUCUUUCUUCCAUUACUACUGCAGUAGUGAAGUUUUUAUUCCACUUGGUUCCCAUCUUCCAGAGUUUCUGCUUGAAACACUCACUCCUGGAGCCGGCCAUUACAUUGCUUGUUAGCUUUCAUGGAAGGCUCGAAGCUCAUUAGACCAGAAACAUUGUUACUUUGCCUAUGUAUCUAUUUGACAUAUUCUCUUAAGGAAGAGCUACUUAUAUCAAGGCUCCAUCUUUCUGAGUUGCAGGGCAAAAGUCCGUUCUCCAUGCAAAACUACCCAUUUCCACUAAAGCACACUAGCUUUCGCCAUCCCAUCCGCGAAAAAACCUGAAAUGAUACACCAGAAACUCCCUCAAGACAGACAGAGCCAAGUCACUUUCUCGCUAAUCCCCAUUGAACCCUCCAAUUAAGCAAAGCCAUUUCAUAUUUCAACCCAAUGGCCACCACAAUUGCCGUACAAAAUUUACAAAUUAAAAUGCAAAAAGUAAUACAGAAAAAUACACAGCCCAAGCUCCAAUAGUAACAUAAACAUUCAUUUUAUAACAAUAAAGUUAAAGCCACGAAUAUUUUCAAAAAAAUUCAAUUAAGCCCUUGAAUGUUAAAAUUUCAAUCAAUUAAGCUCUUUGAUAGUUAAAGUUAACAGUUAAUUGUUAUAGUUAAAAUUUCAAUCAAUUAAGGUACGGUGUAGCGUUUGUUUACCCAUCGUUUAACCAUGUGGUUGAAGGUUCGAUCCCCACUUAUGGAAAUGAAGCACAUUUCAUAGUCAGUCAUUUACCUAUUUGGAGAGCACUUAUAGUGAGAAGAUUAACUACUGUUGUUGUUGGUGAAUUCCCUGAUUAUUACAAAUAAAAAAUAACAAUUGUCAUUUUUUUUGGAUUAUUUUUGCCACGUGCCAUGCUAAGAUUGUGCCACGUGGUAUAAAAUUAUAAAAAUCAUAUAAAAAUUAUACAAGAAUUAUAAAAAUGAAUAAAAUUAGAAAAAAUAUAUAAAAAAUCUAUUUUUAAAAGGUUAAUAAAUUUAAUAUUUUAUUAUUUUGAAAAGGAUAAUAAAUUUUUAAAAGGUUUUUUUAUUCUUAAAUUUUUAAGGGCUAUUUAAAUUUAAUUUCAAAAUAAAGCAUGCCUAAUAUAUAAAUAGACAUUUAAUUGGUGUCCAACAGGAAUGGCGUCACUCCUAUUUUUCAUCUAGUUUAAAAAUGAUAAUUAAUUCAUCAGGUGUCUGAACAUUUUUAUUUAUUCUUCAAUUCAAUGUCACAAAAAACAAUGACAACAUCCAAAAUAUUUUUUUUUUUUAAAAUGAGUCACCGACAUUUAUGGUUUAAAAUGAGUUUCAAAAUAAGUUAUUUUUAUAAAUAAUUAAAAGUUUUGGGUAUUUUUAAUAAAAAAAGCCUAAGUUUGAUGAAUGGCGUCAGCCAUUAUGUAGGUCUACUUAAUACGAAAACGACGGCUUGAUUUUGUUGGCCAAAAGGAAAGUACCUUUUGGGUUUUGCUUUGCCCAAAUGCUAGCAAAGUCUUUGCAUGCAUUUGUUUGAUUGGAAAAGUGAGAAAUAGAUGAACAUGGUAAGCACAAAUUCUAGACAUUACCAUAUCACCUAUAAAAUUUAGUUAUCUUUUUAAUUUCUUUUGGUGUAUUAUAAAAAAAAAAUUCUAAUAACACGACUUGAAUCAAAUCAUAUCUUAGUCAAGAGAUGGGGUUAUUUUAAUUUUUGUUUAUAAAAAAAAAAUCUUGUUCAUUGAGGGCCCUAGUAGGAGGUAUUGAAUAAUAACUAGAAGUCAAAUCCUGCACGCUUCCCAUUUCUGUGUAUUGAAUUGGCUGUAAUUUUCAAAGGACAUGAACCUUGAAGAGGGACAAGUGUAGUCUCUUGAUGAUAAAUGUGUUGACUGUCACCUUGCAAAACCCAGAUUACCAUAACAGAUGCAAAAUCUGAUCGGUGAAGAUAAGAAAAUGGAGACCAUGGGAAAUCUUCUAAUCCUGUUUACAGCUUCUUUAUGCCUCUAUCUUUUCGUUGCUUUGCUCAAUGUUUUCUACAAGUAUUGCUGGAUACCUCAACGGGUACAGUUCAUCAUGAAUUCACAAGGAAUCAGAGGACCUCCUUAUGAAUUUAUCCAUGGAAACAACAAAGAAGCUGCCCAAAUGCUCAUGGAAGCAUCUACCAAACCUAUGGCCUUGACACACGAUAUAUUUCCCAGAGUCAUGCCUCAUGUUUACUCCUGGAUCAACAAAUACGGUGAGAAUAUGUUUUUUUUAUCUUUUUUGGGUAGUAUUUUCUGAUUAACCUCCACUUUCCAUGAAGAGAAAUCAUUUUCUUUCAGGGAAGACUUAUCUUAGUUGGAAUGGAAUUCGAGCUCAACUGCUAAUUACAGACCCAGAUCUAGUCAAAGAGGUCCUUAAAAACAGUGACAAAGCUUUUCGAAAGCCAAAGGCUUCAUAUUUCUUCGACAAGCUACUAGGCGAUGGGCUUGCUUCAACCGAACGUGAGAAAUGGGCAAGGCAAAGGAAACUGGCCAAUUAUGCCUUUCAUGGGGAGAGCUUAAAAGUAAAUCAUCUCUACCUUCUAAUCUAAUUAUUGUAGUGCGACAUUUACAAACUUGAUCAUUUUUUGCAGAAUAUGACUCCAGCAGUAGUUGCUAGCGUUGAAACCAUGCUUGAGAAAUGGAAAAGUAAGGAGGGCAAAGAGAUAGAAGUGUUCCAAGAGUUCAGAUUAUUGACUUCAGAAGUGAUAUCCAGAACCGCCUUUGGUAGCAGUUACUUGGAAGGGGAGAAGAUUUUUGACAUGCUGAUGAAGUUGUCAGUAAUUGCAGGCAGAAAUAUUUUUAAAGCAAAGAUUCCCAUCAUCAGGUAACUUCAUCAAAUCUUUACUUUGUUAAUCAACAUACUUCAGCUUACAAUGGGUUGAUUUAAUCUGGUUGUCCUUUUCAGCAAGUUUUGGAAAUCUGCUGAUGAAAUUGAAUCAGAAAGAAUUGCCAAAAUGAUACAUGAUUCUGUGAUGAGGAUUGUUAAAAAAAGGGAAGAGAGAGUAGUGAACGGAGAAGCUGAUAACUUCGGUCGUGAUUUUCUGGGAUUACUCGUAGAUGCUUAUCAUGAGGCGGACCAGGAAAACAGGCUUUCGAUUCAAGAUAUGGUAGAUGAGUGUAAAACUUUUUAUUUUGCUGGGCAAGAAACAGUCAAUUCCUUGCUUGCAUGGGCAACUCUGCUUUUAGCAAUACACACCGAUUGGCAAGACAAAGCAAGAGCAGAGGUGAUUGAGGUCUUUGGUAAUCAAAACCCAGAUUCUGAAGGGAUGGCUAAAUUAAAGACGGUAAGCAAACUAUACAAAUUCAAUAGCUUGAAAACUAGCACUGACCAUUCAUAUUGCCUUUUGGAUUUUUUUUUCUCCGAUAGAUUACCAUGAUUAUCAAUGAAACUUUACGGCUCUAUCCUCCUAUAAGUGGCGUGAUAAGAGAAGUAGGAAGAGAAGUCCAAUUAGGAAAACUUGUCCUGCCUACUCAUUCAGAGGUCGACAUGCGAAUCAUAGCGCUUCACCAUGACCCUGACUUAUGGGGAGAUGAUGUUAAUCUUUUCAAACCAGAGAGGUUUGCUGAUGGGAUAGCGAAAGCUACUAAGUACAAUGCAGCUGCAUUUAUGCCUUUUGGAUUGGGAUCUCGAUCUUGCGUUGGCAUGAGCUUUGCAAUCACCGAAGCGAAAACUGCACUUUCCAUGAUUCUGCAACGCUACACUGUGACCGUCUCCGCUAACUAUGUUCACGCUCCUGUACUACGUCUUACACUCAAGCCGCAACAUGGGAUGCAGUUGUUGUUUCAUUCACUACAUUAGGAUGCUUAAAAUUCUAGGCUGUUGGUCUCCAAUAUAGUAAUAUAUAAUAAAAUGUGGAUGAUACUGUAUUUUGCAACCAUACUAUGAUAUAUGGUUUGGGGAUUUCAUGUUUUGGCAACAGGAUUAUAUGCUUUUUUUUUGUUGUUGAUAUUGUUAAAGGUUAAAAGGGUAUUACAGCAAACAUCGCCACCGCAGGAGCAGGCCCUACAGUCCUGUGAAUAACAUAAUUUGGUGUCUUUCUUCCAUUACUACUGCAGUAGUGAAGUUUUUAUUCCACUUGGUUCCCUUCUUCCAGAGUUUCUGCUUGAAACACUCACUCCUGGAGCCGGCCAUUACAUUACUUGUUUAGCUCUCAUGGAGGGCUCCAAGCUCAUUAGACCAGAAACAUUGUUCCUUUGCCUAUGUAUCUUUUUGACAUAUUCUCUUAAGGAAGAGCUACUUAUAUCAAGGCUCCAUCUUUCUGAGUUGCAGGGCAAAAGUCCGUUCUCCAUGAAAAACUACCCAUUUCCACUAAAGCACACUAGCUUUCGCCAUCCCAUCCGCCAAAAAACCUGAAAUGAUACACCAGAAACUCCCUCAAGACAGACAGAGCCAAGUCACUUUCUCGCUGAUCCCCAUUGAACCCUCCAAUUAAGCAAAGCCAUUUCAUAUUUCAAGCCAAUGGCCACCACAAUUGCCGUACAAAAUUUAGAAAUUAAAAUGCAAAAAGUAAUACAAAAAAAUACACAGCCCAAGCUCCAAAAUGCAAGAAAGUACAUUUAAAAUAUGAGCCAAAUUUAGAUUUCAAUUUAAAAAUUUGAAUUUAAUUCGUUUUUAAAUUUGUAAUAUAGUAUAUUCAUUAUAAGAAAAAUAUGAAUUGUCAACCUUUAAAUUUAUUGUUAAAUGUUGUACUACCAUUAAAAAAAUUUUAUUGUAACAGCAAAAAAAUCGUUGUGAGGUCAUUGUGUAUACCUCCAUUGUAUAAAAUAUGCACAACGAUUUUACAAAUUGAAAAAUCGUUUUAAUUAUAUACAUCGCAACAACUUUUUUCGUUUUAAAAUAUAUAUUUUUUGUAACAACUUAAUUUAUUUGUCUAAAAAUGUUUUAGUUAUAAUAAAAUUUGUUAUAAUAUUUUUAACACAACCAUAAUACUUUAGUUACAAAAAACUAUUAUGUAACAAUAAUAUAUUGGUUGUAAUAUAAAAUUUGCAACAACUGUAAAUUAAAAUGCUAAGUUUUGUACGUAACAAUAAUAAUACUGAUAUGUCAUUGUAUUACAUUACUCAAUGAUUAUAUGUCAUUGCCAAAAAAAUAUUUUAAUAACCAUAAAAUGUGGUUGCCAAAUCAUUUACUUAAGAAUAAUACUACUGAUUACUAAAUAUUAUUCUGCAACUAUUUUAAUUUGUUGUGUACUACAUUGCGCAACAACAAUGUUAUUUUUAAUCAAAUGGCUAUAUAUAAUUUAAUAAAAUUAAAAAAAAAGUUUCUUCAUCCUCUAACUUAAUAAAAUAAAAUAAAAAAUUCAUGUUAGAUUGAAUUGAUCUUGAGGUUAUAUAUAGUCAUUGGCCAUGUCAAAGAGAAUAGCUCUACCAAAAUAAAAAAUUUAUUUUUUAUUAAAAAAUUUUUUUAAAAAAAAUUAAUUGCAGCAUAGUAACCGUCAUUCUCUAUGACUCUAUCAAAUAAAAUAAUAAUUUUAAUUUCAAAUUAAAAAUAAAAAUCACUUUAAAAAAUUUGACAUAAUAAAAGUGGUGUGACCAAUUUAUUUGGCUCCUGAAAUAUUAUUAUUUAUUUUCUAGUUCCCAAAAUAUUUAAAAAUAUUGGUGUCAGAGUGGUAUUUAUACGGGUGAAGCCAAAUAAAUUAACUUUACCUACAAAAAUUAAUUUUUGUUAUAAAAUAAAGAGAUGGAGAGAAUGAAGAACAAAUAAAAUAUGAAAGCAAUAGAGAAUGUACUUUAUUGAUCAAAGGGAUGAUUACAAUGUUUCAUCAGAGUCUCUAUUUAUAGGCAUAAGAAGUAUAAAAGAAGUAGAGAUCUAAUUCUAAUAACUAUUAGAAUUUAAAGUAUAUCAAAACUUUAUCUUGAUCAUGAUGGACAUCCACUAAAUAAGAUAUUUAUAACACUCCCCCUUAGAUGUCCAUUGGUGGAUAAUUUGCCUCGUUAAAACUUUAUUAGGAAAAAUCUUGUGGGAUAAAAACCCAAUGAAGGAAAAAGAGUACACAAUCUUCUAUUACAAGUUGUCUCAUUAAAAAUCUUUACGAGGAAAACCCAAUGGGACAAUACAUUGGUUAAAGGAAAGGAGUACAACUUAUUUUAGACUCCCCCUAAUGGCAACAUUACAUUACAUCUUUGAGUUGACGCAUUCUAAUCUUGUGUAGUAGUCUUUGAAAUGUUGAAGUUGGCAAUGCCUUAGUAAAAACAUAUGCUAAAUUAUCACUAGAAUGAAUUUGUUGAACAUUUAUAUCACCUCUUUUCUCAAGAUCAUGGGUGAAGAAUAAUUUUGGCGAAAUAUGUUUCGUUCUAUCACCUUUGAUGUAACCACUCUUCAAUUGAGCCAUACAUGUUGCAUUAUCUUCAUAUAAGAUAGUUGGCAUCUUUUCCUAUAAAGGCAAAUUACAUAUCUUCUGGAUAUGUUGGGUCAAUAACCUUAGUCAAACACACUCUCGACUUGCCUCAUUCAUUGCAAUUAUUUCUAAAUGAUUUGAAGAAGCAACAGCUAAUGUUUGCUUUGUCAAACGUCAUGAUAUGGUAGUAGUCUUUGAAAUGUUGAAGUUGGCAAUGCCUUAGUAAAAACAUAUGCUAAAUUAUCACUAGAAUGAAUUUGUUGAACAUUUAUAUCACCUCUUUUCUCAAGAUCAUGGGUGAAGAAUAAUUUUGGCGAAAUAUGUUUCGUUCUAUCACCUUUGAUGUAACCACUCUUCAAUUGAGCUAUACAUGUUGCAUUAUCUUCAUAUAAGAUAGUUGGCAUCUUUUCCUAUAAAGGCAAAUUACAUAUCUUCUGGAUAUGUUGGGUCAAUAACCUUAGUCAAACACACUCUCGACUUGCCUCAUUCAUUGCAAUUAUUUCUAAAUGAUUUGAAGAAGCAACAGCUAAUGUUUGCUUUGUAUCUACAUAUAAAUACUAUUGUGACAUUUACUACUGGAAAUGUCUAAAUCUAUGUGAAGUCUAUAAUGCCACUAAGUCAAUAAAUAAAUAUAAUUUUCAAAUAAUUAUAUAUAAUAUUCGCUUUAGGGAAUAUGUUAAAAUCUUCAAAUAUAAGGCAUUUGGUCUAGUGGUAUGAUUCUAGCUUAGAGUGCGAGAGGUCCCGAGUUCGAUUCAAAAUAUAAAUAACUCAAUCCUCUUUUGAUUCAUAUCAAAUAUAAUCUUUUCCUCAUUCACAAUCUCAACAUGAGAUCCAUUAUGAAUAUAUUUUAAAACUAAUGCAUUAACCAUCACAAACUUUGUGCUUUUUAGAUAUUGAUAUAUUAGCUCUUCUAGAGCUUUUAACUAACUUUUUACUAUCAAAUAUUGGAAUAUAUUUGUUUAUUUCAGUACCAAAUAAGAUAAAUAUUUUCUAUUUGUAAUAAUAAAUUUUAUUACUACAUUCUCAUAUCCUUCCUUAAAGGAUAUUAUCAGAGACAAAAUAUUUGGGCAUACACCACAUAUGUGACCAGUAAUCUUUCAUAUCACAUUGGUAAUAUAAGUUAUAUUUACCCUUUGAAAAGUUAUCUUGAGAACUCUCAUUGUUCUCUUAUUUAUUACUAUGUUCCCACUUUUAGUGGUUCAUGAGUAUAUCUUUUAUUUUCUUUAUGUUUACAUUCACUUCGGGGAAUGCAACAAAUCUAGUAGGAUGGACUUAUAAACAUCCCAAUAGAUUCUUUAUUUCAUAAUCACCAUCGCAAACAUGUGUGAGAUUUCAAAUCAAAAUUUAUCUAUUCAUAUUGUCAUGAUUAGUCUCUAAUUAUAAUAAACAUGAUAUAAUAAAUAAAACAUAAUAAAAUAUACCUGAAGAUCUUUAACAUCGUCAUCAUAUUGACUAUUAUCACGAGCACUAUUACAAGUAGUAAAACAACUUUAUUUUCGUAAUAACAUUCACAAUCUAAUAGUAAAAAUCAUUUAAUAAAUAAUUAAAAUUUUCAUGUACGAUGCUUGAAAAUUAUCUGAUACACAUUGUAUCAAAUUUCGAUACCACAUAUAUGUUAUAAAAUCUUAUCUUGCUCUAAUAAAAUAUUUAUAAGUUCAAUUUAAAAAAUAUCAUACAAUUAUUCAAUAUUAGAAAGUUAAUAAGACUAAAUAGAUCCUAUCAAAUUUCCUUUCACUCAACAAUGGUAGCUUAAUAAGACUUUCCACCAUAAUUUUAAUAAAAUUUCAAGAAUAAAUAACAAGAAAAAAAAUUUAAACACAAAAAUAUUAUGCAUAAUAUAAUUUAAUUAAAAAAUAGAAAAAAUAACAUACCAUAUUAAUAGCAAACAUAUCUAAUCAAUAAUUAUGUCUUUUAAAUAAUAAAACUUUACCCCAAAAAGCCAAAAAUCAAAUACUAUCAGAAUGUGAAAUUUAUGUCAAAUAAAAAUUAAUAGUAGUUAUACCUUAAUCGAAAAAGAAAAUAUGGUCGAAAUAUAAAAGUUUCUUACCAAAUCUACACUUUACCCAUACUUGUACAAUAAACCAAAGAUCGAGAAUAAGAAUCACAAUCCAUUCUGAGAUUGAAUCUUUCAACAUCAUGAAGAUGAAGUUGUAAGGGAGAAAGUUUAAGGUGAAAAAGAAUUUGAUUUAUGGGACAACUUCGAAAGAUUUUGAAAAAAAUAGAAAAUAAUCGUGCUGAUAACGUGGUAUAAAAUAAAGAGAGAUGGAGAGAAUAAAGAAAACAUGAAAGCAAUAAAAAAUGUAUUUUAUUGAUCAAAGAGAUUAUUACGAUGUUUUAUCAUAGUCUAUUUAUAAGCAUAAGAAAUAUAAAAAAAGUAAAGAUCUAAUUCUAAUAACUAUUAAAAUUUAAAAUAUAAAACGACGUUGUUCUGAUAAAUAUUUAGAUUUUCUAGAGUUGAAGCCAAAAACCAUUAAGUUAAAAAACAAAACAAUUAUAUUGUUUUUGUAGUUAUAAUCUUGUAUUUCCUCUACUAGUUAAAUAAUCAGUCCAUAUAAAUGUAACAUUGAGUAUAAAUAAUAGGAUUUGUUAACUCGAAUGGACUUGACUCGAAAUUUUUUAACACCAUUCGAUUUGAAAAAUUUUCAAAUUGAGUUCGAUUGCUAAAAUAGAAUUCAUUAAUUCGACUAACUCGAAUUUUUUUUACUCGAUCGAAUAAUCACCCCUAUUUCUAAACUAUAACAGUUAAUGGAAACUCGUUAAGUCAUAAAAAAUUCAAGUAAAUGUUUUAAACUUGAGUUUUAUGAAUACAAAAAAUAAUUUUAAAAGCUAUUUUAAAAUAUAAAAUUUAUUUGGUAUAAAUUAAAAUUAAAUACAAAAUAUAAUUAGAUUGUUUGAUAAAAUAUAAUUUUGUAAAAAUUUAAAGGUGGGGUAUUUGAAGAAUUUAAAAGAGAUGAAAUAAAAAUAAUUGAAACAAAUUCUACAUUAAGAUAUAAAUAGUUAUUUAUCUACUUUUCAUUUUCCACAUCUUUUCUUAGAAAAAUCCAAUCAUUUGUUUUUUUUAUUAUGAAUCAUCAAACUUGCUUAAAAACAUAAAUUAUUAGUUGAUUUAAUUAUUUUUAAUUGAUUAUCAAACAAGCCCUUGUUUCAAGUGCCAUUUAUGUCAAAAAAGUUUUAAGUAAUAGUACCAUAAACAUUCAUUUUAUAACAAUAAAGUUAAAGCCACGAAUAUUUUUUAAAAAAAUUCAAUUAAGCCCUUGAAUGUUAAAAUUUCAAUCAAUUAAACUCUUUGAUAGUUAAAGUUAACAGUUAAUUGUUUUAAUCAAUUAAGGCAUGGUGUAGUGUUUGUUUACCUCAUUCUUUAACAAUGUGGUUGAGGGUUCGAUCCCCACUUAUGGGAAUGAAGCACAUUUCAUGGUCAAUCAUUUACCUAUUUGGAGAGCACUCAUAGUGAGAAGAUUAACUACUGUUAUAGUUGGUGGAUACCCUGAUUAUGACAAAUAAAAAAUAACAACUACCAUUUUUUUUGGAUUAUUUUUGUCAAGUGGUGAAAAAUAUUUUAAUUUUUAUUAAAAAUCAUAUAAAAAGUAUAAAAAUUAUACAAGAAUUAUAAAAAUGCAUAAAUUAGAAAAAAUAUAUAAAAAAAUCUAUUGUGAAAACAUAAAAUUAUAAAAAUAUAAUUGCUCCCCCAAAUUCCAUGUUUCCUCUAACUCGUCUAACUGGAUUCUCCCUUAGAAUCAACUUAUUUGGAUUGUGAAAAUCUCCAUCCGAUAUUGAGCAAUUUGCACAAAUGGUUGGUAACAUUUUAUAAAAUUAUUUUUUUGUAAAAAAAAAGUGCAAAGAAAACCCAAUUAUAUGGAAUUGGUUUAUUUUCUAUGCAUGUGGAUCACCAAUUGAACAAGCAUAGACGACAAGGUGGACUCGUGAAAAGAAAACAUUUGUUGCAUCAUUGUUGUUUCCAUAUUCUCGCCUACCCAAAGCAGAAAUAAAGGGUGAAUUUGGCAUAUUAGCACCAUUUCUACCUCCUUUCUCCCUCUAUAUAAACCUCUUCCCACCCAAGCUGCCAUUGCCAAAACCCAUCAACUUCACCUCUAUUCUUCUUACUUGAGACCUAUAUUUAGUCUUGAAAUUUAACUGUGAAAAUGGGUUUCGCAUUUGCAUAUCGACUUAUCUUAGUCGUGGCAGUUGCUUCCGUGUUGGGAAUAAGCCUGGCAAAUAAAGACUGGGGCUCCCCUAAUUCCAACUACACUGGUUGGGGCUGGGGCUCCUCGAAGUCUAACCACACUGGUCAAGGCUUUAAUAACCAUCCCGUGAAUGAAACUCAAGGACCCAAAAAGAUAAUUGUUGGUGGAUCAAAAAACUGGCAUUUCGGCUUCAACUACUCCGAUUGGGCAUUCAACAAUGCACCAUUUUACUUCAACGAUACUCUAGGUGAGUCCAUAAUAUUACAUUUUACAAACCAAAGAAAUGGGAAGCUUCGAAAGAUUUUGAAAAAAAUAGAAAAUCAUCGUGUUGAUAACGUGUUAUAAAAUAAAGAGAGAUUGAGAGAAUAAAAAAUAAAGAAAACAUGAAAACAAUAAAAAAUAUACUUUAUUGAUCAAAGAGAUUAUUACAAUGUUUUAUCAUAUUUUAUUUAUAAGCAUAAGAAGUAUAAAAAAGAUUGAGAUCUAAUUCUAAUAACUAUUAAAAUUUAAAAUACAUAAAAGUUUUAUCUUAAGCAUGAUCAACAUCCACUUAACUUAAUAAGAUAUUUAUAAUAAUUUUUAAUUUCUAUAGGCGAAUUAUUAAGUAACGGGACAAGUAGAUGGCGAAAUUAAUAAAAAAAAUUCUGAAUUAUUUUUGUAAAAAAGCGGCAAAACCCAUAUUACCAUAACAGAUGCAAAAUCUGAUCGGUGAAGUUAAGAAAAUGGAGACCAUGGGAAAUCUUCUAAUCCUUUUUCCAGCUUCUUUAUGCCUCUUCCUUUUCGUUGCUUUGCUCAAUGUUUUCUACAAGUAUUGGUGGAUACCUCAUCGUUUACAGUUCAUCAUGAAUUCACAAGGAAUCAGAGGACCUCCUUAUGAAUUUAUCCAUGGAAACAACAAAGAAGCUGCCCAAAUGCUCAUGGAAGCAUCUACCAAACCUAUGGCCUUGACACAAGAUAUAUUUCCCGAGUCAUGCCUCAUGUUUACUCCUGGAUCAACAAAUACGGUGAGAAUAUGUUUUUUUUUUUCUCUUUUUAGGGUUGCAUUUUCUGAUUAACCUCCACUUUUCAAGAAAAGAAAUCAUUUUCUUUCAGGGAGGACUUAUCUUAGCUGGAAUGGAAUUCGAGCUCUACUGCUAAUUACAGACCCAGAUCUGGUGAACGAGGUCCUUAAAAACAGUGAAAAGGCUUUUCCAAAGCCGAAGGCUUCAUAUUUCUUCGACAAGCUACUAGGCGGCGGUCUUGGUUCAACCGAAAGUGAGAAAUGGGCAAGGCUAAGGAAACUGGCCCAUUAUGCCUUUCAUGGGGAGAGCUUAAAAGUAAAUCAUCGCCACAUUCUACUCUAAUUAUUGUAGUGGAACAUCUACAAACUUGAUACUUUUUUGCAGAAUAUGAUUCCAGCAGUAGUUGCUAGCGUUGAAACCAUGCUUGAGAAAUGGAAAAGUAAGGAGGGCAAAGAGAUAGAAGUGUUCCAAGAGUUCAGAUUAUUGACUUCAGAAGUGAUAUCCAGAACCGCCUUUGGUAGCAGUUACUUGGAAGGGGAGAAGAUUUUUGACAUGUUGAUGAAGUUGACAGUAAUUGCAGGCAGAAAUAUUUAUAAAGCAGAGAUUCUCAUCAUCAGGUAACUUCAUCAAAUCUUUACUUUGUUAAUCAGCAUACUUCAGCUGCCAAUGGGUUGAUUUAAUCUGGUUUUCCUUUUCAGCAAGUUUUGGAAAUCUGCUGAUGAAAUUGCCAAAAUGAUACAUGAUUCUGUGAUGAAGAUUGUUAAAAAAAGGGAAGCCAAAGUAGUGACCGGAGAAACUGAUAACUUCGGUCGUGAUUUUCUGGGAUUACUGCUUAUCAUGAGGCGGACGAGAAAAAUAGGCUUUCGAUACAAGAUUUGGUAGAUGAGUGUAAAACUUUCUAUUUUUCUGGGCAAGAAACAGUCAAUUCCUUGCUUGCAUGGGCAACCCUGCUUUUAGCAAUACACACCGAUUGGCAAGAUAAAGCAAGAGCAGAGGUGAUUGAGGUCUUUGGUAAUCAAAACCCAGAUUCUGAAGGGAUGGCCAAAUUAAAGACGGUAAGCAAACUAUACAAAUUCAAUAGCUUGAAAACUAACAGUGAACAUUUAUAUUGCCCUUUGGAUUUCUUUUUCUCCAGCAGAUUACCAUGAUUAUCAAUGAAACUUUACGGCUCUAUCCUCCUAUAAGUGGCAUGAUAAGAAAAGUAGGAAGAGAAGUCCGAUUAGGAACACUUGUCCUGCCUACUCAUUCACGGGUCGACAUGCGAAUCAUAGCACUUCACCAUGAUCCUGACUUAUGGGGAGAUGAUGUUGAUCUUUUCAAACCAGAGAGGUUUGCUGAGGGAUAGCCGAAGCUACUAAGUACAAUGCAGCUGCAUUUAUGCCCUUUGGAUUGGGACCUCGAUGUUGCGUAGGCAUGAGCUUUACAAUCAUUCAAGCGAAAAUUGCACUUUCCAUGAUUCUGCAACGCUACACUAUCAACCUCUCCCCUAGCUAUGUUCAUGCACCUUUACAACGUCUUACACUCAGGCCACAACAUGGGAUGCAGUUGUUGUUUCAUUCACUACGUUAUGAUGCUUAAAAUUCUAGGCUGUUGGUCUCCAAUAUAGUAAUAUAUAAUAAAAUGUGGAUAAUACUGUAUUUUGCAACCAUAUGAUGAUAUAUGGUUUUGGGAUUUCAUGUUUUGUUGAUAUUGUUAAAGGUUAAAAAGGUAUUACAGCAAACGUCGCCACCACAGGAGCAGGCCCUACAGUCCUGUACAUAACAUAAUCAACAACAAAAUAGUCCACCAAAGAGAAAUGAAUUCAAACUACCCCAAAAAGCUGGAACGGCAGCAGCAAAUCCAGUCAGCUCCCUGAACAUCAUACAGCAACACAGGAACAAGAACAUCACAACCCAGUCAUAUACACGCCAUGAAGACAUUGGACUCCACAUUUUGCUAAAGUAUCAGCAAAGCAGUUAGAUUCUCUAUACACAUUCACAAAGGAGACAUUAUGGGAUCUCAUCACACAGCUUGGAAUAUGACCCAUCCAGCAUUUGAGAAACAGUGAAGAUGUCAAGUCCAGGAGCUCCAAACAAUGCCUCGGCCGGUGGAUCCUAUAAUUAGGUGUCUUUCUUCCAUUACUACUGCAGUAGUGAAGUUUUUAUUGCACUUGGUUCCCUUCUUCCAGAGUUUCUGCUUGAAGCACUCACUCCUGGAGCCGGCCAUUGCUUGUUUUCAUUUUUAAUUUUUUAAUAUAAUAUAUUACAAAAUAUGAAUGUGUUAAAAUUUAUUGCUAAAAUUUUAUUUUAACAAAAAAAAUCGUUGUGAGUUCAUCAUGUAUACCUCCUUUGUAUAAAAUAUGCACAGAAAUUGAAAAGUCGUUUUUAAUUAUAUAUAUUGUAACAUAUUUUUUUCGUUUUAAAAUAUAUUUUUUUUCGUAAUGAUAUAAUUUGUUUAUCUAAUAGUGUUUUAGUUAUAAUAGAAUUUGUUACAAUAUCUUUAACACAAUGAUAAUAUUUACAAAUACUAUUACGUAACAAUAGUAUAUUGGUUGCAAAAUAAAAUUUGCAAUAAUGUAAAAUUAAAUUGCUAAGCUUGAUUACCAAAUAUUAUUUUGUAAGGAUAUUUUAUUUGGUUGUGUAUUACAUUGUGCAAUAAUUAUAUUUCAUUGCCAAAAAAAUAUUUUAACAACCAUUAAACGUGGUUGUCAAAUCAAUCACGUAACAAUAAUACUAUUGGUUGUUAAAUAUUAUUCUGCAAUGAUCUUUUAAUUGGUUGUGUACUAAUUGUGCAACAACCGUAAAAAUUUAUUUAAAUAACUAUAAAAUGUGGUUGCCAAAUAGUUUGCGCAACAACAACAAUAAUAUAGUUGCUAAUGCAUUUACAUAACAAUUUUUACUUAGUUAUGAAAUAUUAAUUUACAAUGACAUAAUAUUUGGUCACGUCUUAUAUUACACGAUAUUUAAAUAUUGUGCAAAGUUAAUUUUAACAACCAUAAUAUUUUGUUGCAAUAUUUUUAUAUGUAACCAUAUUAUUAUGUUUGUUGAAAUUUAUUUUGCACCAAAAUAUUAUCUAAUUGAUAAUAAAAAGAAGUAAUUACAAAUAUUAAAGAAACUAGUUAUUUGUUUAAAAACAAUAUUACCAAAAUUUUAAGCUCGUUUGUUAGAGUCCGGCCUGAAAAAUGGGCAUACAAUUUUUUUCAACUCCAACCCACAUAAAAAUGCCAAACCCGGUCCAACCCGCUCAUAUUAAUUUUUGUUAUAUAAUUUUUUUUAAAAAAAUAUAAUAUGUACAAAUACUAAAAAUAUUAAAAUAAAUGUUUCCCAAUAAAUUGAAAAUAAAUUAAAAAAUAAUAUGUAUACUUAAAUAAUGCUAAGAUAGUGUGUAACUUAACAAGCAAAUGCCUCUAAAAUAGUAACAAAAUUAAUAAUAAAAUAACAGUCAUACAAUAUCCAAACAAUAACAAAAAAAUGGUAACAACCUAAUAGUGAAAUGGUAGCACAAUAGUGAAAAAAAAUAAGAAAAUAGAAUCAAAACAGUAAAAAAAAUAAGAAAACAAUAGGUUUUUUAUUCUUUUUUUGCAUAUUCAGGUCGGGCCGGGCUCAAGCACAAAAGGCCUUAGCUGAGGCUCGGCCCGUUUUCUAAAUGGGUCUUAUUUUUUUGUCCAAACAUAUUUUUUGGGCCUAUUUUUUACCUAAAUCCUCCUACUUUUCGAGCGAGCCAUCUGGCCCGACCCAUAGACAGAUCUAAUUUAAUUGCAAUUAAAAUAAAAUAAAAAUCAAACAAAAUUAAAUAGAUAUAUAUAAUAAUCUAAUAAAAAUAAUUUUGAAACUAAAAUUGAAAUAACCCAUAAAAUUUGAAGUCUAAAAAUUUAAAAUUUAUAUGUACUGUAUGGUAAUAAAUACAUAAUUAAAGUUUAGAUAUAUUCUCCCUGUUCACUUUUAACAAUCUUUUUCAAGUGAAUUGUAGUGGAGAAGGUAAAACACAUUUCAAGAAAAAAAAUCACAUUAACUUUCCAUUAAUUUUUAAUCCAUUCGGGUGAUUAAUUAAAAUCUUUUUACAAAAUUCUCUACCAACCACAACUCGUCCUCUCGAAAGAGGAUUAGCAAAAUCCGAUUUGAUUUAAAAAUUUUAAUAAAAUAUGUAAAUUUUGAAUUAAAUAGUUCGAGUUAUUCGAGUUGAUUCGAUAACUCGAUUAACUCGAAUAAAAAAAAUCAAAAUUUUCAGUUUAACUCGAAUAUGAAUUACACAAUUUGAGUUAUCUGAAAAUCCGAAUAAGAAAAUAUAAAACUACAUUGUUCUGAUAAAUAUUUAGAUUUUCUAAAGUUGAAGCCAAAAACCAUUAAGUUAAAAAACAAAACAAUUAUAUUGUUUAUGUAGUUAUAUAAUCUUGUAUUUCGUCUACUAGUUAAAUAAUUGGUCCAUGUAAAUGCAACAUUGAAUAUAAAUAAUAGGAUUUGUUAACUCGAAUCGACUUGACUCGAAAUUUUUUAACUCGAUUCGAUUCGAAAAAUUUUCAAAUUGAGUUCGAUUGGUAAAAUAGAAUUCGUUAACUGGACUAACUCGAAUUUUUUUUACUCGACCGAAUAUUCACCCCUAUUUCUAAACUAUAACAGUUAAUGGAAACUCGUUAAGUCAUAAAAAAUUCAAGUAAAUGUUUUAAACUUGAGUUUUAUGAAUACAAAAAAAUAAUUUUAAAAGCUAUUUUAAAUUAUAAAAUUUAUUUGGUAUAAAUUAAAAUUAAAUACAAAAUAUAAUUAGAUUGUUUGAUAAAAUAUAAUUUUUUAAGAAUUUAAAGGUGGGGUAUUUGAAGGAUUUAAAAGAGAUAAAAUAAAAAUAGUUGAAACAAAUUCUACAUUAAGAUAUAAAUGGUUAUUUAUCUACUUUUCAUUUUCCACAUCUUUUCGUAGAAAAAUCCAAUCAUUUGUCUUUUAUUAUGAAUCAUCAAACUUGCUUUAAAACAUAAAUUAUUAGUUGAUUUAUUUUUUUUAAUUGAUUAUCAAACAAGCCCUUGGUUAAUGUUCUCCAAGUUCAAGUGUCAUUUAUGUCAAAAAAAGUUUAAGUAAUAGUAACAUAAACAUCCAUUUAAUUAUAACAAUAAAGUUAAAGCCAUGAAUAUUUUCAAAAAAAUUCAAUUAAGCCCUUGAAUAUUAAAAUUUCAAUCAAUUAAGCUCUUUAAUAGUUAAAGUUAACAGUUAAUUGUUAUAGUUAAAAUUUCAAUCAAUUAAGGCACGGUGUAGCGUUUGUUUACCUCAUUCUUUAACCAUGUGGUUGAGGGUUCAAUCCCCACUUAUGGAAAUGAAGCACAUUUCAUGGUCAAUUAUUUACCUAUUGGGAGAGCACUCAUAGUGAGGAGAAUAAACCCUGUUAUUGCUGGUGGAUACCUUGAUUAUGACAAAUAAAAAAUAACAACUACCAUUUUUUUAGAUUAUUUUUGUCAAGUGGUGAAAAUUAUUUUAAUUUUUAUUAAAAAUCAUAUAAAAAUUAUAAAAAUUAUACAAGAAUUAUAAAAAUGCAUAAAUUAGAAAAAAUAUAUAUAAAAAAAUCUAUUGUGAAAACAUAAAAUUAUAGAAAUAUAAUUGCUCCCCCAAAUUCCAUGUUUCCUCUAACUCGUCUAACUGGAUUCUCCCUUAGAAUCAACUUAUUUGGAUUGUGAAAAUCUCCAUCCGAUAUUGAGCAAUUUGCACAAAUGGUUGGUAACAUUUUAUAAAAUUAUUUUUUUGUAAAAAAAAAAGUGAAAAGAAAACCCAAUUAUAUGGAAUUGGUUUAUUCUCUAUGCAUGUGGAUCACCAAUUGAACAAGCAUAGACGACAAGGUGGACUCGUGAAAAGAAAACAUUUGUUGCAUCAUUGUUGUUUCCAUAUUCUCGCCUACCCAAAGCAGAAAUAAAGGGUGAAUUUGGCAUAUUAGCACCAUUUCUACCUCCUUUCUCCCUCUAUAUAAACCUCUUCCCACCCAAGCUGCCAUUGCCAAAACCCAUCAACUUCACCUCUAUUCUUCUUACUUGGGACCUAUAUUUAGUCUUGAAAUUUGACUGUGAAAAUGGGUUUCGCAUUUGCAUAUCGACUUAUCUUAGUCGUGGCAGUUGCUUCCGUGUUGGGAAUAAGCCUGGCAAAUAAAGACUGGGGCUCCCCUAAUUCCAACUACACUGGUUGGGGCUGGGGCUGGGGCUGGGGCUCCUCGAAGUCUAACCACACUGGUCAAGGCUUUAAUAACCAUCCCGUGAAUGAAACUCAAGGACCCAAAAAGAUAAUUGUUGGUGGAUCAGAAAACUGGCAUUUCGGCUUCAACUACUCCGAUUGGGCAUUCAACAAUGCACCAUUUUACUUCAACGAUACUCUAGGUGAGUCCAUAAUAUUACAUUUUACAAACCAAAGAAAUGGGAAGCUACCUUGUUUUUAUAUUUAUUUGCUGAAAUAAAUGAUGUUUUGAAUUGGUUUGCGUAGUGUUCAAGUAUGAUCCACCAAGCAACACCACAUUCCCUCACAGUGUUUACUUGUUCUCUGACCGAUGGAGCUACUUGAAUUGCGACUUAAAGAGAGCGAAGAUGGUGGCAAAUGCAACCCAAGGCGGUGGCGAAGGAUUCGAGUUUGUGCUGAAGAGGUGGACACCCUAUUACUUUGCUUGUGGUGAACGUAAUGGCUUCCAUUGUAAGGUCGGAGGCAUGAGGUUCAUGGUGAUGCCACUCUUUCGUUGGCAUUACUAGAAUACUUGGGAGAUGAUCACAAAUUAAGGAAUAUCGACAUCCAAUAUAACAAAGAUUUUUAGACUUUGAUGACAAAAUUAAUGUGUAAUCGUUUCUUAAAAUGAUGAAUAAAUUAACUGUCAUCUUAUUAUUUAUUUUAUCAAUAAUUUCGUUACAAUUUUUUUUUUUACACAAUGUUUAGAAUUAUCUAUAGUCUCUUUCUAACUUAUAAAUAGAAGAAUAAUGCGCUUUAACACACUCAAAUUCACAUCCUCCUGCAUUAACAACAAUAUCCAUGCCAAUUGAAUUAAAACUCAAUCGACUUCUUAAUUUAUUUCAAAAGAAAAAAAUACAUCUUUAAUUUCUAGACCUUUACUUAGUUAACUCAUUUAAAAGACAUUAAAUCUUCUUUAAUUCUACACUGAUCUGUAAGUUUGAACAUCCAUUUGCCAUGUUAAUGUUAAGUGAUAUAUAUACGGGGCUUAUAGGGAUAGAAAGCCUUUAAGAAAGAAAAUUUUAUGCCCUUCAACUUAAUUCACACUCAAUUAAGUUGUUAUCAUUAAUCCAAAAAAUCAAUUAAGUCCCUUAAUUGUUGAUUUUCAUCUUUGAUCCCGUUGAUGAUUAAAAUUAGCUAAUUGGAUGGCGGUAUUUACCUAAUUCAUAUUUAAUUUUUUAUUUUUCUAAUAAAAAUUAUUAAAAAUUAUCAAUAAAAUAUCAAAUUUACCCUCAAUGUUUGCAUUUUUAUUAAUUUAGUCCUUAUUCUAGUUUAAACUAAAUUUAAUCAUUAAUCUUUCAAAAAGAGUUAAAUCGCUCUUUUUUUAAUGAAGAUGUUGACUAAAACGUUAAUUUUUUAAUGAUGGUGCGACAACCCGCGUUACAUUUUGUACUUCAUAUUGACAUGACAUUAUUUAUAUUUUAUAUUACGUCAAUAAAUGAUUUAAAAUUUAUAAAAAUAUUAAACAAAACUCAAAAUUUAAGAAAUUAUAAAAAAAUCAUAAAAAUAAAAAAAUAGUAUGAAAUACAUUUAGAUUGCCACGUAAGUUAUUAUGUUUAAAAUUUUAACAUUUUAAUUAGUAUUUUCAUUAUUUUUGUUAAAAAAAAUAACAACUCCAUUCUUUUCGAAAAGUUGAUUAAAUUCGUUUUUUUUAACGGUGAAAUUUAACUUGCAAUUGGAGAAGGAGGAGUCGCUAUAUAAGCCAAGGUGAAGGUGCAACAAAGGGUAUUGGGUUCAUGCAAUGCAUUGGGUUAAAAAAAUGUUUUUUUCCGAGUUUUUAUAAUUUUGUAUGAUUUUUCUUAUAAAUUUUUUUAUUUUUAUAAAAAAAUAAAAGAUUAAAUCUGAAGGUACCAUUUAUCUAGGUUGAUUUUAAUAAUCAACAAAAUCAAUAACGGAAGAGUUAACAGUAAAAUUUGAAUGGUUGCAAGGGGCUUAAUUAUAUUUUUAAUUAUUUUUGGUUUAAGAGCUUUUUAGAGUACAAACAUGGCAUAAUGAAGUCCCAAAGCAUUAGAAAGUGCAAGAUCGUGGAACCUAAAAGUUACUAUUCCUGGCUUAUAGUUGAAUGUUUUCGAAUUGCCUUCUAUUCCUCGCCAAAGUUUGAAAAUGAAAAUGACAAUCAACAGGUAAAGCUGUCAUUAUUACAUCACAUAAACGUAUGACUAACUAUGUCCUGUCAACCCCAGAUCAAAGUAUGGCACUUUUCACAUUUUGUUAUGGUACUGGAGAAGAUGUAACACAAUCCAAGAACUAAAACUGAACUGAAUGAUCAAAGGCAAUUUACAAAAUUCCCCACCUACCACCAUUAGCCAACGGCGGCACCUCGGCUCACCCACCAUCACAAUCAUAUGAUUUUUCACACUGCUUCUAAACUUUAACUGUUAAUGGUAAACACAGUUCAAUGCUCUCUGACCAAUAACUUUUAAAACCCAAGAAAAACCAACGCCAACCCAUACAAUUCCCAAACCCAAGCAAAAUCAACAUUUAAAAUGGGUUUAGUUUCAGAAUCUUUUAAGGCAGUUUGGAGUUUGGUAUCAAUAUGAGAAAAAAAAAAAACAAAGAUUUAAGUAUCAAUGUGGAAAACAGGUAUAAUUUGAAGGCUAAAAUGCGAAUAAAGCCAAAUAUUUGCCAUAUCAUUGCUGUUUCCAUUUUCUCGCCUACCCAAAGCAGAAAAAAAGGUCAAUUUGGCACAUUUGCACCAUUUUCCACCUCCUUUCUCCCCUUUAUAUAAACCUCUUCCCCAACAUGCCAUUGCCAAAAACCAUCAACUUCAACUCCAUUUUCUUUUAGCUGAAUCUUAUAUUGAGUCUUGAAAUUUGACUCUGAAAAUGGGUUUCAAGUUUGCAUAUCGACUUAUCCUAGUUGUGGCAACUGCUUCCGUGUUGGGAGUAAGCCUGGCUAAUAAGGACUGGGGCUCCCCUAACUCCAACUACACUGGCUGGGGUUGGGGUUGGGGCUCCUCUAAGUCUAACCACACUGGUCAAGGCUUUAAUAACCAUCCCUUGAAUGAAACUCAAGGAUCCAAAAAGAUCAUUGUUGGUGGAUCAGAAAACUGGCAUUUUGGCUUCAACUACUCCAAUUGGGCAUUCAACAAUGCACCCUUUUACUUCAACGAUACUCUAGGUGAGUCCUUAAUAUUACAUUUUACAAACCAAAGAAAUGGGAAGCUACCUUGUUUUUAUAUUUAUUUGUUGAAAUAAAUGGUGUUUUGAAUUGGUUUGCGUACGUAGUGUUCAAGUACGAUCCACCAAGCAAUACCACAUUCCCUCACAGCGUUUACUUGUUUCCCGACCGAUGGAGCUACUUGAAUUGCGACUUAAAGAGAGCAAAGAUGGUGGCAAACACAACCGAAGGCGGUGGCGAUGGGUUCGAGUUUGUGCUGAAGAGGUGGACACCCUAUUACUUUGCUUGUGGUGAACGUAAUGGCUUCCAUUGUAAGGUCGGCAGCAUGAGGUUCAUGGUGAUGCCACUCUUUCGUUGGCAUUACUAAACUCUUGGAGAUUAUCUCAGAGAAAGAUCGACAUCCAACAUAACUCACAUACAUAUAGAGUUUUAUUUCACUUUGUUGACAAAAUUAAUGUAUGAUUGUUUCUUAAUAUGGUUGAGAUGCUACUAGUUUGGUUUAUUUUAUGUUGUAAUGAUGCAAAAUAAGACAUGUUAUAAUUGCAUUUAAAGUUUAUAUUGAUGAACAAAUUAACCUUUCUUAAUUUGUUUCAAAGAAAGAAGUUUAAUGAGGGAAAUCUCUUUAAUUUUAUACUUUACUCAUUUAAAGUAUUAGAUACUUUUAAAUCUGCAAUAUUUAGAAAUUUGUUUAAUAUCAUAUAUUAUUAGAGUUAAUACAUUAAUAAUCAAAUAUUUAAGUUUUUAUAGGAGAAUGAAUCACAAGUAAAUUGACACAAGAUCUGUAUUCAAAUAAUCAAUUAACACCAAUCUCGAGUUCAAUCUAAAACAACAUUAACUCUUAUAGAAAAAGAUUUUGGAUACCAGCACGGAAUUGAUCACUCAUUGACAUACAGGGGCAUUGCAAAAGGGGCGAGAGGGGCCUUGGCCCCCUUUGAUUGGAUGAUUUAUUUGUUAUUUUAGUACUUUCUAAAUGUAAAUGGUUCAAUUUUUUUUAGCUUGUUUUAAAUAAAAAAAAUGUAAUUAUAGCCCUUUCAAAGUUUUAAAAAAUACAAUUUAAAUCAUUUAAAUGCAAAAUUUUUAACUCUGGCCCCAUUUUUUUUUAGUUUUAUCUUUACUCCCAUCACAUAAUUCUUAGCCCCCAUUGGUAUGCUCAUGGAUAAAGGCAUACGACAAGGGCGAAGUUAGAAAAUUCUUUUAGAGGAAUCAAAAUUAAAUCGUAAUUUUUACGAUAAUAAAAAUAUAAUUUUAUCAUUUUAAUAACUUAUAUCUUUAUAAUUUUUAAAGAAUUAAAUCAAAUUUUUUUAUUGUAAGAGAUUAAAAUAUAAUUUUAACUUUACUAAUUUAAAAAUUAUUUUUAAAAGUGAGGUACCCUUCCAUUAGCAUAUUAUAUACUCCUUCGCAAAGAACUUGAUAGUGGCGAAGUUAAAGUGUUAAGAGUGUAGACAAAGGCCUUGUCUGUUUUGAUUAAAUGAAAAAGAAUUUCCUUUAAAUCGAGGCUACGGCUUAUUGAGGAAAAAGAGGAAGACAAUCAAUCGAAAUGUACAGCAAAGCUGUCAUUGUUACAUCACAUAAACGUAUAAGUAGGUGUGUCCUGUCAGCGUGAGAUCAAUGCAUAGAUAUUCCCUUUGACUUUUCCUAAUCAGUUUCAGGUCAACUGUUAAACUUGUAGUGGAGAAGAUAAAAACACAUUUCAACAACCCCGAAAAACGAAACAUUAUUUUCGAGUGUGUUUGGAUGGAUAAUGCGUUUACUUGUAGUUAGUGUAAAAAUAAUGGUAGCGGUGAAAUUAAAUACUAUAGCGAUAACGUGAGAUAAAAAGUAAACUAAACGUACCGCACCGCACCCAAUCGCCUAUCCAAACCCACUUUUCGUAUUAUUUUAUAUACAAACGAAUUAUGUUAAUCCAUUCUGAGUGUGUUAAUCGAAGGCUUUUUAGAAAAUUCCCCACCAACUCCCAAUGGAAAGAAGAAGAGUGAGUUGGGUAAAACGUGGUUUAUUGUACAAAGACCUGUGAAUCGUGUUUUCAUUAUGGAGCCAACCAAUGUAGAAAAAACGAGGGUCAACCGAAUUUGGCAACUUAACAUUUUAAGCUUACAAUCUGUGUUUCACCAGUUACACAACUUGGUCUUAGAAAAAACAUGGGUUUUACAGGUUCUGCCACACUCGUGAUAGUAAUAAUAGUAGGUGCAGGCUUGUGGGGAAUGACAAUGGCUAACAGGGGCUGGGGCUGGGGCCAUUAUCAUCCCUUAAAUCAAACCGAAUGACCCAAAACGAUCAAUGUUGGUGGGUCUGAAAAUUGGCACUUCAACCCCAAAACGGUCCAUUCUACUUCAAUGAUACUCUAGGUGAGAGUUUAUUUAACAUGGUUUCUUUCUUUCUUUCCUUUUUUUUUGUUUUAUUUAUUUUUUGGUCCACGACAUUUUGUUGUACUUAAAUUGACAAUAGUGUUAGUUGUUGCCAUUAAAGUGAGAAGUUGAUUUUUUUUUCUGCUAUAAUUGUCACACAAUUAAGGUCACAUGAAAAUUCAGUCAAUCAUGUUAACAUAAAUUUACAUGUUAGCCGAAUGUUUAAGAGUGUUUAAAAAAUCAUGUUAUCACUUUAAGUACAAAAAUUAAUGGUGUUAUCAACUUAAACCUAUUAAGUAUAAAAGUAGAUUGAUCAAAUUAUGUCAAAUUAAUUAAAAUAGAAAUUUCAGCAUUAUAAAAUAUAAAAAUUAUAAUUAGAGGAUUUAGUUUUAAGCCAUAUGCUAACUCAUAAAAUGAUGGUAUGAAGUUUUCAAAUAUGAUCCACCAAGCAUCGUCACCAUUCCUCACAGCAUUUACUUGCUACUAAACAUAUUGAGUUUCCUAACUUGUGACUUGAGAAGAGCGAAGAUGACCGUAAAUACGACAUAAGGUGACAGUGGCUUUUGUUUCUUGCUGAAUAAGUGGCGGCCCUAUUACUUUGCUUGCGGUGAGCGUAAUGAUUUCCAUUGCAAGGAUGGACGCAGGGGCGAAUCUAAGGGUUGGCAGGGGCCUCGAUCCCUUUAAAAUAUAUUUUGGUUCCUUAAAAUUUUAAAAAUUUUAAAUUAGUAAAGGUAAAAUUACACUUUGUCUACCUAAAAAUGAUAAAAUUUUGAUUUAGUCCUUUACAAAUUACAUUUUUACUAUCAUAAAAAUUACAAUUCAAUUUCGGCUCCUCUAAAAAAUUUUUCUAACUUCACCCUUGAUUGGAUGUAUGAAGUUCAUGGUUAUGCCAUUUUUUUGAUGAUACCAUUGGUAUCCAUGGAUAUCGAGAACAGAGUAUAUGCAUUGUUGUUUAACAAGGGUUUUAGUGUACAAGAUUAUUGUAGUAACUUGAGUUUUGUUUUUUCUUUAUACUUUUCAUUCAAGAUUUACGAAUCAAGGUUUUAAUAAACCUAGACUUCACAAAGGAGGGAAUAAUAUGUAUUUUUUGUUGGGAUUUUCCUGGAAAAAAAUCGUUGCAUCUUUCUACGAUUCCUUAUGAAAAUUUUCCAGUCCAUCAGAAUAGAAGUUAAAGAGGGUAUUAAUGCUCGUUGUAUCUUUUAUAUGAAAAUCAGAGGCCAAUGGGCCGUUCCCUUGACUUGCACCAAUGGGAAUUUGACUUCGCAUAAAAUUGAACAAAAAGCUGUUGAAUUGGUCUAUUUUUUACAUGUACCAAUUGAAGUAUUUUGAAAUGAAUUGUAAAAUAAAAACUUUCUCGUGAGGUGGAAAAUACUCAUUCCUAUAAUCUUCUUUUUUUCUAUAGUAAAACUAAACUGAAGUUUUUUCAAAAUGCCCAUUCAAAUCAAAGCAAACGUAUACGGAAGAAUCAUAACAUAAAAAAACUGGACAUGUUAUGUUCUUUCUUAUGAUUUUCUUUUUUGAUUUUGUUUUGAAUAAUGUAAUGUGAUUUUUAAAUUUUUAAGUGAGUCUAUAUAUCUUAAAUACAAAACUUUUCAAGCUUAUUUAAGAUUUUUACUUAAAAAGGAGUUUACAAAUACAAUAAAAAAUUAUAUAUUUGGUAAAUUAAAAUUAGAAUCAAAUACGGGUAAAACUAUGUAUAUGGUGGGAGGAGCUUGACUCCCUCUCCAAAUUUUUUCAAAAAAAAAAUUCUACUUAAAAUUUUAAUUCAAUAUUAUUAUUUUGUAAGUUUGCAUGAUGGGAGGACUUAGGUUUGAAUUUUGGAGAUGAUAUGGUUAGGAGGGGCAGCUACAAACCCCGAACAUGGUCGUAAAACGAACAUGAUGUUGCAGGCCAUUUUGCCCGAGGCCCAAUUAAACACAAAAUAAAACUACCCAAUUACAACACCCAAUACCCAACAGCCCAAUAGCCCAAAAUCAUCAAAAAAAUAGGAAAAAACCCUAACCCUAGCCUCUGACAGCCACUUGUGCCGCACCCAGGCCUGCUAGUCAACCACCCCACCGACUCACCUGCUCCAACUGCUCCGCCAGUACCUGCAACAAACACCAACAAGCAACAGCAAAUACUGAUAGCAAAAAGAGAUUUUGAGGGUAGUUUGGCUAUAUAAGGCCGAUUGAAAAAAGAACUCGGGGCUUUUUUUUCUUUUUCGAUUUGUAACCAAGAAAAAUUCUAACAGAAUAAUAAAAUAUCAAGCUUCAAGGUGAUUCCCGGGAUUUUUGACUGCAAUAUUUAUUUUUUUCUUUUUUCGUUGUAUUUAUUUUAUUUUAUUUUGAUUUUGUUAAACGAAAUAAAAUAAACAUAAAAUAAAGAAAAAGAGACUCACCGGAGUCAUCCCGUGACCGCGUCGUCGGAGGUUGACUCUCCGUAUUCAGAGCCAGAUCUGAAGGGAACGAAGGUUUCCUUAUCCUUUUCGCAAGUUUAGAGUGUUUUUUGGUAUUUUGGGGCUCAGAUCGGUGUUCGGGAGGUCAUUUUAGGCCGGAAGGGCCCAUUUUUGGAACUCCGACCACCGUACACGGUGGUCGACGGAAGGUGGCCCGAUGACCGGAAGCGGCCGGAUUUUGGCCAGCCUUGGGGGCUUGAGAGAGAGAAAGCUCUCUGUUUUUAGAAAAUGUGAUGAAAGUGAUAUUUUGGGCAUUUUUUUUAUAUUUAUACAAGUCAUAAAACGGCACCGUUUUGAUAGGGUCAGGACAGCCCCAAAACGACGUCGUUUUGGGCUCCUGACCCGCGACCCGACCCGCUCCGACCCGAAGGAUCCGCGUGUUUUCUUUGCGAAGGGGCUAAUUGCUCGUUUAGCCCCUCCGCAGUUUUAAUUAUUUUUAAUUUAAUCUUUUUUUAAUUUUUGCAAAUUGGCCUAUUAAUUUAGUUUGUUUUCCGAUUUGGUCCUUCGACCAUCUGCGCCCUCCUUCCUGGAACGGCGUCGUUCUGACAUUGAGGGUUUAAUUACCCUUUCGGUCCCUCCUUUUUACGCCCGCUUGCAAUUAGGUCCCUCCGCCUUUUUUUAUUUUUAAAUUGGCCCAGAAACUUUGUUUUAUUUCGAUUUAAGUCCCUUUUAAGCAUGUUUUUUCCUUUUGCUCAUUUAUUUAUUUAUUAUUAUUAUUAUUAUUUUUAUAUAUGUGCUUAUAUACUAAUAUAUAUAUGUCUAAAAUUAUUACGAAUCUAUAUAUUUAUAAACUUUAAUAUAUAUCUAAUAAUAAUAUUAUAUUAUAUAUAUUCAAUAUUUUUUUAUAUCUACCCUGCUUUUUAUUUAUUUAAUAUCUAUAUAUUUAUAUACAUAUACUACAUAAUAUUUAUACCUACGCAUAUACAAUAUAAUACACGUGCAUACGAAUAUUUUAUUUUUAUUUUAUGAGCAUUUCUAUUUCCUUAUUUAUGUAUAUACAUGUAUUUUAUAAUUAUAUAUACUUCUUUUUUUUGUAUUUAACUUUAUGUUUUUACCUCGUAUAAUUUGUUUCUAACAUACAUACAUAUAUAUAUCACCAUUUUAUUCAUUAUUAUAAUUAUCAUUUCAUGUUGAUUUAUUUAUUUAUCUACAUGUUCGUUAUUAUUUGCUUAAAUGUCUUUAUUCUGGUUUGUUUAUUUUUUUAUUUUGUUGACUUUUUAUUAGUUACCAUACAUAAAAAUGUAAUUUGCUUUCACUAUGAUUUUGUGUUUUAUCUUACUUGAUGUAACAAUUUUUUUUUAAAUGGCAUUUCGUGUUUGGAUUCGAGAAAAUCGUGCCCUAACUUACUGGGUUUCGAUUUUCUCGAUGAAUCUAAAUACACGAAUCUUUUCAAAAUCAAGUUUUAAAUGAUCUCGAAUUUUAAAAAAGGGGUCGCAUCCUAACUUACUGGUUAUGAUCUCAUUUUUAAAUUCGAGAUGGCUAAAAUUUCUUAAAUAAACUUUUUCAUUCGCGUAUCGAGAAUUUGAGAUAUUGUAUUCUAACUUACUGAAUAUGAUUCUUUUUCUCGAAUAACGUGAAAUAUCCUCCUUUUCUUGAAAAUUUUAACAUUUUAAUACAAGGAUCGUAUUUUUAAAAUUCUUUUAAAUUCUCAAUUUUCGACAUUAAGACAUUAAGUAAUCAACUAGGUACCAAUUUUGGGCGUAUCGAGGGUGCUAAUCCUUCCUCGUGCGUAACCGACUCCCGAACCCGUUUUCUAAAUUUCGUGGACCAAAACCGUUGUUUUAAUAAAAUCAAACCGUUUAUUAAAAACAACUAUCUUUCGAGGUAAUCCAAUCACACCUCAUAAAAAAAAGAUUGGUGGCGACUCCCAUUUUUGUUUUCAUUUUCCAAAACCCCAGUUGACCCCGUUUUCAUCAAAAAUGGUGUCAACAGCUUGGCGACUCCGCUGGGGAACAUGAUAAGAGAGUCAAGCCACGUGUUGAUUAUUUCUUGUCUUUUUGUCGAAAGUUGAAAAUUCGAUUGAAAUUUACGAUCCUCUCACUGCAUCUCUUUUGUUUUGAGUUAUAUUUUGGUCGUGUUCUGUAUUUUAUUUUAUACCUCUGCGCAUUGCAUUGCAUGACCGUUGGUCACACCUUUUUAAGUGGGAGUGAGAAGCUACGCCUUCGUGAGGUUUUCACCUCCGCAUGGGAUAGUGAAUCGCUUUCGGGAUAUAUCCGUACCUAUGUCUUCGUGAGAUUUUCAUCUCCGCAUGGCCAUAGGGAAAUGUAUCCCCCUGAAUCGAACUUGGUCCGUAUGAGCCUAUAAUGGGUGAGGAUCGAGGAAUUUGCUGGUUCAGGUACCCUACUUUAGAACCAAACCACAUGUAAUGAGCCAUAGGAACCGACCUAGGUAGAGCUACUCUAAAAUUUUAGUGCCUACCUAAAUGAAUGUUGUAUUUAUUUGUCGUUUAUUUUAAAUCUUAUGCUGUGUUUAAUGCUAAUUUACUUUGUUUGUGAUUGCAUGGCAUCUUCAUUCUAAAAGAGGUGUCGAUUUACGUUCAGUUUCUUAGUAGAAAGCUUAUCAUGGAAAAGGGGUUUGUUGAUAAAGUAGAGGAUAAUGCGGCUGUACGAAUAUGGGCUGAAACGACGCAACGGGAGAAAGGCGAUAGUCUUACCGAAGGGUACGUGUCAGAAUUGUGGGAUUUUACCCGUAUCAGUGUAAUCCAGAAUGACCUUCGAGAAAUGAAAGAAGUCUGGGAUCAAUGGGAUGUCGAGGCCAAGGAGCUGUUCUAUUGUAACUAUGGUGACCUACCUUAUCUGCUUAGUGUCAAAGUGGACAAGUAUUUAUUCCGAGCCCUUGCUCAGUUUUGGAAUCCUGCCUACAGUUGUUUCACUUUUGGGAAGGUAGAUUUGACGCCUACGGUAGAGGAGUAUACGACCUUACUUCGGUGCCCAAAGAUUCAAGUCGACAAGGCUUAUUCCAGAGCUGCUUGUGUCCCUCCGUUGUUAAAGAAAUUAAUGAACAUCACUGGAAUGAGCGAGCAGUGGGUCGCUGCCCGGAUCCAACAGAAGGGCGACAGUAAAUGUGUUCCUUGGAAAAGUUUGCGAGAUUUGGUGCUUGUACAUCCUGACUUAAAGAAAAGGGUCGAUGUCUUCGCUUUAGGUAUCUAUGGACUAGUGGUUUUCCCCAAAGCUUUAGGACACAUAGACGAGGCUGUAUCUGAUUUGUUCGAUCGGCUUAGUAAAGGGGUUACACCGGUUCCGGCAAUACUCGCUGAAACUUUUAGAUCUUUGAAUGCGUGUCGAAAAGCAGGGGAGGGAAGGUUUAUUGGAUGCGCGCAGCUCUUAUUGGCAUGGUUCCAUAGCCACUUCUGGAAAGUCGAAAAGGUCUCUUACCGGGUAUUCUCCGAUAGCUACUCCCCUCUAGGAGAAUUGGUGGCCACGCCAAGACGGGAUGAUAUUUCAGAAGAAAAAUGGAUAGAGAUACUCCAGAAUCUCCAAGAUGAAGAUAUUGAAUGGAGGGCUCCUUGGUUAAUUCCUGAUGAGAUAUUGUACCGAUGUGGAGAUUUUGACUGGGUUCCGUUGCUCGGAAUAUGGGGGGCUAUUGGAUAUGCUCCUCUACUCGUGUCAAGACAGUAUAGAUCACGACAAUUCAUACCAGCAACCCAGGGGUUGGCUUAUAGUGAUUUUUCCUAUAGGGAGGACAAUUACAAGAAGAAGGUUCGAGAAAUAUCUAGUGCCUGGAACCAGACUCGUCGAAUGAAGAUCUUAGCUGUGGGUCCGACAAUUACCCCCGAGUAUGGACAGUGGCGUAAUCAAAGGAUCAACGACAACAUCCCGGCGUCAAAUUCAGAAACGGCUCGAUCUUUAGAGGAACACUUACAAGUCUUGCCUUCUGAGAUAGAAAUCAUCAAACAAGAAUUCGAAAAAAGAAGUUUAGAAUUGGGGAAGAAGAUAGAACAACUUGAGGAAGAAAAAAUGCAGUUAGGACUGGAUGUGGACAUUCAAAGAUUAGAGGCCAACAAAUUGAGGAAAGGAAAGAACAAGGCAGAAGAAGAUUUGGACAGCCUGAAGACAGAUUACAAGAAGUUGCGUAAGUCAGUAAGAGCCGCUGGCUUGGGUAAAACACCAGAACAAUGGUGACAAGAAAUUCAGGAGGAAAAGACGAAAGCUAAUCAAUGGGAAAAGAAAUUUCAGGAUGCUCGGGCUCGAGAAGCCGCCUUGGGAAAGAGUCUACUAGUUUGCCAAGACGAGAAGACGGAGUUGAAGGUCCGGAUAACAGAACUGGAAAGAUCGCUUCGCCAGUACUGUAAUCGUAAUACUACGGUCGAAUUAAGGGCGAGCUUAGACAAAAUUGAAGAAUUAAAAACACAGAUAGGAGGGCUAGAGAAUGCAUUGCAAAAUAGUGAAAUCCGGAUAGAGCUUCUAGAAGAAAGUAAUGAGCAGUGGCAAGAACAAUUCCGUCGGUCUCAAGAGCAGAUUGGAGAAAGAGAUUAUAUUAUGGGAGAGGCGGUGACUCAGGUGCGCGAAGUAGCUGAUCAUCUGCAAACUCUAGCGGUUCAGGCUGAUCUAUUAAGUUUGAAGUAUGAGUCAGAGUCGGACAGGGGCCGAGAAUUAGCUUGGCUUCUUAGAAAGGUUAAGGCUUUGAGUGUGAGGGCAAAGCCAUAUAUGUAGUCUAUUUUAUGUAAAGAAACUCUUUAUCUAGUAAAGUUUUCUAAUGAAGUUGAAUUAAAAUCAGUGCCUCUUUUUUCUUUGCAUUCUUUUUCAUGCAUUGCAUCACAUCAUAUGCAUUAAUGACCAUAAAAAAAAAAAACCUAAUCGAAUAAAAUCAUUUCAGUUAACCUGGAAAACCAACAAAGUUACGGCACCCGAGCAAAGACAAAAAUUAUGGACCAAAGGUUGGAGAAGCUAGAGCGACUUCAAAGAGAAAUGCAAGACCAGUUGCAGGCGCAAAUGAAAGAGCAAAUAGAAAAGAUUCAGCGUGACAUGGUACAAAAGAUGGAGGAGUCCCAAAAUGAUCUGGUGGCUAAGAUGACGCAAUUAUUGAAGGGAGUAGAUAAGGGUAAAGGGCCUGUGAUUGUUAGUGAAGAAGAAAACAAUGGUGAACCACUUUAUCCUCCAGGUUUCACGCCUCCGCAUGCGCAAGUACAGACUGAGCUGCAUUCGCGGAGACCCUCCGUGUCGGUUAGACCCCAGCAGUUCCAAGGCGAUGCUUCAAUCCCAAUGAAUUUUCAACCCGGAGCGGGCUUUAAUCCCGGUGAUAGCCCGAAUAAUAUUGCGGUCCCAGAUCUUGACGAGAUGGUUGAAAAGGACAAGGCGAAGGAGGAAUUUCCAAAACAAUUUGAGGAGAAAUGGAAAUGGAUAGAAGAGAAGUUUAGGGCAAUAGAAAGCAUCGAAAGCUAUGGAACAGAUGCAAAGGAUCUGAGCUUGGUUCCGGACUUGGUGCUCCCUUACAAAUUUAAGAUGCCGGAAUUCGAGAAAUACAACGGGACUAGUUGCCCAGGAUCCCAUAUUACUAUGUUUUGUAGAAGAAUGACGGGGCAUAUUAAUAAUGAUCAAUUAUUAAUACAUUGCUUUCAGGAAAGUCUUACGGGAGCGGCGUCAAAGUGGUACAAUCAGCUGAGCCGAGCUAAAAUUGCUACUUGGAGGGAUUUAGCACAGGCUUUCUUGAGACAAUACAAUCAUGUCUCAGAAAUGAUGCCUGACAGGAUAACUCUGCAAAAUUUAGAGAAGAAAUCAAACGAAAGCUUCAGACAAUAUGCGCAGAGGUGGCGAGAGGUGGCGGUUCAGGUGCAACCACCGCUUUUGGAAAAAGAGAUGACGACGCUUUUUAUUAAUACUUUGAAAGCCCCGUUCAUCACUCACAUGUUGGGAAGCGCUUCAAGAAAUUUCUCAGAUAUAAUCAUGAAUGGUGAAAUGAUUGAGCAUGCCAUUAAAAGUGGAAAAAUAGAUGGAGGAGAAAAUAAUAGGAGGGCACCCCCGAGGAAAAGAGAAAAUGAAGUGAAUAAUGUGAAUGCUUAUGGUAGGUCAAUUACCGUGAAUCAACCAAAGAAAGUGGUUGCUAAUCAACAGGGAUCAUCAAGACAAGAGUCAGGAGCUAGGCAAACUACUGAAAAGCCCCAAUUCACGCCAAUCCCGAUAUCAUACAAGGAGUUGUAUCAGACUUUAUUCGAUGCACAUGUUGUUGCUCCUCGUUACCUGAGUCCUCUACAACCCCCGUAUCCAAAAUGGUAUGAUACGAACGCGCAAUGUAAUUAUCAUGCGGGAAUUUCUGGGCACUCGAUAGAAAAUUGUACUGCCUUCAAGAAGGUAGUAGAAGGACUUAUCAAUUUAGGUGUUGUCAAACUUGACGACUCACCUAACGCAAAGAAUCCGUUACCUAAUCACGCAGAUAAGGGGGUGAAUAUGGUUAGCGAAGGUACGGGAGAAGAAGUCAAGACUGACAUUGCUGAAGUAAAAACUCCAUUGAAAUGGGUCUGGAAAGAAAUGGCGAAAAGAGGUUUGAUUAUUUCAGAUUCUGAGAAAGGGCAUGAGAUGGGAAAUUAUUGUGAAUUUCACCAUGAAACAGGGCAUGAAAUCCAAGAAUGUGAAGGAUUCAAGGCCUUGGUUCAAAGCAUGAUGGAUAACAAGGAGAUGAGGUUUUAUGAAGACGUGAAAGUAAUGAGGAGCAUAUGCGCGACAGAGUUGGGAACAAAGGCUCCAAGAAUAAAUCAUCCCGUGGUCAUUAUCUCCCGCCCUAAGGGUAACGAGGUUAGGGCUCAGGUAACGCCGAAAAUUGUAAUCCAGAAACCAUCAAAUUUCUCUUAUAAAGAUAACAAAAUGGUGCCGUGGAAUUACGGGUGUAAUGUGACCAUUUUGGGAAAAGAAGCAGAAAGAAAUCAGGAAACAGUUUUUUACACGCGCAAGGGAAAAAGAUAUGACGCUCAAGCAGAGUCGUCCAGGGAAGAGAAUUGGAAGAAAGAACAGAGGAAAGGGAAGGCAGUAGAAGUUGAACCAUUGGUAAAUGAACCAAUAAAAGAAGAAGAGGCGAAGGAGUUUUUGAAGUUUUUGAAACACAGCGAAUACAGUGUUGUGGAGCAACUGCACAAACAGCCAGCCCGCAUUUCGGUAUUAGCUUUACUCUUAAACUCAGAAGUACAUCGGAAUGCACUCUUAAAGGUGCUAAACGAAACAUAUGUGGCUGACGAUAUUUCAGUAAACAAGUUGGAUCGGUUGAUCAACAAUAUUGGUGCUGACAAUUUUAUCUUCUUCAAUGAUGAUGAAAUACCAUCCGGAGGAAGAGGUUCUACUAAAGCCCUCCACGUUACUGUCCGAUGCAAAGGGUACACACUCCCGGGGGCCUUGGUCGAUAAUGGAUCUGCACUAAAUGUAUUGCCUUUGUCCACUCUUAGUCGAUUACCAAUAGACAGUUCGCACAUGAAAGCAUGCCAGAGCAUAGUAAGGGCAUUUGAUGGAACAAAAAAGGAGGUUAUGGGGAGAAUUGAAGUACCAUUAAGGAUUGGCCCAGUCACUUAUGAGGUGGAUUUCUUGGUAAUGGAUAUUAAACCCUCCUACAACUGUCUAUUGGGAAGACCGUGGAUACACUCAGCAGGGGCGGUACCUUCAUCAUUACAUCAGAAGGUGAAGUUGGUAUCGGAGGAUCGGUUGGUAACAAUAGAUGCAGAGGAGGAUAUUAUCGCAAUGAUGACUAGCGAGACACCUUAUGUGGACAUCAACGAUGAGGCACUGGAAUGUUCUUUUCGGUCGUUAGAAUUUGUGAACGCGAUGUUUAUUGCGGAGGGAAAUAGGAUUCCAGUACCGAAAAUGUCCAGGACCACUGAGAUGGGAUUGCGAUUGAUGGUAGGAAGAGGAGCCUUACCCGGGAAAGGAUUGGGAAAAUAUCUUCAGGGGAGGAUUGAGGCACCAAUGCCGAGGGAAAAGUUUGAUAGAUUUGGUUUAGGGUACAAGCCAGACAUGAGGCAGAAGAAGAAAGAAGUAGAGAAGAGACAAGCGAGAAGAAGGGCGCGUUUGAAUGGACAUGAAGCUAAGUGUGAGCCUUUAACCUUUCCCCACAUAUCUUCAUCUUUUGUGUCGGGAGGAUUUAUUCAUUCUGAAUGUGGGGUAUCCGGUAGCGGCAUGGGAGGAAUGUUGGAAAACGUUUAUAUUAACACCAUAGAAGCAACGGAAAGGAGGGCUUUGUUGGAGAUCCGCCCUUAUGAGCCUGGAAGCGAGCUAAACAAUUGGACUGCUGAAGAAAUCCCUGUAGUCUUUAGGGCUUAUUCAGAGUAAUGCUCAAAACAUUCCUGUUGUUUGUUGGCCUAGAAACGAUACGAAAUUUUUUGUGAAAUAGGCAUUGGGCCUAAAUAUCAUUAUUUUAAUAAAAUACGUGUCUACGUUCAUCUCGAUCAGUCACUUUUUUUUUUCCUUUCAUAUUUUUCAUUUGGUUGAUUGUCUUACAAAUAAUUCUUUCAUUUGUGAUUCUUUUGCAAACAUAUUCAUAAAUUUAUAUUCUUGGUAUAUUAUUUGAUCUGCCCACAUAGGUCUUCAGAUAUCAAUGACAUGAGUGAUGCUGUCUCAAACGCGGAGCCUAUUUUUGAGCAAGAAGUGUGUUCAGAGGGAUCCCACGACUUUGAAAAUGACGAAGAUUAUGAUGCAUCUCCGGACUUGUUAAGAAUGAUGGAACAAGAGGAUAAGCAUAUCCUACCUCAUAGGGAAUCGUUAGAAAUAGUGAGCCUAGAGGAUGGAAAGGAGGUGAAAAUUGGAACUGAAAUUACCGCAAAGACAAGGCAAGACCUCAUCAAUUUGCUCCGAGAGUUCAAGGAUGUUUUCGCGUGGUCGUACCAAGAUAUGCCUGGGCUAAAUACUAACAUUGUGGUACAUCGUCUGCCCAUAAAGGAGGAUUGUAAACCCGUUCAACAGAAGCUUAGGAGAAUGAGACCUGACAUUGUGUUAAAAAUAAGAGAGGAAGUCAAAAGACAAUUCGACGCUGGUUUCUUACAAGAGGUCAAGUAUUCGGAUUGGGUAGCCAACAUCGUCCCUGUUCCCAAAAAAGAUGGAAAGGUACGAAUGUGUGUGGAUUAUAGGGAUUUAAACAAGGCUAGUCCAAAGGACAACUUUCCACUACCUCACAUUGAUACUUUGGUAGAUAACACGGCGGGCCAUUCAUUGUUUUCUUUCAUGGACGGUUUCUCUGGAUACAAUCAAAUAAAGAUGCAUCUCGGAGACAUGAGGAAAACCACAUUCAUUACCUUAUGGGGAACGUUCUGCUACAAGGUAAUGCCCUUCGGAUUGAAGAAUGCGGGAGCAACGUAUCAAAGAGCUAUGGUGACUUUGUUUCACGACAUGAUGCACAAGGAGAUCGAAGUCUAUGUUGACGAUAUGAUCGCGAAGUCCAGAACGGAAGAAGAGCAUGUUCAGGUUUUGAAAAAGUUAUUUUUGAGAUUAAAGAAAUUUCAGCUCAAGCUUAACCCGGCCAAAUGCACGUUCGGAGCCAGAUCAGGGAAGUUAUUAGGCUUCAUAGUUAGCAAAAAGGGGAUCGAGGUUGACCCAGACAAAGUAAAGGCAAUACGAGAUUUACCUCCCCCGCGCACUCAGAGGGAGGUUCGAGGUUUCCUAGGGAGGCUGAAUUACAUCGCUCGGUUCAUCUCACAACUGACAGAGAAAUGUGAUCCAGUAUUCCGGCUCUUAAAGAAACAUAACCCGGGCGAAUGGGAUGAAGAGUGUCAGAGAGCUUUCGAUAAGAUAAAACAGUACUUGGCUAAUACUCCAGUCUUAUCACCUCCAAGUCCAGAUAGGCCGUUGAUAUUGUAUCUAACAGUGCUGGAGAAUUCCAUGGGAUGCGUAUUGGGCCAACAUGAUGAGACGAGAAAGAAAGAAAGGGCAAUAUACUAUCUCAGUAAGAAAUUUACCGAUUGUGAGAUGAGGUACUCAUCAAUUGAGAAGUUGUGUUGUGCUCUAAUCUGGGCAACCCGAAGACUGAGGCAGUAUAUGUUGUAUCACACGACUUGGCUGAUUUCAAAGUUAGAUCCUUUAAAAUAUAUGAUGGAAUCAACUGCUUUGAACGGGAGAAUGGCUAGAUGGCAGAUCUUGCUCUCAGAAUUUGAUAUAGUAUAUGUCAGUCAGAAGGCCAUAAAGGGAAGUGCAAUAGCCGAUUUCCUAGCUAGUAGAGCCUUGGAGGACUAUGAAUCUUUGAAUUUCGAUUUUCCAAACGAGGACUUGAUGUAUGUGGCGAAUACUGAAGAAAACCCUCAAAUGGAUCACGUAUGGAAGUUAAAUUUUGAUGGAGCUUCGAAUGCUACGGGUAAUGGAGUUGGGGCAGUUUUGGUAUCCCCGAGUGGAGAUCAUUAUCCUGUAGCCAGCAAGUUGGACUUCGAUUGUACAAAUAACAUGGCAGAAUAUGAAGCAUGUAUUAUGGGCAUUCGUGCAGCCAUUGAACGGAACAUCAAAGUACUGAGAGUAUACGGGGAUUCAGCGUUGGUGAUAUACCAACUCAAAGGGGAGUGGGAGACUAGAGAUCCUAAGCUAAUUGGUUAUAGAAAACUAGUUCUUGAAUUGGCUGAGGAGUUUGACGAUAUCACCUUCUAUUACCUCCCACGGGAGGAAAACCAAAUGGCUGAUGCAUUAGCUACUCUAGCUUCGAUGAUUCAGGUGAAUAGACUUGAGGCAAUGAGGCCUGUUCAGAUGAGUAUCUCUGAGACCCCGGCUAAUUGUUGCAAUAUUGAGGAGGAGGGAAAAGAUGAUUGUCCUUGGUAUCGGAGUAUCUUACAAUAUGUGAAGAAUCGGGAAUACCCUGAUCAAGCGACAGAGAAUGACAAAAGAACUCUUAGAAAGAUAGCCAUUGAAUAUGUCUUAGAUGGAGAAGUGUUAUAUAAAAGAAGGAAGGAUCAAGUACUAUUAAGAUGUGUAGAUGCGGUAGAAGCCAAGAAAAUUUUGGAAGAAGUCCAUGAGGGUAUUUGUGGGACGCACGCCAGUGGUUUCACGAUGGCCAGACAGAUCAUGAGAUUUGGGUACUAUUGGCCCACCAUGGAAGGAGAUUGCAUUGAUCAUGCCAGGAAGUGCCACAAAUGCCAAAUUUACGGAGACAAAAUACACGCGCCUCCUUCACCUCUUCACGUCAUGACCUCUCCUUGGCCGUUUUCCAUGUGGGGUAUGGAUGUUAUUGGGCCAAUAUCACCAAAGGCUUCUAAUGGGCAUCGCUUCAUCUUCGUAGUAAUUGAUUACUUUACCAAGUGGGUGGAGGCUGCUUCAUAUGCAAAUGUCACAAAAGCAGUAGUCAGCAAAUUCUUGAAGAAGGAGAUCAUUUGUCGAUAUGGGAUGCCUGAGAGGAUCAUAUCCGACAACGCGAUGAACUUGAAUAAUAGCACAAUAGCUGAAGUUUGUAGCAAAUUUAAAAUUAAGCAUCAUAACUCAUCGCCGUAUCGUCCCAAAAUGAAUGGUGCAGUGGAGGCGGCCAAUAAAAACAUUAAAAGGAUUGUGGGGAAAAUGACUGAAACCUACAAGGAUUGGCAUGAGAAGUUAUCAUUUGCUCUCCUUGCCUAUCGAACAUCUGUUAGAACUUCUACUGGGGCAACGCCUUUUUCUCUGGUUUAUGGAAUGGAGGCAGUAUUACCCAUUGAAGUUGAAAUCCCUUCUCUACGGGUGUUAUCUGAGCUACAGUUGGAUGAAGCCGAUUGGAUCCAAUCUCGGUACGAUCAGUUGAACCUAAUAGAAGAAAAGAGGCUAAGAGCUAUUCACCAUGGGCAAAUGUACCAGAAACGAAUGAUGCGAGCUUAUAAUAAAAAGGUUCGCCCCCGAGAAUUUCGUGAAGGGGACUUGGUACUAAAAAAGAUUCUUCCUAUGCAAAAAGAUUUUAGAGGAAAAUGGAUGCCAAAUUGGGAAGGCCCUUAUGUUGUAAAGAAGGCCUUUUCUGGUGGAGCUUUGAUCCUAUGCGAGAUGGAUGGCAAAAGUUUACCAAAUCCUGUAAACGCAGAUUCUGUCAAGAAGUACUUCACUUGAAAGAAAGCGGAACCAAAGUGAAAACCCGUGAAGGGCGCUUUGCUUCCUAAAAAAAAAAAAAAAAAAAAAAAAAAAAAAAAAAAAGGGACUUUGGAGAGGCUUGAGUCGAAAACCCGAAAAGGGCGACUCAAGUAUUGGGCAGGAUUGGAACAUCAGGACUUGAGCGGAUCAAAUUUUGAUCAGGGGCAUAUGAUGAUCUUGCUUUACCAAUAAGGAAGGAUAUGCAACGUCUCGGAACAUUGACAGAGUAUUGCAGAUCUUAUGAACACAUGUCAAACUCAGAAGGGUCUUCGGAAAGUUUGUACAGAGAAACUCAAGCGGCGAUAACUGGGGCACCUAGUUCUUAUGUGUAUUCUUGAAAUACAUUUUUUUUCUUUCUCCCUUUCCUUUUGUGAAAACGCACAUUCUCAAUCCACUUCUUUGUUACCUUUCUUUCGCCAUCUUUGAUGUUUUAUUUGAGUUAUGAUCAGAACUAGCUUUAUUCUUAUCCAUUGUUAUGAUCUUUUUGCAAACAUGUUGCAUAGGAAUAUUGAUUAACGAACUAAUAAAACUUUCAGGAAAGAAGUUUUGCAUAUUACUCUGAAAAGUUCUAAAUAAUAUAGAAACCUGAAACAGGACUAUUGUUUAGAAAACACCAAGUUUAAAGGGUGAAGUAUCUAAGAAGGAAGAGUCUAAGUUAAAGACUAUAUUUUUGGAUUUUGUUGUCCAAACAUUGAUUGAACAAAAUGACGAGAUGUCGUGUUGGUGACAAAGCUUCAAUGAACAAACAAGCAAUGAUCACCAAAUGAUAAGAAAAGGUUUUCUCGGAGAGGAAAAUUUUGCAAUUGUGCAUGAGCAUUUGGUAUGACACCUUGGGAAUGAGGUAAAGGACCAAAGAGCUUCACAUUCUGUAUCCUUGAAUUGCGAUAAGAGAAGAUUGAAAAAGCCAUAUCUUUCUACCCUUGGAUUAUAGUGGGAGAAUGAUGGUACAAAUUUUGUGCCCUAAUAGAUUAAACUUUAAGGUUUACAGUGGGGGGCAACCAGAUUAAGUGUUUCUUUGGAUAUACCAGACGAGCAAAAAGGCGUUGUAGUACGUCAGUGAUAAAACCUUAAUAAGUUUUUACGUGAUGUUAACCUAAGCAUUAAGGAAUCAUCUUCAUGACAUUUUGCAUUCACUCAAAUGUCAUUCAUACAUAUCUAGUUAGGAGCAUUUGAUUCAUUCUGAUUAUGUCAUCCGAAUCACUAGGCACAAUUAGGUUCAUAAAAUAGAACAUACAGGUCAUGUUCCCCAAGGGACAGAUCAAUGAAGACAAAGGAUCUUGCCUUUCUGCAUUGACAGCGAAGCAGAUCGAAGACACAAACCUUGCCUCUUUCGGUUGUGAUAGAGCUGGUUGAAGACAAAAGAUCUUGCCUUCUUACAUUAACAGCGAAGCAGAUCGAAAACAAAGCCUUGCAUCCAUCGAUUGCAGUGGAGCUAGUUAAAGAAGUAGAUCUUGCCUUCCUGCAUUAACAGCGAAGCAGAUCAAAGACAAAGCCUUGCCUCCAUCGGUUGCAUUGGAGCAGAUUGAAGCCAGAGAUCUUAUCUCCCUGAGAUUACAGCGGAGCAGAUCAAAGAUAGUAAUCCUAUCUCCUUGAGAUUACAAUGGAGCGGAUUAAAGGAUCUUAUCUCUCUGAAGUUACAGUAGAGAAGAUCACAUCAGGUCUUAUCUCCCUGAGAUUACAGUGGAACAGACCAAAGAAUUUCAGAUCUUAUCUCCCUGAGGUUACAGCGGAGCAGAUCGAAGAUAUAAUCCUAUCUCCCUGAAGUUACAGUGGAGCGGAUUAAAAUAAAGGAUCUUAUCUCUCUGAAGUUACAGUAGAGUAGAUCGCAUCAGGUCUUAUCUCUCUGAGGUUACAGUGGAGUAGACCGAAGAAUUGCAGAUCUUAUCUCCCUGAGGUUACAGUGGAGCAGAUUGAAGCCAGAGAUCUUAUCUCCCUGAGAUUACAGCGGAGCAGAUCGAAGACACUAUCCUAUCUCCCUGAAGUUACAGUGGAAUGGAUUAAAAUAAAGGAUCUUAUCUCUCUGAGGUUACAGCAGAGUAGGUCGCAUCAAGUCUUAUUUCCCUGAAGAUGCAGUGGAAUAGAAACAACAAAUUUUAUCCCCCUGAAGUUGUAGUGUAGCAAGUUGAAGAUAUGAGUCUGAUCUCCCUAAAGUUGCAGUGAAGCGGGUCAGAAUGAUGGACCUUACCCCUUGAAGUUACAACAGAAGAAGAUUGAAACUACAAGUCAGAGCUUUUUGAAGUGCAAUAGAUUGAAACGACAAGACAGUGGACUGGAAUGAAGCUACCUGAAGAAGAAAAGCACCAAGAAGUCGAGACUCGACGAGACCGGGCAAAAUUGGCCUUUCUUGGUCUUUGCUCUGUUCUCGUUACACGACAACGAGCAAAGAGGGGCAGCUGUUGCAGGCCAUUUUGCCCGAGGCCCAAUUAAACACAAAAUAAAACUACCCAAUUACAACACCCAAUACCCAACAGCCCAAUAGCCCAAAAUCAUCAAAAAAAUAGGAAAAAACCCUAACCCUAGCCUCUGACAGCCACUUGUGCCGCACCCAGGCCUGCUAGUCAACCACCCCACCGACUCACCUGCUCCAACUGCUCCGCCAGUACCUGCAACAAACACCAACAAGCAACAGCAAAUACUGAUAGCAAAAAGAGAUUUUGAGGGUAGUUUGGCUAUAUAAGGCCGAUUGAAAAAAGAACUCGGGGCUUUUUUUUCUUUUUCGAUUUGUAACCAAGAAAAAUUCUAACAGAAUAAUAAAAUAUCAAGCUUCAAGGUGAUUCCCGGGAUUUUUGACUGCAAUAUUUAUUUUUUUCUUUUUUCGUUGUAUUUAUUUUAUUUUAUUUUGAUUUUGUUAAACGAAAUAAAAUAAACAUAAAAUAAAGAAAAAGAGACUCACCGGAGUCAUCCCGUGACCGCGUCGUCGGAGGUUGACUCUCCGUAUUCAGAGCCAGAUCUGAAGGGAACGAAGGUUUCCUUAUCCUUUUCGCAAGUUUAGAGUGUUUUUUGGUAUUUUGGGGCUCAGAUCGGUGUUCGGGAGGUCAUUUUAGGCCGGAAGGGCCCAUUUUUGGAACUCCGACCACCGUACACGGUGGUCGACGGAAGGUGGCCCGAUGACCGGAAGCGGCCGGAUUUUGGCCAGCCUUGGGGGCUUGAGAGAGAGAAAGCUCUCUGUUUUUAGAAAAUGUGAUGAAAGUGAUAUUUUGGGCAUUUUUUUUAUAUUUAUACAAGUCAUAAAACGGCACCGUUUUGAUAGGGUCAGGACAGCCCCAAAACGACGUCGUUUUGGGCUCCUGACCCGCGACCCGACCCGCUCCGACCCGAAGGAUCCGCGUGUUUUCUUUGCGAAGGGGCUAAUUGCUCGUUUAGCCCCUCCGCAGUUUUAAUUAUUUUUAAUUUAAUCUUUUUUUAAUUUUUGCAAAUUGGCCUAUUAAUUUAGUUUGUUUUCCGAUUUGGUCCUUCGACCAUCUGCGCCCUCCUUCCUGGAACGGCGUCGUUCUGACAUUGAGGGUUUAAUUACCCUUUCGGUCCCUCCUUUUUACGCCCGCUUGCAAUUAGGUCCCUCCGCCUUUUUUUAUUUUUAAAUUGGCCCAGAAACUUUGUUUUAUUUCGAUUUAAGUCCCUUUUAAGCAUGUUUUUUCCUUUUGCUCAUUUAUUUAUUUAUUAUUAUUAUUAUUAUUUUUAUAUAUGUGCUUAUAUACUAAUAUAUAUAUGUCUAAAAUUAUUACGAAUCUAUAUAUUUAUAAACUUUAAUAUAUAUCUAAUAAUAAUAUUAUAUUAUAUAUAUUCAAUAUUUUUUUAUAUCUACCCUGCUUUUUAUUUAUUUAAUAUCUAUAUAUUUAUAUACAUAUACUACAUAAUAUUUAUACCUACGCAUAUACAAUAUAAUACACGUGCAUACGAAUAUUUUAUUUUUAUUUUAUGAGCAUUUCUAUUUCCUUAUUUAUGUAUAUACAUGUAUUUUAUAAUUAUAUAUACUUCUUUUUUUUGUAUUUAACUUUAUGUUUUUACCUCGUAUAAUUUGUUUCUAACAUACAUACAUAUAUAUAUCACCAUUUUAUUCAUUAUUAUAAUUAUCAUUUCAUGUUGAUUUAUUUAUUUAUCUACAUGUUCGUUAUUAUUUGCUUAAAUGUCUUUAUUCUGGUUUGUUUAUUUUUUUAUUUUGUUGACUUUUUAUUAGUUACCAUACAUAAAAAUGUAAUUUGCUUUCACUAUGAUUUUGUGUUUUAUCUUACUUGAUGUAACAAUUUUUUUUUAAAUGGCAUUUCGUGUUUGGAUUCGAGAAAAUCGUGCCCUAACUUACUGGGUUUCGAUUUUCUCGAUGAAUCUAAAUACACGAAUCUUUUCAAAAUCAAGUUUUAAAUGAUCUCGAAUUUUAAAAAAGGGGUCGCAUCCUAACUUACUGGUUAUGAUCUCAUUUUUAAAUUCGAGAUGGCUAAAAUUUCUUAAAUAAACUUUUUCAUUCGCGUAUCGAGAAUUUGAGAUAUUGUAUUCUAACUUACUGAAUAUGAUUCUUUUUCUCGAAUAACGUGAAAUAUCCUCCUUUUCUUGAAAAUUUUAACAUUUUAAUACAAGGAUCGUAUUUUUAAAAUUCUUUUAAAUUCUCAAUUUUCGACAUUAAGACAUUAAGUAAUCAACUAGGUACCAAUUUUGGGCGUAUCGAGGGUGCUAAUCCUUCCUCGUGCGUAACCGACUCCCGAACCCGUUUUCUAAAUUUCGUGGACCAAAACCGUUGUUUUAAUAAAAUCAAACCGUUUAUUAAAAACAACUAUCUUUCGAGGUAAUCCAAUCACACCUCAUAAAAAAAAGAUUGGUGGCGACUCCCAUUUUUGUUUUCAUUUUCCAAAACCCCAGUUGACCCCGUUUUCAUCAAAAAUGGUGUCAACACAUGAAGUAAACCAAAAAUAAAAAAUAAUAAUAAUUAACUUCAAAGCUUUAUUUUUUAGUCUAAGCAUAUUUAUUUAACUAAGCAUAAUUUCAAUAUUAUUUUGAAGUGAUUAAACCAUGAUUAAAAAAAAGUAAAGUAAAAGAUAAAGGGCACAUUCUUUCUUUUCUUUUCUUUUCUUUUUUAAAUGAGGUAAAGAGCACUGUAAAAAUUAGAAUGUAGGUAAUGACAAUAUAUCGUAAAAAAAAGAGAAAGAAAAAAUAAAGAAUACACAGAUUUUUACAUGAAAACCUUUUUGGGAAAAAAACACGGGCAGAGAAGAAGAAAAUUCACUAUUUCGAAUUCGAAUGAUUACAAGAGAAUUAGACUAUGUCUAUUAAUAGGCUUGUAAAACCAUAUUCUAAUAAGAGUGUUGUACGAUUGAAACACCUUAUUUUAAUCAAUAUCAAAUAGAUGGAGUUUAAUAAUGUUUUAAAAACCUUAUUCUAAAAUAAAAUAAAAUAAAUGUAGUUCUAUAUGGACUUUACUUUUAUUUUACCAUUGUAUUUUAUUUAAAUAAGAAUUCAAGUCAUUCAAUUCUAACAAACACAUUGUUAAAUUGCAAAAUUUUAUAAUAAAAGAAAAUUGCUUCAAUUUUCUUCUUCAAGAAUUUCUAACUUUGAACUAACCACUAGUCCAUUAUUGAUUUUUUUCUCUUUUGUUUUUAUGGUUUAUGAUUUUAAAGUUUAUUUAUUUCUUAAUAUUUUAUUUUUUAAUAAUUUAAAAUAUGUUUUUAACAACUAAAUUACCUUUUAACAUGUUUAAAAUAAUCUCCCAUUCCCAUCCUAAUAUUUUAUAUAAAAAAACACGUGUUUAAAACAAUAGAUUUAAUUUAUUGUUUUAAAAGAAAACCCAGUUUGAAGAAACAAAUAAACCUUCACAUCCUAGGUUCUAUCCAUGCCACUCUCAAACACGGCCAUGUUCCCCUGUUUUCCCCUGCAUUUGCGUUUCACACAUGGCCUACAGCCUGGAUACAUGGUCGUGUGGCUCCUACACCUUACUCUUUUGCAUCACACACGGCCAAACGCACGGCCGUGUGGAUCUUUCGCACAAGGCUUGGAGUCUCGCACACAGUUGUGUGGCUCUUACACCUUUACCCUUCGCAUCCCAUACGGUCUGGGGCUUCACACACAGGCUGGCCACACCACCGUGUGGCCCUUGAAACUUAAAAAUCACAGUUUUGUCUUAUCUUUUAUUAUUUAUGCAAAUCAGUCCUUGAGUAGGUUUUCAAUGACAUUUAGAGAACUAGAUUAUGCAAUUAGGUCCUAGGCUAGGAUUAGAAUGAUUGAAUUUAUGGAUGAAUGAAUUUAUGAUCUUAAUUACUUUUGAUUAAUUGUUUGAUCUGUGAAUUAUUUUAUGUUUAUCAAUGUUAUAUAUGUCGAAUGAACGUCGCGUAUACCUAAAUGAUUGAACUAUUGAUUGAUGGAUAUAAUCAUGAAUGACGUUGUUUUGCAAUAAAUUAGAAUAUUGAAAGUACUAAUGAUUGAAUGAAAGUACGCAUUAAAAAAAUGAUCGCAUUGCAUAUGCAUGGGAGGACAAUAUGGUAAGGAGGAAGUUAUGGCUGUUUAAUAAUUUGCACUAUCUGGUGGUAUAUCCACAUAUCUGUUUUGGCAGCUUGACCGCAACUUAGUGGCUUGACCACAUAUAUCUGACCUGGUAGUUUAACUGUAAAUUGAUAAGCCAACGUUGUCAGGCAACCUGAGGUGGCAUGUCAUCGUUGCCAGACAACCCUAGAUGACUUAUUUGGUGUUUUUGGAGGAGGGAUUCCGAGGAACUCCCUAUUUGGAGAGCUUGUUGUCGAGGGUAGGAUUGUCGAUUGUUAAAUGAUCACGACUUGAUACAUUGAGCAUACUCAUGAAAAGUAUGUAUUGAAAUGUUUGAACUGUUACAUGUGCAUAUGGUUAUUAUGGAAGAUAUAAUGAUUUGAUAACUGAAUUCGUCUGAUUGGUUGAAUGUUAAAUAUCGCUUGCUUAAGUAGCAAGCCCGAAUUACCGUACUGAAUUGAUUGAUAUGUGAAAUUGAUUGCUAUUCGUAAUGUUUAUAAUCGAAUAUUGAAUUGGUAUAUUGUAGAGGAACUCACACUGAGCUUCCUUAGCUCACUCCCCUUAUUUUUCAUCUCUUCAGAUAACCCAAUGGACCAGGACGCGGACUUGACAUGCAGAGGGUCUCAGCUUGUUCUCACCAAUGAUUUUUUAUUAAUACGAUUAUCAUUUUAUUUUAUUAAAAACCGUGGUUUGGGACAACUACUUUUAAUUACAUUAAUUAUGAUGCAUAUUAUUAAUAGGUAUUUAUAUAGAUGGAAUGGUCCAUACUUAAUAUUAAUUGUUGAUAAUGAUUUUAGUAUGUUGUUAAUUUAUUAAGUGUUUUACACAGGUUAAUUAUUAUACAAAGAUUAUUGAUUUAUUUUUCGUUGCUAAGUUAAAGUUGGUUUUUAAUUGAUUAAUAUGAGAUAUUCACUAUUAUACAACAAGUUUAUAAUUGAGAAUAGAUUUGACAGGGUCACUUUGGUGAUUAAUGUGAUCUCUUCGGUUCAGGUCUAUCGUCUAGGCCGGGUUGGGGUGGUUACAAAAUUCGAUUAGAUCCUAUAUAUACUUAAAAUUUGAACUCAAGAUAAUUUAAAGAAAAACCUACACACAAAAAAAUUAUAUAUAGCGAAGACUUGAAUCCAAACACUCAAAAGAUUAAGACUUCAAUUUUUGCAAAUAUUACCAAAAUCUCAUUUCAAAUUAUAUCAUUAGACUUCUAUUAUUAAUAAUUAAGUCAUUUAUACUAAUUUCAUUUAAUAUUUUUAAUGUAAAAGCUACUUCAACCUGCAUACUGUACUUAUGUUUUUAACAUAAUCAACCUUCCAAAAUUAUUGUAAGUCGCAAAUGCCUUUUUCAUUAAAAUUUCUUAAUGGAAUUAAUAUAAAUGAUUUAAUUUGUUAAUAAUAAAAUUUUAAUAAUCUAAUGUAAUAAAAUUUAAAUUUUGUGACUUAAAUUUAAUUACCUUAUAAAAACCUCUCAUGUUUUCCUAUACAUAUCACUCCCUCUUUUAGCUUUCUUUUCAUUUCACAAUCAUAUUAUGUUAUUUCUAUUAAAAAAACAAUAUAUUUAAAGCUCAUGUUUGUAACAUCCUUAACUCGUCUCUGUCGUCAAAUUUGGGUUACAAAGUAUUACGGCACAUAUAAAAAUUAUUUACACCAUUAAACCACUCAUUUAAUAAAUUAAAUAAGCACAAUCAAAUUGCAUUUUAUUUAUGUCAAAAUCACAUUUACAGCCUUAAAUCAAGCUUAUGAGGUUCUAAAAAUGGUUUCGGAACAAUCCAAGACUAAUUAGAAUCAAAACAGAAAAAUAUGUAAAAAAAAAUUUGAAAAUUUUAGAAACAUGGGUCACAUGCCCUUGUUGCUAGAUCAUGUAACUAAUUGUGACCGUGUGGAAAAUCCUACACAUAAAAUUAAUAAGACACACAGCUGUGUGGCAUAGCCCAGGCUGUGUGCACCUUAAAAAGCUUCUAAAACAAGGCAAACUUUCAUUUAACACCUAAGUACCAAGCCAAAUCAAAAUCAUCAAUUUCCAUACUUUAAAAACACAUUCAAACAAUCCUAAAGCAUGCCAAAACAUUCAACCUAAGUGCCAAAUCAAUGUGUCCUUAUUGACACCACAAAUCAAAUAUUAAAUAAAUUUGCAUUCAACCUUAACAAAUUCAUACAUUCCAUCCAUUCAAACAUUAAGAACUACCAAUAUUAUCUACACAACUUCAUAGUAUAUAUCAACCUAAAUACCAAUUCAACAUGACCAUUAACACACUUCCAAAAGAACCAACUUAUAAUACAUAUACAAUCAUUUACAACCUAAUACAAAACAUGUCCAAACAUUCACAAAAUAAACAUCCUAUAUACAUGCCACAUAGAACCAACAACCAAGACUUCAAAAUCUACCGAUAAUAGUCGAUGAUAUGUGUGAGCUCCGAUGAUCCAAUCAACACGCUCCAAAAGCUCAAAAUCUACAGAAAACAAUAACAAAGUAAGUAGAAGAACUACUUAGUAAGUUUUCACAAUUUAACAUAUAACUUAACAAAUUCAUUUAAAUGGCAUUUGCACAUAAUAAAUGAAUUCAACCUUAUCACAACAUAGUCCAACAAUUUCAUGUUAGAAAUGUUUAACUGUACAUAUAACUAGAAUUCACAUCAAAUAAAACAAUGCUCGUAUGAGCUAUUCAAAUACAAAUUAAACAUGUCAGGUUAGCUGUUCGGGUUAUACCAAUGAAAUUACAGAUAAACUAGCGUAGCCAAGGUUAGGUAUACAUGUAAAACGACAACGGAUUACCAGUCCAUGAUAAAUCCUUGUCACGUGUACAUCCGAGUCCGCAACACAUGCAGGAACUCAAUCCAGAUCAAAAACUCAGAUAGAAAUCUCAUGUAAGAACUUUUACUCGAUCCAUCGAAAUUAUCUUGGAAGUUCAAUAUAAAUUACAUAGUUAAUUUUGAUUCAACAAUUUUCUAAAGUAUAUAUAUAACACCAAUAACAAUAAUAUAUAUUGACAAAUUAUACAAAAAUAAUUGUAAAAACUUACCGAAUUACGAUAGCUACCUAGAACCGAAGAUGAUUACUCCAUGACCUUCCCUUUUCCAUGAUUUAUAACUGAUUCAUUCGUUUCUUGAUCUAAACGUAAUAAAUUAAUUCAAUUAACUAAUUCAAACACCACACAAUACUUAUAUUCAAACCAUUCCACCUUUAAUUAAAUUUCACACAAUUACUCUUAACAAUUUAACUUUAUUCAGUUUAACCCAUACUUCAAAAUUUAAAUCAAUUAACAUAAUUAAGCUAAAAUCCCAAUGAACCAAAUUUCUAAAUCUCAAUAAUAUCCCAUAAAUUCUAAAUUUUAUCAUAAAUCCAUGAACUUUUCCUAAUUUAACAUUUAAACCCCUAAUCAUCAACAUCACCAAAAACUACUUAACAAAUUAAUUUUGUCCAAAAAUCGAGCUCACAAAAACCAUUAUAAAGCUUCAAAAAUCUCAUGAAUUCAACAAUGGCAAAAGUCAAAAUAUCUAAUAAUUUAAUAAAUUAAAACUCAGGUUAUUUGGACCUAAUUGUAACGAUAUCAAAAACACAAAAUUUUCCUUAAACGAAAAUGAUGAUAAAUUCUUCUUUUAUUUUCAGCAACAACUAACAAAGAUGAUGAUAAUUUCUUCCUUUUCUUUAUUUGUUAAUGUUUUAUUUUAUAAUUACCUAUUUACCCUUAUAAUUAACACUAUUCUAAUCAAUUCAGGCCCACAACCGUCCAUCACAAGUCUUCAUGGAAUAAUUACCAUUUAAGGCCAUAAAAUUCAAAUUACUUUAACCAUUUAAUGCUUUAACUCAACUAAUAACCACCAACUUUCACAACUUUUACGCUUAAGUCUUUUUUACUUAAUUAACUAACUAAAUGUUAAAAUUUCUUGAUCGAACUCUAAUACAACAUUAUAGAUUUCCUAUAAAUAUUAAUUAAUCAAUAAAACACUAAUUUACUAGCCAAAAUUGUGGUCCCAAAACCACUAUUCUCAAUACCACUAAAAAACGGGAUGUUACAAUGUCUUAAUUGUCAAUUGGGAAAAAAAAUUAAAAAGGAAUUUGGGUAUUUUAUUUUUAGGUAUUAGAGUACCUUUAUUAUAUGAACUGAUUAGAAGGCACUUUUGCCUGCUUUAAUGAAUUUUGGAAUUGAAAUGUAGCUCAAUAUAUAACCUAUAGUUCUCUCUUUCUUUUAGAGAUUAUUUUGUUGAUUCCAAGGAUUCCUCUUGUUGAGUAAUUUUCCAUUGUGUCUCACUGAAGGGGACAAUUGAAUAUAGAUAUACAUGGUUAUUGUUCAUGGAAUUGACGUUCUUAGUAGGCUCUAUGCAUGUUGGACACGUGUAUUAUUCUGGUCUACCUAUUGGAUCUUGUGGCCCUCACAUACGAACUCCUUGGGUAUGUACGAACUAGGACCGCGAAUUCCCCUUGCUGAGCCCCUUGUGAGCCCUUCUUGGCAUGUGCAAACUAGGACCGCAAACUCCCUUGCCGACCUCCCACUAUAAGGUUGCACGCAUUCAUCUGGUAGGGCCUAACCAGGUGCGGGUAGGUGACCUGGACCUUAUCUGAUUUUCUGGUUGAUAAUCAUAAAUACAUAACACCCUGAAAAACAACAUUAUUGAUUGUUAAAAUUUCAUUUUGAAGAUACAUUGCUUCUAUGUUCAUGCAAUAUUUUCACUUGUAAACUAUGAUUUUUCAUAAUCUUGAAUUAGAUGAAAUGAUUUUUAUCGGAGUUCAAUAAAAAAUGGCAAGAACAAAAGUCCAUGAUUGUUGAUUAGUGGAAGAAGUAGGAUUCGCGAGGAAUCAAAUUUAAGAAUAAUUCCAACUAAAAAUUUGAACACAAUUUUUUUGUCACUCUGCUGAUUGUUAUAUCUCUCCUACGAAUAGGGACAUGUGACAAGUCAAAAAGCCAUUUAAGAGACAAACUCCUCCACCUACUAAUAAAAGGUCACCAAAAGCUUCACCUCCUGUCCUAAUCACUGGGCAAACAGGAGGUAGUCAUUCAGGGAGGUUAACCACCCAUUCCUCUAAGCUCCUAGUCUCCUGUUAAGAACAUGAUUUUUUUUGUCACCAAACCACACAUGGAUACAACUGCUCCGUACCACCGAAUUAGAAUGGAUGACAAGAUUUAUCCUAUCACAAGCAUCCUAGUCCCAUCGAAGAUGUCCAGCUCACGCAUUCAGCAAUGAUGACUCAAUGGCAGGUCUAACACAUUAACACUAUCUUACAUGGGACCCAACUUAUAAAAACCCCUAAAGGCAAUGAAGAAAAGAGCAGCUCCUAAGCAUACAAAACCUACAGUCUGCCAAUUUGCUCCCAGCACUUAGCCUUUAGACUCUCUCCAUUUUCACUCUUUGUAAUCUUCAACUCUUCAUCCCGAUUGGGUUAAUCAGCCUUCAUAGUCACCACCACAUCCUCCUCUUUACUACUUCCUUAUUGUAUCACCGUAUCAACACUAGUGGCUCAACCCAUCAAAAAUUUUAUUUACUAAGAUCCCUAAGAAAAACUAAAAAUACUUAAAGCUCAAACCCAAAUGACUUCAACUCAAAAUAACCUGAAACUAAAAUUACCUUAAACCUAAAAUUUAAUAUUAGCUUGAACUUUGAGAUAAAAUCAAUAUGGAACCGAUAUAUACUACAUUUUUUUCCUCACAAACUCUGAAAUUAUGGUUCAAUAUUGUUUUUAAAGUUGUUUGAUAUGAUGCUAGAAUUGUACCAUCUUUCCGGAAAUUAAACAUGUAUUUUAAAUGAAACAUCGUUUUAGCCUAACGUGCUUAUUUUAUUUCUACACGACAAAUUUGCACCAAAAAAAGAGAGAAAAGAAUAGGAUUAAUACUGGGUAAUCGAUGAAAACCGAAAAGAGGCUGAUAAAAAACUGCAAUGAAUGCAAGAAGGUAAUUGCAAGCUCGUAGUGAUGUACCCAAGUCGUUGAUUUGAUGCAUAAUUUAGUAGUGGCGAACCAAAGACUUGAGGCGAGUAUAUGAUUAUGCAUUACACGUAUGCUCCAUCAUGGAGGUGUGGGUGCAAGUAAAGAGAUCAAAUAUAUGAUUAUGAAAUUAUAAAAUCGCUGAAGAGUUUAGAAAUAAAUUAUAAAUUUUAAAAGACCAAAGUGAAAUUUUAUCAUUAAAUUAAUAUGUAAUUUCACAAAAAUUGAAAGGAUUAAAUGGAGAUUUACCAUUUCGAGGUGCUAAGGCCUCUGCUUGCCUUCAUUGUUUACGCCUUUGUCAAUGUCUCUUUUAUAAAGUCUCGAAUUUAAGUUUUGUGAAUAAAAGACAGUAAAAAUUUUAUUGUACGUUUAAAAAUUUAAUUGAUUUGAUUUCGAAUUUAAUUAGGGUUUAAUGUAAUUAUCAAAGUAGAGUUUUAUAUAUAUAUAUAUGGAGUAUGGAGAAUGGAGAAGGGAUUAUUAAAACUGUGCUUCCACGUCAUCCUUAUCCCUUUCCAAUAGAAGAAUGACAAAUCAGAUUUUUCCUCCUGAUUUUUAACCUUUUUCUCCUGAAAAAAUUCAAAUUCAACUAAAAAUGCUAAAAAUCAUGAGUAAAAAUCUGAUUUGUCAUUCUCCUAUUAGAAAUAAAUAAAGAUGACGUUUUAUACCAUCUAUAUAUAGAGUUAUAAUUAUGCAUGUAUUGAAUGGUUAAUGUCUUCUCUUAUUCAGUCAUCAACGGUGGCUGUGCUUGUUGCUUUCAAAAGGGUUAGGGCUAAGGAAAAAAUAUGGAGAAAUCAAAAAUGGAUUUAUAUCAUAGUGUCAAAAUACAAAUUUAAAAAUUACGAUUAUUUGAAUUGAAUUGAAUUUUUUUAUUUGAAAUAAAAAAAUUUAUAUUUAAAAUAGUGAAAAAUAAUUUAAAGUUUUUUAAAAAAUAAUAUUAAUUAUUAUAGUAGGAAUAAAUUCACACCACACGCAUAAAAAUUAAUAUCCGAAGGAGAACGUUCAAAUAAAGACUUAUCACUAACUUUUUUAAAGCCUCAAGCUCGAGCAGGUUCUAUGGGUGACUAGUCCAAACACCAUAGUUGUCCAUUUUCAUUGUUGAUUAUCUUAAUUCAUUGUAUUCCAAAUUUCACUUUCAUCAAUUUAGUCUAAUGUUUCACACGAGGAUUGAAAUUAUGUAUUUAAAUAUGAAUAUACGUUGAUUAUAGAAAAAUUAAAAAUAAAAUAAAAUUUUAAAUAACAUUGAACAACUUACAAUUUAAAUUUUCAAAAUACUUGAUGCUUCUCAUUUUCAUCAAUAUGGAAAAAGAAAAAUUGCAAAAUAAAUAUUGAAAAAAAAGUAAAGUAUUGCAACAAGAGAACUUUGAUCAAAGGCAAGGAAUAAAUUCACAUUCCCUUAUGGUUUCCCUUUAAAUGGUCAGAAAAAAAAAUAUGGGGUCCCUAUAUGUCAAAAAAGAAAGUGUUUUUUUUUUUCUCAUAACAAUGAAAUUGUUUUUUCUGCCAUUUAGUGGGGAUCCCACUUGUAACUUUUUUUUAAUAAAUUAACAAUGAUGAUAGUGGGAAUUUUGAUAAAGUUUAUAUUCCCUUUUGAUAUUGAUUUAUAUAAAUAAAAGAUUAAAUUAUGUUAUUCAGUUUUGUAAAUUUCAGUUUUCGAUGGCGUCAGUUUAUUAUUUUUAUAUAUUAUUUAUAACAAAUUUACAUUUUAAAAUUCAAAAAUAUAAGGACUAAAAUUGAUUGAUUUGAAAAAUACGUGGAUUAAAUUAAAUAAAUUAAAGCAGAGAGGCUGAAUUAAUAACUUAUGCAAAGUAUAAGACUAAUAGUGUGAAUAUGUUGAGUGUAAUUUCUUUUCAUUAAAAAUAGUAGGCUAGGAGCAAAAAAAAAAAAAAACACCCUCUCAAUAAAGUAGCUCAUGGACUGCAUGUGAGUUAAUUUAUCCAAUAUCUCAAAAUAAGGUUAUUAAUUAUAUGGCCAAAAUAACUGUAUUAAUAGUAAUUUAAGCUGUUCUUUUUUACCAAAAGAAAAUCAAUUUCGUUACUCAAUUAUCUUUUUCUACUUAAUUAAUCAUGUUUAAAUUAAGAGAUUAAUGUCAACUUAUUUAUUUUUUAUUAGAUUUAGAAAAAGUGGAAAAAGUUGCAUCAAAUGAAAAGAAGAAGAAAAUAUAAAACGCGAAAAAAGAGAAAACUACAAUGUAUGUUUUCUUUUUAGGCAAUUAACGUUAUAAUUUUAUUAGUGAGGUCAAACACUUUAAUUUAAAAUUCUCAAUUAGGUUUCAUAAUUUGUGUGUGUAUAUAUUUAUGUUAUAUUUCAAUUUUUUAAUCAUAUAAUAAUAUAAAUACAAUAUAAAUGAUUCAAUCUAUAAAAGAAAGUCAAAGAUGAUACUGUAUUAAAUGUGUUGAGCUUUAAUCCGCGCUAGACGCUAUCAAACCUUUCCUCCAAUUUACAUAUUUUGUUAAUUUGAUUCCUUUUUUUUAAAGUUAAAUUCGACCAUUAAUCUUUGAAAGAGUCAAAUCAUUCUUUUAACGGAAAUGUUGACUAAAAUAUUAAUUUUCUUAAACGAUAUUGGCAUGACAAUCCACGUGACCGUCCACGCAUACUCCAUGCUACCUUGAUAUGUUGGUUUUCUAUGUAUUUUUAAAAUUAUUUUAGCAAGAAAUGUUAUCAUAAUUUUUAAAUGUAUAAAUCUUCUAUUUAGGGUUGAGCAAAAAAUAGUUCAAAUUGAAAAUCGAUACAAAUCAAGAUAUUUGAACAAUUUAUGGAAUGUAACUUUAGGGAUCGCAAUUACUCAAAAAUUGAAUCCAAUUAGGCUUUUUAUUUAAUAUAUAAUUAAUUUUAAAAUUUCAAGAUAUAAAAAUAAAUACCUUUAAAAUAGUGAAAAUAAUUUAAAUUUUUUUAAAAAAUCAUUAUUUUUUAGAAAUAUUUAUGAAAAAGACCUUGAAAAUUUGUCAAACAAUAUUCAAAAUCCAUAAAACAAAGCUCGUUUUAUCAAAAUAAGUCUAAAAAAUCAAAACAAAAAGUUAAUAUGAAAAAACUGAAAACCAAACCGAAUAAUGAUGGACGGUUCGAAAAAUCUAAACAAAUGCAUCAAAUUCUAGAAAAUAAGAACAAUAUUUAAUUUAUAGAAUAUAAAAUGAUUAGGGAAGGUGAAAGCUUCAACACCCUAAUUAAAAGAAAAAUUUGUAAAUGAGUUUUGGAAUAAAUAUAAAAUGAUGAGAUGAAUAAAAGAAUAUUUGUAAUGAAAAUAAAAUUAAUAUAUCCAUGCAUGCAAAAUUAUAGGGAUCACAAAAUCAAUUAAACAAUUUUCAACGUUUUAUAUAUAUACAUAUAUGUUUGAAGGUCAAUGAAGCUUGUGGGGGCAUUCACAGCCAAUCAGGAGCCAAAUCUAUUACACACUGCUCUAGGGACAAAAUGAAAUUUUAAUAUUUAAUAAAUUAAAUUUAACAUAUUUAGCAUUUUACUGAUAAUUUUAUUAGUGAUGAAUAUAAAUAAAAGAACACGGUCAUGUGCACCUCACGUGGAUAACAAGCAUCUAAAGCUUACAUUUUGAUUCACUUUCACUUGUUUCCUCUUCUUCUUCCUCUUGCAGCUACAAACGACCGCAAACUCUCACUUUUUUUUUUUUUUAAUUCUCUCUUUAUUUAUUGUUAUAAAAGUUUUUCCUCUGAUUCUUACAGUUAGCUGAAACCCCAAAAGAAUGUCUCUCAAAUGCAAAGCUUGUUGUUGAUUUCUUGAUCUUCUUCUUCUUCCUUUUUUUUUUUUUUUUAUUCACAAUGGGAGCCUGCACUUCAAAGCCUUCAAAGCCAAACUCAUAUGCCACAAGAGAGAAUCUCCAGAAUGACUAUCCUGCCACUUCCCAAUUACCCAAAUCCCCUCCUCCUCCUCCUCUUCUCCCUCCGACCACACCUUUCCUCCCUUUGUACACCCCAAGCCCUGCCCACCACCACCAAAAACCCAAGACUCCUUCCACUCCUCUCAGGUUUUUACGCCGUCCUUUUCCUCCUCCUUCUCCCGCCAAGCACAUUCGGGCUGUGUUGAGGCGCCGGAAGUCUAACAAGAAAGCCGAAAAUGAGGGUAAAAUUGUUGAAGGAGAGGAAGAAGAGGAGGAAGGAGUUGAGUUGGAUAAAAGAUUUGGGUUUUCAAAGGAGCUGAAGAGUAAGUUGGAAGUCAAAGAAGAAGUUGGCAGAGGGCAUUUUGGGUAUACUUGUUCUGCUAAGUUUAAGAAAGGAGAGUUUAAAGACCAGCAGGUUGCUGUUAAAGUUAUUCCCAAAUCCAAGGUUUGGUCUUUUGUUUUUAUUUUUUUUCCAAGUUCAUUCCUUCUGACAAUGUAUGUAAUUGUAAAUGUUUGAUACUUUCUUCUUCGUGUUUAUAAGAUUAAAUGAGAGAUUCUUUGUUUUCUUAUUAGAUUUUGAGUUUUGGCUACAAUUGACUUUCUAUUUUGUUCAUGAUGGAUAAUUUACUGUUUCAGAACCCUUCUAGAGGAAGAAAAUAAGUUUCUAUAUCUUUAGUGUAAAACAACACUAAAGUGGCCAACUUGUUUGCUUAUUUCUAGGUAAGUGGGAUGAAGACUUUAAUAGUUUGAAUGUGACACGAAGAGAAUAUUGAUAGAAAUCAUAGGGAAGUUUACUGUUCCAGAAUUAGGUGAAAUUAUUGGCUUUAAUUCAGGGUAAAACAACAUAAAGUGGCCAACUUGUUUCUUUGUUGAUUUUUAUGGGUUAAUGGAUAGGAUGUGAUCAUAUAGUGCUACCAUCCACCUGGUUAACUCCUGAUUAUUUUGAUUUAUAAAGCUUACCACAUCUUUGUCUUGGGUGUUUGUUUAGGUCAAAACUUUGGACUAUUUGAUAUAUUAAGCUCGCCACAUCUGACUUUAAUAUUUUAGGCCUAAAAAGUGCAUUCUUUUUGGGUAUGAAUAAGGUAUCUUUCAUGUCUGUUUUACGGUCCAUAAACACUAAUCUUUUCAGACUUCGUAAUUGCCCCUCCUAGCAAUGUGACAUCUGGGGUCCUAAAAGAUGCAUCUUUGAAUCAUUAAGUUGUAUGUCUGGGUGCUGGUGGAACUUGGAAGUGAAUAUUUUAUGAUAAGAAACUGCUGAAAUUCUCUAGAGGAUAUUGACAUAUCAUUUUCUCUACACUUUGAAUUGACAGGUGCUACUGAAGUACCACUAUUCAAUGGUUAAGAAUAAAUUGAUUUAUUGGAAUGAUCAUGGUCAGGCAGAACCAGUCAACUAGUACCUUAUUGUCUUUUACUGGCUUAUACUUGCAACCAAGACGGAAAAAACCAAAUGGUUGUAGUUAGAUUGCACAUCCAUUGUCUGUGUCUGUUGCAUGAUUGCUCCGAAACUUUUUUGUCAUCAAUUGACCUUGGAAGCAAUACUUUGAACUUUUGCAAGGCAGAGAGAAACAUUCUACUAUUGCUUCUUUCUUAUUCUUUGAUUAAGAUGAUAUUUUGACUUAAUUUACCCCGACUAGCAAGAUGGCUUAAGAUGUAAUGUAACUACUAAUAAAUUGCUACGUAAGCCUUCUUUCUUCCUUUUGUGUAUUAAUCUUUGAUUGCGAUGGUCCCUUCUUAAAUGGAAAAAGAAUAGGAACAGAUAAGGAUGGAUUUCCUUUCGCAACCUGCUACCGAGUAGAACUGAUUAAAAUUUGUCAAUAUAGGCCCUCUUUUUUUUAUAUUCCAACUCACUUUAUCAAAGCAAAGAUUUGUUGUAAUAUGAUGUUGUGGGUGGUUUCGGUUUGUUAGUAUUUGUUUAACGACAACUAAAAUGUAAUGAAAACGGAAUGAAGGCAGAGGUGGCUUCUAUUAUUCAUUUUCUAUUUUCUUCAAAUCAAUUAACAAAUAGCCUGAAGCGAAUGCCUUAUAUUUAGUUAUCCUUGAUGCAGUUUGUUUGUUGGGAAAAACAAGUUCUAGUUAAUGUUUGAUGAAGAUAGAUUAUGAUCGUGUUCUGUUCUACUUUUUCCCUUGGUUUGUCUUUAUGUGUUUUUCUUAUGACAAUUUAUUUAUGUGUCAGAUGACAACAGCUAUUGCAGUUGAGGAUGUAAGAAGGGAGGUGAAGAUAUUGCGAGCCCUGACAGGACAUAACAAUCUAGUGAAAUUCUAUGAUGCAUUUGAAGAUCAUGAUAAUGUCUAUAUAGUAAUGGAGUAAGCUCAAGACAUGCACUACCACUCACGUGAUCUUAUUUUAAUUAAAAGUUUGAGUAAUAUGAUUGGAAUUACAGGUUUUGCGAAGGAGGUGAGCUUUUGGAUAGAAUUCUUGCCAGGUGAUUGUUCUUGUAAUAAAUAGCUAAAAUUUUGAGAAUGGUUUAUUGUAUGGCCUCUAACUUGAAAGUGAAAUUAUGCUUGCAGGGGCGGAAAAUACUCUGAAGAUGAUGCAAAAACUGUGAUGGUACAGAUACUAAAUGUUGUUGCUUUUUGUCAUCUUCAGGGUGUGGUGCAUCGGGACCUUAAGCCAGAGGUGGAGCAAAUUCUCUUUUUUCUUACUCGAUAGUUAAAAGGAAUAAAAGCAUGAGUAGGUAGUGAUCCUCAAAUGCAUUCUGUAUGGUUUAAUAUAAACACAAAGCAUACAUAGAUCAUAGAUGUGUAAUAGGAGUUAUGGUUGACAAUUUCCUAUAUUGAAAAUUGACCUAAUGAGGGGCUAGGCAAGUGUGUGCCCUCUGUCGGGUUAAAGUUGUAGGACAUUUUUCAUGCCACAUCAUCAUGGCUGAGUCCGUUACCAUCUUUUUGUGAUAGAUACCCUGUAAAUAACUUGUGACCUUUUAUGUGUUUUUUACCGUUUUGAAGAAUCUAAACUUAGCAUAUUUCUGGACCAGAACUUUCUAUAUACUUCUAAGGAGGAGAACUCUCAGCUUAAGGCCAUAGAUUUUGGAUUGUCAGAUUUUGUCAGACCAGGUUUUUACUCUUCUUGCUCAGCUUCCUCCUGCUCAACCUUUCGGGAUUCUUUUAAAUAUCUAAUACUUAUGGUUUUUUCAGAUGAAAGACUUAAUGACAUUGUGGGAAGUGCAUACUAUGUGGCCCCUGAAGUUCUACAUAGAUCUUAUGGUGCAGAAGCUGAUGUUUGGAGUAUAGGCGUAAUAGCAUAUAUUCUUUUAUGCGGUAGUCGUCCAUUUUGGGCUAGGACCGAAUCCGGAAUUUUUCGAGCAGUCCUAAAAGCUGAUCCAACUUUUAACGAAGCGCCUUGGCCUUCCUUAUCUUCAGAAGCUAAGGACUUUGUUAAGCGCCUUUUGAAUAAGGACCCCAGGAAAAGAAUGACAGCAGCUCAGGCUCUAUGUGCGUGCCUGGUUUUAACUACAAUAUUAGGUUGCUGCAUCCUCAGGCUAGAGUAACAAGCUUUGCUCUUUUGUUCACAGGUCAUCCUUGGAUCCGGAGUCAUAAUGAUGUUAAGGUCCCUCUUGACAUUCUAGUAUUUAGGCUUAUGAAGGCAUAUAUGCGAUCAUCAACUUUACGGAAGGCUGCUUUAAAGGUGUGUAUGCUAAUGGGAUGAAAUUCUCUUCUUCUUGUACUUUACCUAUGCCACUGUGUAACACUUGGUCUUGUGACCACCAUGCUCACACCAAUCAACUUCGAUUAUUCUUUGCUCACUUCAUUAUAUCUGUAAUUUAGAAUGUAAACUAGAUAGUGCAUGAUUCAUCAAGAUCUGAUGCCUAAGUGAAACCUAUUAGUAUGAUGUGAGAAGCUGAAAAUGAUCUCAUAUGCUGCUAUGCAUGUCGUUUACUGAAUGGUGUACUUCACCAAGGUCUUGGAGAAUCGAGGAGAUUUGUUUUACUACUAAGAGAUAAGCCUUUAAAAUAAACUCCAGAGAGUACUUUAACUUGGUUAUGUCAUUUAUGAUUCUCUGGUGGAAAGAUCUGAUACACUGAUUCUUACUUGAAAUCAUCAGUUUUUACGAUUAAUUCAUUCCUGCAGGCACUGUCUAAGACAUUGACUGAGGAUGAACUCUUUUACAUGAGAGAGCAAUUUGCAUUAUUCGAGCCCAAAAAUGGUAGCAUAACCUUGGAGAAUAUUAAGACGGUUAGUCUCCGUUCCUGCCCCCACCUUUGAUAUGUUGUUAGAUGAUACUCUUUUUUGAUUAUUCGUUUUCUUGAUGGCAGGCCCUGAUGAAAAAUGCAACAGAUGCAAUGAAGGAUUCACACGUUCUGGAUUUUCUUUUCUCAGUAUGAAUGCAGUUAUUCUUUCUUUUAUGUAGCCAUUCCUUGAUUAUAUGGUCAUCAAUAAGUAGCUUAUUCAAGUCCCUUCCAUUUAAUUUCCAUUGCAUGACAGCUUAAUGCACUUCAAUACAGAAGAAUGGGUUUUGAAGAAUUUUGUGCAGCUGCAUUAAGUGUUCAUCAGCUUGAGGCACUUGAUCGUUGGGAACAACAUGCCCAUUGUGCGUACGAGCUUUUUGAGAAGGAUGGAAACAGGCCUAUCGUGAUCGAGGAACUUGCUUCUGUAAGUUUGGAAUUUUUUAGAUAAAUAAUAGCUUCCAAUCAGUGUUAUGAAUUAUGAUGCUAAACUGGAAAAUGCAUCAUCAUAUGCAACCUCUAAAGUAGCAACUCCGUACUUAAAACUAUUCAGGAACUUGGCCUUGGACCCUCCAUUCCGGUUCAUGCUGUUCUUAAUGACUGGAUAAGGCAUACGGAUGGGAAGUUAAGUUUCCUCGGGUUUGUGAAGUUGUUGCGCGGUCCAUCCAGUCGAGCCCUUGCGAAGGCACAAUGAUGUCGCAAGGGAUGUUGGUCACUCAAGGCUGUACUAAUAAUAAUGCCAUUUUGGUCGAAUAUCGAAUACAAUCGGACAAGAUGUGGCUUUGAUUCCGUGUAAAACUGGAUAUCGAUCUCUCUUUUAAGUCGAGAGACUCAGGAAGCAUGCUUCUUUUCGACAUCCGAGGCCUAGCAUCAUCAGCUCAGAUUAUGAGGCUUCAAUUUUAUGCUAAUUCUUUUGAGUUUGAAAGUCAGAAAAGAUAUCAUUGACAAUCACUAUGUAAUAUAAUAUAUAUAUAGUUUGCAUUACUUGAAUGGGUUAUAUCUAUAUUUGGCCUGUUUGAUUGUUUUUUAUAUAUGCUUUAUAGUAUGUAGCUUACUAUUAAAAUACUUUAUAAUUUUCAUUAAUUCAUAUGGUGCAAUCAAAGGUUGCUUUAGUCCUAAAUACACCAGGCUCUAGGAGCUAUUAAAAACCAACUGAAAUAGAAUUAUGCUUAUAAAUAUAUAUAUUUAUGGCUAUUAAAAUUAGAAAGAAUCAAAUUAGGAGAGAUGAUUAUUUUCCAUUUUACCGUAAAAAAAUCAAUCUUUUCAAAUUAGAAAAAAAAAGAAAAAGAGAGAAUGAUUUCGAAUGGUUUUUUUUUCCUUAAAACUUUCAAUUCUAUCAAACAAUGCAUUUUCUUACCAUUUUUUCAUCUCUCCUACUAAGCAUGCCUAUGGAAAGAAAAAAAGUAUAUGUUUUCUAUCAUUCUAGUUUUCUAUCCCUUCAAUUUUUCAUCUUUCUAGUUUUCUUUCCAUUCUACCUAGCAAAGUCUUAAGGUUUUGAGCCUGAGUAUUAUGAAUAAAGAAAACAAUGUUGCGAGACUUUUGUUAUCAUUAAAUCCAUUAACUAACUUUUUUUGUGAGUAAUAUCUGAAAAGAAUGAGCUUACAUUGCAUUACACAUGCAAUAAUAAGUUUGUCACGCUGAAUUUUGAAAAUAGUAGAAUUUAACUUAAUAAAUUUAAUUGUUGUUAUUUGAUAAGACUAAAAUUUUAAAUUUUGAAAAAGUAUAGAAACUAGAAAUAAUCAAUUCAAAAUCCAUAGACUAAAUCCACGACAUACGCAUAAUAUAGAGAAUAAUAUCCGAAUUUAACCCUUUUUUAAUAAUUGCCCUUAAUUUAUAUGCAUAAAACACACUUAUUUUUAUACAAUUCUUACUAAUAUUAUUAUCUCUUCUCAAAUCAUCAAAUUAUCAAACUAGUUUAAAUUCACGUCUUUUUAAUUAUUGUAACAACAAGCAAUUAAAUUAAAGCUUAAUAGAUAUGAAAAAACACAUUUUAUUGAAAAUAUUUUAAUAUUUUUAAUAUCAAUUUUAUUAUUUCGUAAUAUUUUAUUAGUUAUUAAUAUUUAGCCUCUACAUUAUUUUUAUUUUACAAUUGGAUGCAAUGCACGUUUUUAACUUCACAAGCAUAAAUAUAAAUUUGUCAUGUGUCUCAUUUUUUAUAUUUUUAUUUUUAAAAAAGUUUUUAUUAUACCCUAUAUAUAUUUAUCAUCAACUCAACACUACAUAUGAAAAUUUUAAAUUUUAUUGAUAGAGUAUCAAAUAUUUUCCUUUCAAAUUUUUAAUUAUUUCAUACGACACUUUUGAAGCUUCUUAGACUCCAUAAGCAGGUUUAUAAUGUGAUAAAUAUCUUAUAAGGUGUAGUAAAAAAAUUAAAUAUUUUAAUAAAUACGACAUUUGUCACACAUUUAAUUUACUUAUAAAGUCUUAAAAACUUUAUAGACGAUAUAUCAAAUAAUUAUCCAUUAAAUUUUUAUUUAAUAUUUACUGAUAAAGAUGUACUUUUACUUUUAUUAAAUUUUUAAAUAAAAAAAAUUUAAUAGAAAAAAUGCCUCAUUAAAAUGUCAUUUUUUCGUGGGAAAAGUGUACACCUAAAAUUAUCAAUUACUCAUAAAAAUCACCCUCAACAACCACAACAGUAAUUUGCAUCUCUAAAAAACACAUUACCUAUUUCUAAACAUAAACAAUUUUACAUAAGCAUAUAUAUAAUAACCUAAAAAUUAUUAUAAAAUUGAAAACAAGUUGACCUUGGUUUGAAUUUGGGCUUGGAUGGAUGUGUUGGAAAUAUGCUACUACAAAAUAAAUUCGUUAGCAUUGAUUGGAUAAAAUAAACUAAGCGUAAAUAAAUAAUGAAGUAAUCACUGUACCAUGAAAGAACCACUACCUUAGAAGUAAAUUCAUCUUGAUUGGUGUAAUUGUGUAAUGGACGUCGCCCCGAAGGUUAACACAGUGUUUAUAUAUUCGUACAACCAAAUAAAGAAGGUGAAACAGAAUUAGUAUUGCUCUUCUCAAAAGGAAUCGGGAAAUAAACUAGAAGAAACUCAACCUAGAUAAAUCACACUAGGUUCAAUUCCCAGAAAAAAUUGGAGCCCCAAUCUCCUAAACAGAAUAUCACUCUAAUGUAAUUUAGUAAAACACCAGAAUUUUUAGAGAGCAAGAAUGGGAGAAGUUGCUUGUUGUGUUGUGAAAAAGUGAGAGAAAUGACCUCCUAAAUGUACGCGUGUUAAGCCUUUAGCUCCAAUUACUCAAAGAUUUAGAAUUCGCACUGAAUAUAACAUAAUCCAAUUUAGUGAAAAAUCAUUUGAUGGUAUCAUUCAUUCGACUUCAACUGUCAAAUUAAAAGAAUAGAAUAAUUAAAUUGUUGGGGUUAAAAAUAAAGGGACUAUUUUCACCAAAAAAUAAUAACAAAGGGACCAUAUACAAGAGUUUAAAGAGUAGAAACAUAAUUGAACCUAUGUAGACGCGACUGGGGCAUUGGCUUCUCAAUGCAAGGCAUUAAUGGCGGAAAUUUUCAUUUCUAGCCAUUACUCUUUCCCAACCGGUCCCCCUUUGGCUUUAAUCAGUCAUUUUUCCUUCUUUAACUACUCCAAUUGGUUCAUAUUGACUAAUACGGUGUAAGACUGCUUUUUUAUUUUUUUUUAAUAAUUUAAACAUAAUUAUAAGUAUAAUAUACACCUAACAUUUAUUAAUAUUUUAAUUUUAUUAUUCGUUUCCACAAUUUAUAUCUACAUCUUGUGUUAUACAUCUCUAUUAUUUAUAUUCACAUUUUAUGCGGUGAAAACCGUUGAUGGUUAUGAAUAAAUGGAAUAGGAGCUUGCAAAUUUCAACAAUGACUUUACUAUGGUACAUUGACCGGGAAUGGAGUAUGGAGGAUAUGGUGCGAGAAAAAUGGGUUUCCCCUGCCCACAACAGUUGAUCUUCAUACUAACUUGUCCUGUUAAAUUUCUCUUUGGUUUCCUCAAUUUUGCUUCAUAAAACCCAUUUUUGACCUGGUCUUUUUAAAUAUCCUAAUUCCUCUGUCUCUCUCCAACUCUCAUACCCCAUCUCCAUUAAGGGUUGAACAAAACUUCCAACUUUUGGAGUUGCUCGGUUUUUACAUUAAAAUUUUUGGGAUUGAGUCUAGGUAAAAUCCAUUUUAUUCUUCCGGAUAUAUAUUUCCCAAAAAGGAGAAUAUUCGAUACAUUGUCGGUGCAUAAAUCUCACACACCAUCGAUGAAUAAUAACAUGAUACAUCAUCAUUAAAUAAAAAUAAAAAAUAGUGAAAGGCUUAUAAAUAAAUACUAAUAACCUUAUUUAAACAUAAUUAAAUAAUAAUUGAUUAUAAACAAAGAUUGAAACCCUAUUGCCUAAACCCUUAAAUCCAAGAUUCUAAUUUUGAGAGUUAUUAAUAUUUAUUUAUAAUAGUUACAAUUAAUGUUUGAUUGUGUUUAAAUAAAAUUAUUAAUAUUUAUUAACAAGCCCUCCAUAUUUUUGUUUAAUUUAAAGAUACGUCAUGUUAUUAUUCAUUGAUAGUGCAUGAUACUUAUGCAUUAAAUAUUGUUCCUUACUAAAGAAGGGGUUCUUAUUAUUUAAAAUGUCGUGAUAGACUAAGGUAAGAUUAGAGUCAAGAUAAAAAUUUUAAAUAAAUUCAAAUUCAAAAUAGAAUCGUAACGAAACGAAAUGUAUAAAAAAAACAAGUCAGAAUCGGACAAGAAAAAAACCAUCCUGUCCCAAUUCCUAAUCUCCAUACAAAAUCUUUUUAACUUCAUUCAUUUUGUAAGAGAGUAGGCAAAGAAAAUUCAGUCAAAAGGGUUGAAUUCCAGGGCGACGGAGGAAAUUGAUCAUGAAAACUACAUCAAAGCAAAGGCAAAGCUUAGUCUAACAGAAAAUAUUGUUUAUUUCAUUAAGAUAAUGAUGAGCACUGCAGGCUGCCCAAUUUUUUGACCAUAAGUUUAACUAAUGACUUAAUAAACUUAAACACGACUCUCUCUCUCUCUCUCAUUGGAAAAAAGAAAAAAAAAACAUUCCUUCAAAACCACCAUUAGGGUUAAUAUAUUAUUGUGUAAACUAUAAAUAUAGUCAUUUUUGUUUGUUCCAGGUUAUAUUUUAGUCAUUUUUGUUCGAAAUGUUACGUUUUAGUUACUUACGUUAUCGUGUUGUUACAUUUUAGUCACUAAGUUGUUAAUUGUCAUUAACGGUGUAAUGGUAAGCUGACGUCGCACGUUAAAUCAUCAUUUCAAACAAAAAAUUUUGGUUAAAUUCUGCAAUUGGUCCCUAUAUUUUUUUCAUUUUGAGCAAAUUUUUUUUUCUUUUAUGUUAUUUUAACUUUCCUUUUUUUUCCUAUUCCAUUCUGCUUCUUACUCUGUUUUCCUCCCUUCUUCAUUUCUUUUAACAUAGUUUUUCUAUGUUUUCCAUUUGUUAAAACUAGUCCAUAAGCUCGCGUUACUCGAAAAAAUUAAAUUGUUCAAAAUAUAAAAGUAUAGGGACUAGUUUUAACAAAUGGAAAACAUAAAAAAACUACGUUAAAAGAAAUGGAGAAGGAGGAAAACAAAGGGAGAAGGAGAAGAGAAUGGAAAAUAAAGAAAAAAAUUAAAUUGCUCAAAACGAAAAAAAUAUGGAGAGCGAUUGUAUAAAUUAACCUAAAAUUUUUAUUUGAAAUGAUGAUUUAACGUGCCACGUCAGCUUACCGUUACACCAUUAACGGCUCAGCGACUAAAAUGAUAUAACGUGAUAACGUAAGUGACUAAAACGUAACAUUUCAAACAUAAGUGACUAAAAUGUAACUUAAAAUGUAACUUAAGGUAAACAAAAAUGCCUAUUUUGGUAGUUUACCUUAUAUUAUUUGGUACAUAAGUUUGAUUUUAAUGUUUAAUUUGGUAUUUGAAUUUUUUUUGUUGUUGUCCAAUUUGAUACUUGAGUGUCCAAACCAAAUUGUAUCAUUUAGCCCGAUGAAUGUUUGACACGUGUGUUCUAGCAAAAAAAAAACAAGUGUUCUAGCAAAAAAAAACAUAGGUACUUAAUGUGGGUAAAAAAAAUCUCAAGUAUCAUAUUGAAAAAACUCGAGUACUAAAGUAAAUAUUGAAAUCAUAUUCAAAUACUUAAUUUAGGCGCUAAUGUUUGAAUUCAUUUCUUUUUUGGUCACCUGUUUUCGUUAAAUUGAUAACGGAAAGCCUUUUUCUAAUUGAUAUAGUAGCACAUUUAGUCCUUAAUACUUACUUAUUCUAUCCAUUUGAUCCUAAUUCUAACUAAUUAAAUAAAUUUAACUCAACACAUUUAAAAAUUUUAUCAAUUUGAUCCUCAAACUUUCUAAUCAAAGCUUUCAACUUUUAAAACAGAGUCAUUUCACAUUGAUAAAUUUGAAAACCCCAAAAAAGAAAAAAAAACCUGACAACUAACCAACCGUUUUCCGAGCCAAUUCCUAAUACCAAUAAGUUUAUCUUGAAACAUUAUUUCUUUUUUUUUAUUAGUUUUCUUCUAAAUAUAAUAUUUUAUAACCCUUUGAUUGAUAAAAUUUGAAUAAAGAAAAUAGAAAAACCUUAAAAAAAAACUUUAGAUUUACUCUUAUUGUUAACAUUAUGAUAUUUCUCUCAAAGUACGUAGAAAUAGUCCUCAAAGUUGGUCCUUAAAAUUGGAAAUUAAAUCUAGAGUUAAAAAAUCCAAUUGCUCAAUCAAUAAUUAUAUAAGAAAAAAUUAAGAACAUUUAAUUUUUCAUAAGGAAAAAAAAUGUGAAUGAAUUAAUUGAAUGUCCUUUUGUUAUAAUGAUUUUUUUUUAUUUUAUAAAUUGAUUAAGAUAUUAUUAUGCGUUCUAUUUAUUUCUAAUUUUUAAAUCCACCAUAAGAAAUAUGUAUCACAUAAUUUAAUUUAGUGUCAAAUCAUUUACCAAAUUAAUUAAAAACUAAAAUUAUGCUAGUCAAAGUGAAAAAUUAUAUUUUACAAAUAUUAAAUUAUUUAUAUAAUUUUAUUAUAUAUUAUAUUUUUAAAUUUUCCAUUUUCUAUUGUUUUUAAUAGUGUUUAGUUAUUUUCUAACACUAAAUUUAUUAAAAAUAUAAACAAAAUGGGUUAUAUACCGAAUUGGAAAAUUUCAACCAUAAAUAAAACAGUUAAUAGAUGUGGAAUAGCUCUGUUUUAAAAGUUGGAAGUUUUGAUUAAGAAGUUUGAGGAUCAAGUUUAUAGAAUUUGUAAAUGUGAAUGGUUAAAUUUAUUAAAUUAUUUAGAAUUAAGAUCAAAUUGAUACUCUAAGUAAGCAUUGAAGACUAGAUGUGUUAUUAUAUCAAUUAGAAAAAAAAGCUUUCUGUUAUCAAUUUAACGAUGAGUGACCAAAACAAGAACAAAUUCAAACAUUAAUACCUAAAUUAAAAAAUUUUAAAAUUAGACAAUCAAAACAGAAAUGCAGGUAUAACUGAGUGGCCAUUUAUAUAAUUUACCUAUAACUUUAACAUCAUCCACAUCAUUGUCAUUAUCAUUAUCAUAAAUGACCCAAGCUUUGGGGGUUUUUCUUUCAUAUUCUAAAGUGGAAAAUUUAGGAUAUUUACUAAUGUGAAGUAGGGUUGUAGCCAUUAUUGCAUCAUAUGUCAUAUAGCCAAUCCUAUAGCUCUAAAUUAAUUAUCCAACUUCAGAUAAUUAAGAGAGGAUAAAGGAAAAAAAGUGACCAUGAUUUUAGGAUAUCUAGUGAGGUCUCCUUUAUAAUCCACAUGCCUACACUUCCUCUAAACCUAUAGCAUUGUGAUGAUUCUUGUAUCAAUUGUUGCAAAUUAAAGAUAAUCAUCUAGGAGACAUUAAUUUUUGAGAUUUUAAAUUUAAAUUUCAUUGUAUUUGUGUUUUGUAGAUAUUUCAAUUAUUAAUUGUAAAUUAAUUUUUGGUUGUUAUCAUUUGAAUGUAUUUCUUGUGAUUAUAUUGUGAAGUAUGCAUUGCAUUUCGAUCAAACUAAGGCACAAACAGAGAACGAUGUCACGACGAGAAGCCAUGCGACGUCAUAAUGACGCGACGAUGAAAACAAGGGAGAAACAAAAACGAUGUUGCAACGACACGACAAGGGACAUCGCGGCGUAGCGACUCAUGCAAUUUUCUUGAUUUUCUUCUCCUAGUUAAACUCUGAGUAUUUGUUCCAAUCGAACUCUGAUUAGUGUAGAUUAUUUUAAAAUUAUUUUAUCUAUGAAUAGGUCUUUUUCAACCCAUCUUAAUCUGUGAUUUUUUACCCUCUUUGGAAGGAUUCCUCCACAUAAAAUAUUUAUGUUCGAUCUUUUCAAUUUUUUUAUUAUCUUAUUUGUUCGUUGCUUAAUCGAGUUCAUCCCUGACAUAUAUUUUCAUUAACGGUACGGACCGAAAGCAUUUGCAAAAGAAGAUAAAAAACAAUUUUAAUUGCCUGCUUUAAAACAAAUUUUUAGGUAAUAUUGUAGUUAAUUUGUUAAAACUUUUUGAAAUCUUUUAGUACAAAACCAAAAGUAAUUGGUUGAAUUUUGAAGGCAAUGCACAUGCUUGUGUUGAACCUACCAAGAUUUUUUAAAAUAUUAAUACUCCAUUUUUGGCCGACAAUUCAUCAUUGCAGAUUAAAGUGAUUGAAAAAUCAUGGUAACAAUUCAACACUAAGGAAAAACCUAUCAACUAAAUUAAUUCAAUUUUUUGUUGAGUUUAAAGGUAAUUUUUGAAAUUGCUUUGUGUUGAGAAGAUAUUAACCUAUAGAGGUCAUGUGGGAAAUUAUGAUGCUAUUCAGAUAUCUUUGUAUUAUCAGUACGAUAUUCUAAAAAAACAAUUAGUUAAUGUAUAAAAAAUUGUGCAAGUCGAUAAUUAUUCUCAUGCAUCUUUAAGAUUUUGUUCUCGAAUUUUACAAUGAAUCAAUGGAUGCCUUUGGAUAUAUAAACAAGCGGAAUCAUGGCUAUUGUGAAGCUUUGCACUUAUGUAUCAUACUUGCCUACGUGAUCUUUAUAUCCUGGAGAUCAUGGAUUCAAGUGUUCCCAUGUGGAAAGCUCUUUGGUAGCUAUAGUUUCGCUUGUUUAAGCAUCCAAAGACACCUUUAAACUAUUUUCAAAGUCGAGAGAUAAAAUCUUGAUAGUCCAUUGUUCAUGGCACCUAAAAAGAAGUAUACGUAUAAUUUAGUUGAUAAUACUAAAUCUGCUAAAUAUAAUAUACUCAUGGAAUACAAAUUAUAUUUAAAUAUCUAAUUUUGAUAUUUUUUUUUAAAAUAAACUAUUUAAACUAUGGUAAGAGUUAUUUCUCACCAUAUUUUAAUAUAUGAAUUAGUAAUAAACUGAUUUUAAUUGGUCAUUAGAAAGUUUCUUUUUGCUUAUUUUUAAAUUUAUACUAAAUUAUAAAUAUAUGUAAUAAAUAUUUUUUUCUCAUAUUAUUACAUAAAUAUGCAAACGAAUAAAUUAAUUAUUUUAUUAAUUUAGAUUUUUUAAAUAGAGAAUUUCAAACUUCACAAAAACCCCCAAUAUAAUAACACACAACACUAUGAAAACGCAUCUAUCAUAAUCACCAUUAUUCCACAACCUAAUGAUUAUAUUAUAGAAAACAGUAGGUUUGGAUGAACGAUAUGUUUAUUUGGGGUUAGUGUAAAAAUAGUGAUGGCGGAGAAAUUAGAUAUUAUAAUAAUACUAUAACGUGAGAUAAAAAAAUAAGCUAAACGCACCGCACCCUACCACCUAUCCAAACCUUUUUUUUCUCUUUAAUUCAUGCUUUUUCCUAACAUAUUUCAACUUUGCUAACACAGACAUACUACAUAGAAUAUAUUUGUUAUUAAGAAGAUUAAAAGAUAAGUAUUUAAAAUAUUUUAAUUUCAUAAACAAUUAUAUGCUUAUUUUUUUAUGCUAAUAUAUACUGAAAUCGGAGUAAGAUAGAUAGAUUAAUGAAAUCAAGAAAUCUUGAUCAUCCACGUGUGAAAGACAUAAUACCCCUAGAAACCUCAUGUAUUCCAGGGUUGAACCCCAAGCAUCCAAGGAGACCCUGCUUGUAAGGCAAGAAAGUCUUCCUCCUCAUCUCCUCCGACACCGCCCGGUUCGCCGUGUAAUGCAAUUCGUGGGCAGAAACCGGUCCUCUCCGUCUCGAACUCGACCCAACACUCUCAGUAGAACGAAAGCUCCAACUUUUAACAUCCUCUGCCUCUUUCUUAGACAAGACGGCAUAUUUCUUGAAGGAAUCCUUACUCGUUGCUCUACCUUCUGAUGCACUUCUAAACAACAAAAGAUCUUUCAACUUCCAUUUCCUGUUACCUUUAGAGAAUGAAAUUGCUGAUAAGAUUGAAGACACGUAAGAUUUGGGAUUCGUUGAAGAAGCAGUGGUUUGGUCUUGCUCGAACAUGGUGCGGUCGGAUACUCUGAAAGGAGACAAUGAUCUGCUUUUCUUGUGAACGUAGCUUGAAGAUGAUGAUGAAGUUGUUUCUCUGCCUCGUUGUGUUGUGUUUUUGGGCUCCACUGCCGAUCUUCUACGAGACUUCUCGAUGGCGGUUUCGAAUGGAUCGAUGUCCUUCUUUCGGAAAGAUCUGGGAGAUUUGGGUGAAUAACUUGACAACUCUGAAAAACCAGGUGGGGGUUUCAAGGGCCGAAUCUUUCCUCCAUCGAAGAGCUCCUCCGCCGACAAAGACGUCCUCUCUAACUGCCCACUAAAGUCGAACUCGAAAUCUUCACACCCUUCACCACCACCACCGUGGGUGUUAUCUUCUUUCUCGAUUCCGCCAUUAAAAUCAUUCAUUUUUGGUAUACCAGGCCUUUCCUCCCACUCGAAAGGGACAGCAACCGAAGAAGAAGCACGAGUUGGACUGGUUGGAGCACUGAAGAAGAAGCUGCUGCCAUUGCCAAAGCGUUGAGGAGUGGAAGGAGCAGUCAUAUAGGGAGACGAACAUGCGCUAUCGAAGUUGAAGUCCAGCGGCACCGGCACCACCACUUCCAUGCCCAUAGGCUUCUUUUUGGAGGUCGAGAUGGGAGGAUCUUCGUUUUAUAAGGAAGAAAGAGAGGGGAAGGAGAGGAUGGGAAAAUUGAAAACUGGUUAUGUAUGUAUAUGACUCAAGAGAGAGAGCCGCCUAUGUAAAUCUACCUACACAUCUAUGUGUGACACAAAAUCUUUGUAUUUCUAAUCUAAUAUAUAAUUAAUGUAAGUAAUUAUACAUAUGGAAUUUUGAUCAUAGUUCAAAUGUGUAAAUGAAAUUUUGAUUGUCAUUUAACCAUACACAUUUAAAAAAAAUAAAUAUUUCAAAUUUCUUUUCAUAUUAGAUAAAUACAAUUAUUUGUAUAUGCAAUAUGUAAAUGUAAAAUGAUAUUAUACUGAUAAUUAUUUUAGUGAUUUGUGAAAAUCGAGCCAAAUCAAAAUUUUAUGUAUAAAAUCGUAUAAAAUCAUAGUUCAUAUAUAACAUUACACAUUUAACCAAAGUUCAUGUAUAAAUUUGAUAUUUAUCCUAAAAUAAAAAUAAUAAGAUAAUUUUUAUUUAUUUAUUUUUCUAGGGAUAAAUAUCAAAUUUAUACAUGAACUUUGGUCCAUUGUGUAAUUUGAUACAUGAACUUUGAUUUAUUGCAAUUAUACACAUGGAACUUGAAUUGUGGUUCUUAUGUAUGCAUGAAAGUUUGAUUUUGGUUCAACUGUGCACAUUUAAAGAAUUGAAUACGUACAUUUAUUUUAAUAUUGGAUUAAUUUAAUUAUUUGUGUAUACAAUAUAUCAACAUAAAAUUGUGCUAAUUUGAUAAUAUUAUUAGUGAUUUAUAAAAAUUGAAUUAAAUCAAAAUUUCUUGUAUAAACCGCACAAAAUCAAAGUUCAAGUAUAGUUUUUAUAUUUAUCCCAUUUUUCUAUCCUUUUUCUCUUUUCUUGGUCAAAUUAUAGUGUUGGUCCCUCUAUUAUGCUCAAAUUUAGGAUUAAGGCCCUAUACUUUAAUUUUUAACACAAUUUGGUCCCUCUAUUUUAUAAGAUCAUUAAUUAAUCCAAAUAGCUAACACUUUUAACUAUUCUAGUUAAAAUAAUUAUGUGUAUUUUUCUUUCUUAAAACAACCCUUUCAGCUACAUCAUGAUUUAAUUACCUUCUAAUUAAUCAUACUAGCACAAAAUUUCUUCUUCUUCUUUUGUUGGAAUGAUAAUUUUAAGGAAAAAUCCACUUCAAAAUUUUAACUAAAAUUGCUAAUCAUAUUAGUUACUUAGACUAACUAAUUAUAUGAAAGUACUUUAACAAAUUAUGACAAAUUAAAUUAAAAGGAUUAAAUCUCAAACUUAAGUAUAAUUAAAGGACCACGCCCAUAAUUUGACAUUAUGUCUUUCUUUCUUUGUCUAUUUCUCUCUCUUUUCUCGUUCCCCAUUUUUCCCUCCCGCCGGUACCUCCUCUUUCUCCCCCCACCAACCUAGUUAACUAAAUUAAUAAAUAUGCUAGGUGUCAAACUGUGGGAUAAACACUUCUACUGUGCCUCAUAUGUAUUUAGUUUUUAUAGACGUUAUACAUUGUUUGUGUAAAAGGUCGAGACUUCAAGAGCUUGAUUGCAAUAAUCACCAUGGUAUUGCGAAAAUCAAGUAAAUAAAAUAACAAAGAAUUAAAACUUCAAUGUUUGUUUAUGCAAUUCGAUUUCUCUACACGCGGAGUUUUACUCGGUGAGUAACUCAACUAUCUUUAAUACACAAUAUAACAAGUGAACCACACUCUAUCACUCUCCAAGUAUGGAGAUCUCACAUUCGUAUCUAAUGACUAGAACACUCAUCUCUAAAUUCUUUUACUAGCAGCUACAAAAUAGCAAAGAUAAUAUACUAAUAAAGUCUAGUAAAUCACAAUAUGACGGAGAUACAAUCUUCUUAGUAAAACAACAACUAGAUUCGAACAAAUCUCCAUAAGUCAAGGGUUGUAAAUGAUUCAAUCUUCUCCAAUCCAAUCUUUAUAAGCAAACAGAUUGGUUCCCAUAGAUGGGCUUCCAUAUCUUCAAAAUAUCAGCUAAGUUAAUAGCUUAAAGAUUUCGUUUCAUUAAUUUGCCAACACAAAUAUGACAAGUUUUGCUUCAAUGUUAUAAUAAUGGAUUAUAAUGAACACUACCAAGUAUCACUCAAAAUUUUACUUCGUAACUUGUCUCGACAUAUACAUUUAAGGUAAUAAUGACGAGUUAUAUUAGAAAAUUCUAAUUUUUGAGUUAAAAAAGGAUUUUUUUUUUUACAUUUUAAAAGUUUUUAAUGAGAUAUUAUUACUAAAUCUACAUAAAGUGGAGCAAUUAAAUUCAAAUGGGUCAUACUUGGUAGUUUGGCUUUGGAACAUCUUUUUCUUUUUCCUUCUUUUUUUGAGGUAAAAGAUGGAAAAAAAAAAUUGGAAAGCCAAGGCUAGAACUAGCCUGGCCACCACUACAUGAUUUUGUUAGAAUGGGUUUCAUUAGGCUUUCACAAUUAUAAUUAAUGUUUUGAAAAUCGGAUUAUGAUGUAAUUAAUUUUUAAUUUAAUUGAUUCUAUUCUCAAUUCAAUAAUACUUAAAUAAAUUAUUAAAAUUUAUAAAAAAAAUUUAUUAUCUAUAAAUGAUUCAAUUGCUGAUUUUUUAUUUCGAUUUUUACUUUUUAUUAAUUUUGAAUAGUUCAUUUAAAGAUUGGUUCAACCCAUUUAUUCCAAUUGAUAUAUCAACCGAUUUCUAAUUUGAUCAUUUGAUUCAUUACUAUACGAAAGAUGAAAACUAUGACCCGAGAGUUUUAUAUUGAAGCACUCUAAUAAAUUUCUGUUUGAGAUAAAAUAUAAAAUUUUGAAAUCUCAAAAUAAAAUAAAAAAUCAAUGUUAGAAUUUUAUUAAUCUGAAAAUUCCCUUCAUGCUGGAAAAGUGCAAUGAAAAGCGAGGCAGGCGAAGGGUGGCAAUUGGCCAUUAAUCGACAAAGCAACCGACGGCCAUGCAAUUAGAUUUUUUUUUAUAUAAAUUACACUAUUAAUUACUCAAUUAUAAAUAAUUUUUAUUUUGGUAAGUUAACUAAAAAAAUUUAUAAUAUGAUCACUAAUAUAUUUAAAUUUACUUUUUUAGUUGAUAUAAUAAAUUUUUUUAGUAACAUGUAUAAUGGUAAUUUUAGUUCUCAGCUUUAUAUUUCUUGUCAAUUUAACCCUAAUUUUAUAUAAAAUUAUAAAAAAAAACUCAAUUAUUUUAAAAAUAAAAUAUUUUAUAUAAAAAUUCAAGUUAUUGCUAAUCAUGAAAUAAUUUAAAUAAUUAACUCUAUUUUAUAAAGACCGGAGCACUCAUAAUUUCCUUUCUCUUUUAAGAAACUAAUUCUAAACAUUCUCGCAAUAUUUGUAUUUAUACAUAAAAAAGAAAAAUUAUGAAAUGUGAUUAGGUGAAACCUUUCGAAUGGACACUCAAAGUUUUGUAGUUUUUCAGUUUUUACGUGUGAUUCUAUAAAACUUUUCAUAAUUCAGGAAUACAUAAUCAUUAUUUUACUUCUCUUGUUAAACGAGAAAUUAUUGUAUGGAUCAUUCCCACCAUAUUAUUCAUGGUUUCUUUCUAAUUAUUUAAUGAUAUUUUAACAUUCAUGCCAUAGAACCCCAAAUCCUAAACUCUGAAGCUUAACUCCUUCAGGGUUUAAGGUUUAAAAUUUUAGAUUCGAGAUUCAGAUUUUGAAUUUGAGGUAAAAGAAUUACCCAAAUUAUAGUAACACAUAAAAGAAUUAAUAAAAUAUCAUUAAAUAAUUAAAAAAAGAAGUAUAGAUGAUUUGAUGGGAAAGUUGAUAAAACAAUUUCUUCAUGCUCACCAUGCAAAAUAAAUGAAAAAGGAAAUUGGGACAUAGGGGCAGGUCAUGUGUGAACAAAAAAGAGAGUAAUGUUUGCAACUCAACAUACCCAUCUAGAAGAUGAGGAAAUAAAUCAAAUAAGAUGGCCGAACCUCUUCUUCUCUCCUUUACCCUUCUCCUCUUUGGACCAGAAGUCCAUUAGGCUGUUGCUUUGUCAAUUCUGAUUUCUGAAUUUCAUUCUUAAUUCAAUUUGAUAAUAAAAACUUAAUUUGAUUUUAACUUAAAUUCAUUUAAAUCCAAAUCUUUCUACAAAUAAUUUCAUUUUGAUCUUUCCUAUGUAUGUUUUUUAUUGUAUUUGUUGAGCCAUCAUAAAUUUAUCGAUUAAAUUAUCAAAUAAAAUCGUAUUUUUUUUUAGUUAUGGGAAUAAGUCAUUUUUGAUAAAAAAACGCUUUCAACUGGAGUCGUUUUUAGGAAAAACUUAAAAAAACACUUUACUAGUUAUAUACUAAAUAAUAAUCUUAAUGAAAAGUUAUUGAAAUUUAUCAAAUGUAAAUAUUAUCUAAUUUAAUAUCAAGUGUCAAUUGAAAAUGACAAAAAAUUUGUGGACAUUUUUUGUGAAAAUUUUGUGGCCAUCUUUCAAGUGAAAAUUAUAUAUAUAUAUAUAUAUAUAUCACCCCUAUUCAUCGUUAAGCCAUCAUGACCAAAUUUACAAAAGUUGAGUUCAUGUAAUCACUAAAUAUAUUUUUAAUAAAUUAAUCAAUCAGUUUAAUAUGAUGUUGAAACCAUUGUUUAAGUUGAAAUCUUAUAAUUAAUGCAGAUGGGCGGUGAGAAUGGUUUGAGUUUAGUUAUUAUAGUAAUGAGAUUAAAAUUAAUUAUAUGAAUGUAUUUGAAUUCAAUCAUAUUGGUAGCGGUAAAAUAAAAGCAAAAAAUAACCAUUUUUGUAUUAAAUAAUAAUGAAAAUCAUAUUUAUAUUAAAUAACAAUGUUGAAAGAGCACAUAUGAAUUUACUCACUUCAUGUCCCAUGAAUAGAGGCGUACAUGGAUCAAGUCGAGUCCGGUUGAGGCUCGAUUCCAAAAUAUUUUUCAAGUCUAAGUUUGUUUUUGGAUUGAUUUCAUCGCCCAAAAAACUCAUUUUCCUAUUAAAAAUUAAUAAAAUGUUAUAUUUUUUAGUUUAUAUUUUAUAUGUUUUCAUAAUCAAAUUUUAAUUUAAAAAUAUUUUUUUAUCAUCUAAAUUAAAUUCAAAUCAGUUCGGGUCGGUUUGGUUCAGCUUGAAGAGCAAAAAUCUUUAUUCAAGUCCAGCCUAAGUUUGGCCAGAUCUACCAGAUAGGGGCAGCUAUACGACUCUUGAAUAGGUCUACCGGUGAAUGCAUUGGACCCCUUUUAUCACUAGGUAAAAAUUAGAAUAAACCACCUAAAUACUUCUAUUUUGAUCACCUAACUUUAAAAACUUUCAAUUUCAUCACCACCGUUUUCAAAAUUUAAAAUUUUAGUCAACCACCGUUAAAUAUAUAACAAAAUGAGUUUUUUUUAUCGAUCUAAUAACAAAUUUAACCCUCCAAAAUUUACAUAUUUUAUUAAUUUAAUUUUAAAUUUAAAAAACCAGCAAUAUUUUGUAACCCUUAACAUUAACAAAAUUUGUCGAUUUAAUUUUAAUUCUAAAAGUUAUCUAAUUUUUUAUUAACAAUACAAGUUUAGUUAUUUAUUUUUAAAUUAUCAAUGUGAGCUUGAUAAUUUAAAAAAACAAAUUAUUGAUUGAUUUAGCAAUUUAUUAAAGAUACCAAUAGACAUCAUCUCUUUUAUUAUUAUAUAAAUAAAAUAAUAUAUUCAAUGAACCAAAAUACUUUAUAUUUAUUCUAUCCUCAUGAAUAACUAUUCAGUUUUUAUUCUAUUUCAUUCCAACUAACCCAAAGUAAAACAACAUAAAUACACUCUCCUGAUUGGCUCCAACAUUCAGAAAAUUGGUGAUUAACUCCACCUUUUUAAUUGUCAGUGAAUUUAUUCUGAACAAAUAAAAAAUUUUAGAGAAAAAGAAAAUCUUCCCAACACAUUAAAAAAAAAAAGAAGAAAACUCUCAAACACAAUUUAAAGUUGUAAAUAAAUCCAGCAACAAAAUUCUUUAACCUGAAGAUCCAGCUAAAGCAGCAAGCAAAACCCAUCCUACUUAAUUGGUAAAUCUGAUGAAAAAAAAUCUUAAAAACUUCACCUGAAAGUUCAGAUUACAAGCCAUUGUUAAUUCUCAUACAUGCUUUCAUCUCUUAAACCCCUGUUAAGAUGCACCCGGAAUAGCAGCUGCAGCAUACAUGCUCGGAUCCUGAUUUGAUGGCAUAGCAUAGCCGUAACCAUAACCACCAUAUACUUGCCCUUGAUAAUAUCCUCCAUUCCACUGGUUACCCGAAUCGGCUCUCCACUAUCAAAAACCGGUUUUAAGAAGUAAGCCAAACAAGUCGAAGGGAAACAAUAGCAGCAGAGAGGGGGAAUGUCAUAAACCACUUUCAGGAGAUUGUAUAAGUCAUGCUAUACUAUUAUAUUAUGUAACCUCAGGCGUAUUAAUUAGGACUUAGCCAAAAAAUUCUAUUUUUUUCUUUCCAUACUAUAAGCAUUUCAAUGAGCAAGGCAACAAUGGGCCAUAAGACAGUUGCCUCUGGUAAGAACAUCCAGUUUAGCAUAAAUUAAAUUUACCUGUUUGUUUACAUUGCGACCCCAAGAAAGACGGACAGUCUGCUUCCCUAUGGUUGUCCCGUUCAAACUCUGAAUUGCUUCCUCAGCGUUCUUCCUAAAAUGGAUAUACAUUACAUUACGACAGGCUCAUGAUUGAAUAAUACACCCACAUUACCAAUUGUCAGAAAACCUAUCACUCUGCAUCACUUAAAAAUGUGCAUCAAUGUUUUUAUGGUAUUAUCAACGAUGGAACUCUAAAUAACAUUUUUUAACAAUAUAGUUACCACACUUUCAACAUUAUGUAAAGUAUAAUGUGGUGAAGUACAUAUAGGGAGGCACCUGUUCACAAAUUGCACAAAUCCGCAACCUUUUCCAGGUGGUAUUUUCACAGAGAUGAUCUCACCAAACUGGGAAAAGGGUUGUCUGAGAUCAUCAUCACUAACAUCAGAGUCAAGUCCUCCAACAAAUAUCUGAAAGAAACAUAACCUUGUCAUCAAUGGUAGAUAUAGGGGAGACGAUAGCAAAAAUGGAAGGAAAAGGACUUACAGUAGCAUUAUUUGAAUCAUUAUUAUAUUGAGAACCUUGGGCUACAGCACCAUUUGAUGCAUGUCCACCGGCCAAUACCACAGCUAACAAAAAAGGAGAACAAAAAUAUAAUCAUUCAACUAAAAUUCACGCUGAGUUUUACAAUACAAAAUGCAAUGAUUGGAAAAUUUUACAUUUAAAAAAAGAAAAAACUAGCUCAGCAGUCAUUCAUUCAACCGACAAAAGAACAUGAUGAUAGAUGGAAUAAGGAAAAUCCUGCGACCCUGAUACUGAACAAAAUAAAAUGUCCAUAUGAUGAUGAACUAUUUGAAAUAGCAUAGUUCACCAUAUUAAAACGAGCCUGAAAUGAAGAAUAGAUCACGAUAUGCUCCACUAAAGUAGAAGUGAAGGCCAUCCAAGUAUCAAUCACCUCACCAUCACCGUUAUGGCAGAAAUCAUAGAGAACCCAGAAAGGGCCCCUGCAUGUUUAUCCCUCACAGUUUUACUUAAGAACUGGAUUAAUUUGUCAUGGAUAAAAUAUUAAGGUACCUUGUGAAGAAUACUGUUGCUGAUAUCCGGAUGCUUUCUUGGGAGUAGCAACACCAAUUCUCAUAGGUCUACUUGAGCAAUACACACCAUUCAUUUCAGUCAUGGCCCUUGACCUUUCAUUUUCAUCACCAAACCUAACAAAACCGUAACCUUUAGAACGACCAGUAUUUGAAUCAAUAACAACUUUUGCUCCUUUGACAGAUUGAAAUCUACUAGAAAAGGUUUCAUGCAACAUUGUAUCAGUUACAUCCGCAGCCAAAUCUCCUACAAAUAUAGAUAGGUCAGAGCCUGAAUCAGGUCGCCUUUCAUUCACACUGAAUGAAGCCCAAUUCAAACGAAAAGGCUGUUCAGUAUUUGGCAUUAAAGAGCCAUUAUAGCUUUGCAAAACCUUUUCAGCUGCUUCCCGUGAGUAAAAUUCCACGAAUCCAUAUCCUUCAGACUGACCAGUUUGCUUAUUGCGUAUGAUCUUUACAGAAGAAACCUGGAUUUUGAAAUGCCAAAUGUCCGUAAGCUAGGUAAAACAAUGAUGACAAGAACAUGUCAUAUGGAUAAUCAAGUAAAAUUUUCAGAAAGGUACUGGUCACACAUCAAGAAUAUGAUAUGCAAUGAGCACCUAAUAGUCAAAGAAAAUAAAACCACUAAAGCCUUGUCAGAUUUUAAGCUUCCAAAGAAUAGUAAAAGGUAGCAAGUCUUUUUAGCCCCUCCUCACUAUUUUUUUUUCAAGUAACACAAGUAGAGAAAUCAAGAAAGCUUUCUACAUGAUUAACGAUACAUGAGAGAUUUUCUCAUAAAUAAAUUCCAACAUGAUCCGAGCACCUUCUCUGAAAUGGUGUUCGUAACUUUACACUACCACGUAGCCAUCUCAGUAACCUUUGAAUCCAAAGCAAGAGGAUUCUAUUUCCAGUAUUUAUGAACAAGUUAUCUAUGUUGGAAAUCUUAAAUUGAAAAAAAAAAAAAAAGUCCAUGUAGCAAGGCAAAAUGCAAGCAAAAUUGAUUUUGCCAUCUAGCCUACCUCCAAUACCCCACCCCCUCAUUAACACCCAACAUGAGAGGAUGUUAUGCUUCUAGUUCUAACUAACACACCUGUCACGUGCAAGUCUCUAGAAAGAAAGUGCAAGCUGAAAGAUUAAAGAAGCAUUAUACUGUGAAAAGGCAACCAGGCAAUAAUAGGUGAAGAAUUAAAAAGUUGUUUCUAGUAUUCAAACUGAAAGCUCUUCUACCAUGUUAAAUUAGGUGACUACUUAUCAUAAAAGCUUAAAAUGAUAAGAAACGAUCCAACCACAUCCAUUUAAAGUUCUACCAAGAACAACGUUAGACUCUGCUAUUGCUUCAGCUUUUGAUGCAAGUAGUGGAUUAUGUAUGAUUAAUCCACUUCUAAUUCAAGUUUACUAAAUGAGAUGCAAGCAGACUUCAACCAAAACCUAAUCCUCUAACAGUCGACAACAGCAUAACCUGAUUUUUCCGCAUUUAGUCAAUAUUACUUAAUUACGGCAAUUAACAACAGUCUAUUGAUCUGUUCAGUCGUAUUCUAAUGAACCAACUUUAACAUUCAAGACAUACAAGUUAAUCUAAAUAAAUUACCCUAAUUAUACUAAGAACAAUAAACCACAAACUUAACAUUCCUUGUAUCUUUUAAAUGAACUAAACCACAAAUUGUCUAUAAUACACUUCAUGAAUGAUCAAGGCGCAGUUACCUCUAUCCUAGCAUUGACAAGACCAACUUAUUUAUGGGAAACAAGCUCUUAACUGCAACCAUUUCAUAAACUUCAAACCUUAAUUACCCUUAAACCUCUGUUAUCUCCCUAACUAUUUCCGAUAUCGGCAUGCACGUUCCUAACCAAGAAACACUAUCAAUCCAAUUAAAUAAACUAGCACUCCCAUUAUCAUAUAGUUUAUUAUAAAAUUAUUGAGUAAAACAAACAAUUCACAAACUUUCGAAUAAAUAGCAUUUCAUUCCUACUAAUCGAACCCAAAAAGACUAUCUUUACUGAAUUAGGUUUUGUAUAAGUAGCGAAUUGCGUUCCUAGCUCUCAUUCCCGUACAAGACCGAUCUGCAUUCCAGCUAACAUUGCUAGCUCGCCAAACAAGAAAUGGCAACAAAGUAACAAAACCAAAAAGAUUCCUUAAAACCACCAAAAAGAAAAAGAAAAAAAAGAUCUAAAGCAAGAUUCAAAUAUAACAACACAUACAUCUAUUAUUCAAUGACAAUAAUACUAUUAUUAUUGCUUUUUACCUCUCCAGUGUGAGAAAAGCAACUAUGAAGAUAACUCUCAUCCAUCCAAUGAACUAGGUCACCAACCCAGAUCGUUUUAACCUCAUCCGAGUUAGAUCCAUGUUGUUGUUGUUUCGUUGAAUAGCUUUGCUGCUGCUGCUGGUAUUGCUGUUUACCUUGCUGUUGUUGAUAUUGUUGGUACUGGAAAUGAUUAUUAUAAGCCAUAUAAUGAUGAGGGUACAUCAUCAUCUGUUGCUGCUGCAUCAUUACCAUAGCCGCCGUCGUCGGGUACUGCAUGGCUCCCAUCCACUGGUUCGCCACCCACUGCGAGGGUUGUUGCGGCGGCGGCGGCUGUUGUUUUUGUUCUUGUUUUGAGCUCAAAUCAGUACCGUUGGUUGACUGCAUCUUGGUAUGUCGAUAACAACGUGAUCUAACGUUCUCGGUAUUGUUUUUUUCACUGUUCCACCGUAAAAAUAGGCGAAAGAGAGAACAAAAAAAAAAGGUGGUAGUGUGUAAGGUUUUUUUUUAUAAAGGGAGGCGGUGGAUCUGAGUUUUUAAUGGGGGGUGAAGGUUACAACGUUGGUGUGGAGGUUGUUUUGUUGCCGUCCCGUGGGCGCGUGAGUUUAGGAUGGACCCCACUUGGUUGUCGCGUGGGGUCGGGUCUUGCUGACCUGGACGGUCUGGAUGCUACCGGCGGUCCAAUUUGGAUCUGCUUUUACUCUCUCUUUUUCUCCUUUUAAUUUACUUAUUACAAAAAUAAUAAUUAAUUUAUUUGUUUGGUUGUAGUAAUUGAAUUUCUGUCAAGCGCUUUCACUACUUGCAUCUUAAAAUGGAUAGGAAUAACAUUGUCUAGACUGAGUUUUAAUUUAAUUGUCAAUGUAAGUUCGAAUGCAUUAAAGCACGUUAUCCUUUUAUAUAUGGGUUGGAAGGAGAUAUGAGUAGUUCUAGGCGUAUUGUGUCAAAUAUAUAUAAUUAGAACCUACAAUUAAUUUUAUCUCCAUCUUGUAAUUAGAAUAUUUUCAUCUUUUUUAUAUAAAAUUUUCAUCUAAUUUAUCGAUUAUAUAAUUUUUUAUUUACAACAGCAUUUUCAUCAAAAUUAAAAUCGAUAUUAUUAGAAUAUCACCGGCAUUUCAAAUAGAAUAAUUCUCAAACUAUAAAACUAACCGAGUGGAGGAUAAAGAUUAUAAUUUGAUCUAUUGAUAAACUUUGUAAUGAGGCAUUGAAUUUCAAGAUUUAAUAAAGUCGACCUUUUUUCUUUAGAAAAAAAGUCAGCCUUGGAGAAGUAGACCUAGAGUUGCUAGCUUUGAUAUAUAAUUUGCAAGUAAAAAAAUAUAUUUUAUAUGUUAAUUAUAUUAGAUGUUAGAAGGUGACAUUGAUUCUCCUAGCUUUCAAGGUUUUUUGUUCCACCAAGCAAAAUUUGACCUAAUAUAUUUGCCGACGUAAUUUUAGUGGGAAUAAAAGUGGAGGGUCAAAAAGGAAGGCUAUGGUGUGGUCAGUGGUGGGCUGGAAAUCUCAACUUUGAAAGUCAACGCGUUACUUAUUGUUUGGUAUCUAUGAAUAAUCCAAUCCUGAAAAGGGCUACUUCAUCUUCAGACUUCAUUUACAAUUUUACCUGUAUAAAAGUAGAGGAUUAUGACUGCAAAUAAUACCAACGAGACAAAUCAACCAUGAUUGAAGCAAAAGCCAGUAACAGCAACUCCACUAAACAAUCAAAAUUUUCAAACCAUCCUUUUUCUCUUCUUUUUCUAUGCCCGUUUCACAUGUAUUUGAUGAUCUACAUGCAACCUAACCUAGUAACAGUGUCUUAGAUACUUGGUAUCUAGUCUUCAAAGUCGAUUGAAUCAUAGGUGGCUUGUGCUCAAGUCUUCAGUUGAGGCCAAAAUCCCAAUUUCGAUCCCUAAACUCCUGCUUCGUACCCCUUACUAUAAAAAAACAUGGUAACCAAAAAAAAAAUAUGGUUUUUGAUGAUAAAUAGGAUUUCCUUGAACCAUCAUCACUAUUAUAUGCAACUGUAAAAUGGAGGAGGAAAUGAGUAAAUGACACCACCUUGAACCAUUGAUAUUCAUAUUAUGGUUACUCUUAAAGAAAAAUAAUAGAUGGGGCAUCAUUAACAUACACAUAGCAGGAAAAAACAAAUUUCUCCUUUGAUUGGAAAAAAAGAUACAGCAAAGUUUGUGUGUUGAGAGGGAAAAAGAAUGAAUAGAAUAGUCGGUGUGAGGCUACAAAAGAAGAAGAGGAAGAAGAAAAGAAACAGGUUUCUAAGUUGAAAGCAAAAUAAGCAAAAUCUAUAGCCAAAACUUCAACAGGGUGGCUUGGUGGGUUCCCCACCCUGUUGGCUCCUGAGUCCUGUCAUUUGGAGAUCAAAAGAAUAAAAGGGUCAAUAUAAUAGAAUGUACAUGCCAAUGGUUUACCUCCUGUAAUCUCCAUAUAGGUAACUUUCAUACUGUGUUCCGUUGAGUGCUUUUUCUACAUCAUUCCAAUUCUGAAUGUGUUUGGAUAAUGACCCCUUGUGUAUCUUUACCUGGCGACUACUUAACUCCCUCUUUGGAACUUUUAGGAAUUCUUGAACCUCGGCUAGUUUCUGCACGAAUAAUAGAAACAACUAUCUUAAGAACCCACAGUUGGAUAAAAGAUUCAUUAAGAAAAGAUGUCUCGUUUUCUAGCAUUUAUUUUCUUACAGUGCGGUUCUUUACUACAUCCUCGUAGUAAAGUAUGAUAUGCCUGGUGCUUUUGAAGUACUCCAAUGCCUUCUUAGUAGUCUCUUCAACCUCCCUUAUAUUUGGAACUAGCAGCGUUGCGUUGAUUACAGGCUUGUAACUGGCAAGUAUGUCAGCCUGAAAUCAUUAUGAAAGAGUUGAGUCUUUUAGAUGAGUGUGAGAGAGAGAAAGAGAGGAGGAGAAGAGGGAUGAAAACCUCGAGAGGGGAAUGAACAUGAGACUUGUGGGUUCCAUUUAGUAGCUUGGCAUUCUGAUCAUAAGAAUUAGCUAGUAUUGAAAUCAUCCUGCGCAAAAGAUUCCUUCUAAAGAGAAAAAUAGCUGAAACACCCCGAGCAUUAAAGUAUUCCACUAUUUCUUUGUGGUACUGCAUCAAUCCCUGCAGUAAAGGAUUAUGAUCAUGUAUAACAGAGACAUAUUUGUAUCAUGAAUUCAAUACUUAGAGCAAUGUGUGUUCAUAAGAAACAUGACUUUACUAAGAAGACUAAAUACAUUUUCUCGAGUUAACAAAAAAUCGGACAAGGGGUCUCCUGUUUAAUAUAUAUUUUCUCCACUUCCCAACACAUAUUUCUACGUAGUCCCUCAGAACUUCAUAAGCUGCCAUCUCUUCUUUCCCAUGUUUAUUUGUUACAAAAACAUUUUCUCCUGUUCCCCUUUCAUUAUUUUGCUAAAGUCUCCACUGCAUUAUUCAAGGUUACAAAAAUUUAUAGCUGUUCCCUAUCAAUGUAAUGGUAAAUAUUUACCUAUAAUUGUGCUUCUCAUUAGAAAAUGAAUAAAACCGUAAAAUACCAAGAACUUAUAAACAUGUCUCCUUUCUUUAGUGAUGGCACUUAAGAUUACUCUCAGAUGUGAAUACCACGGUAUCCAAUAGUCGUACCCAACUUCAUGCAGAAAAGAAGACACCGAACCUGCUUUGUGAGAAAAAGGAGUGUCUAGAUGCAAAUAAGGCUCCAAUCAGUCAUAGUUGUACAGAAAGUCAUUUGCUGGGUUAAGAAUAUAUGAUUGGUUAUGUUUUGGAAUGAAAACAAGAUGAAAGGAUUGACGAUUGUUUUGUGCAUAAAACAAGCUAGGAUAGUCUUUUCUUCUUCAGAGCAAUAGGGAAUGUGUUUCUACUGCAGGGAAAAUAUAUCUGGUUGCUAGAGAAUUACAUAAAACUAGAGCUAGAAACAAAGAUUGCGGAUAAUUUUAAGAAGACAAAAGAAAAUGAAACAUGGAAAGAGAAGAUGAAAUUAUGACAAUGCCCUAGAAACCAAUGAACUCAAAGGUUGUUUUCACCGAAAGACCAUUAAAAAUACUAUAAUCACAAGUGUAUCCAUAAAUAUGAAGGAUGUUUCCGGUUUCUUCUGCUUCAUCCUUGAUAUCCUGGUUGUAGAGUUAGCUUCGGUAUGCUAAGUCAUUUCUUUAACUAAGGCUUUGUAUAGCUGAUAUGGUGAACCAAUUUCUAGUUGAAAAGGCUAAUCAAUUCCUAUUCUCAGACUCAUGAGGUAAAGAGCAUAAGACAUUUCAUUAAGGCCACAGAUUUCUGCUAUAACAAUAUUAGCAAACAUUACAUUUCUGCUAUAUGAGAAGCUCACCUGAUUAAGCAUCCACUUCAAUCCAACAGCAGCUGUGCACUCAUUUUUGGAGGCACUGGUGAACCAGUCUAAGUUGUAUACUUUGUCCAAAGUCUCAACAAUUGUUGACACAUUAGUCCUCCUAACUUUGACAGAGAAUACCUCCCCAUUUGAGCUUAUGUUAGUAUGAUUGUUCAAUAAGGUUUCAAACCAUCCGCUCCCAGAUCUCUGCAUUGACAUAAUGGCAAAAUACCGGACAGGAUUGCACGCGCACUCGGCCCUAAUCACACACAAGAAAACCCAGAAUUAAUUCAUAAAACUAAAAAACCAAACUAAGAAGCAACAAAACCAGUUUCAUACCUGCUAAAAGUUUUGGGGUUCGGAUAGUGCACGUAAGGAAUUUCCCAUGGCUCAAUAUUAGGUUCUGGACAAGGCUUUUGAAUCACUCCGAUAUUCAAAAACUCAGACGUGCUGCUGGUGCUUAUUUGCUUCAAACAAAUUGAGAAUAUAUACACACCACAAACCAUUACAAACAACAACACAACCAUCCUCAACACCAAUGGAGACUUCUUUGGCAGCUUUAGGAUGAAAGAAUCCUGAAAUAUAAAGAUCACUUCAAUAUCGAUAAUCCCUUCAAAAAUAUGGUAUGGGGUAUUGCUAUAGCAUUAAUCUCUCAUUUAAUUCAGCUAGAAAAAACUCAACUCCGUUCUCAAUAAGCCAUAUUAAUUAAUUGAUUAAUCACGUUCUAAUGUACAAAAACAUAUCAACAUCGAAACCACAAUCAAAGAACAAAGCUUUCAUGAAAAUGAAAUCUGGGUGUUGCUUCAAUCUUAAUAAAGUGAUAAAAGACAACAAAGCCCCCUAAAAUCAUGGGUGUUUAAUGCAAAGAUUUUAUGUUUUACAGAAAACCAAAUAAGGCAAUAUAAAUAAAUAUUUAAUAUUAAUAACAGAAUCUUCAAUCUCACUCCAUAUGACGACAAUGGAACCUACUAAACAUACCCAAAGAGGAAAAUAAAAAUACUAACCUUGCUGAAGAAACUCAGAUCGUCGGCCAUGGCUUCAAAGCUCAAAGAGUAAGGCAAUCAAAAGGCAUUGGCAACUCCUUUUUUUUUCUAUGGUUUUUUUCCCUCUUUUUUUCACUCACAUAGAAAAAAAGAAGUAUUUAGUUUUCAUCUCUCAUUUCUUUCAAAUUAAAUCUUUUUUUUUCUAUUAAAAAAAUUGAAUGAAAGCGAAAGAGAAAUAGCAGGGUUAAUUCUCGUGAAGAACAAAAUGAUUAGGCUCUUUUCUUCCUCAAGUCCGUUUGCCGUUGAUGAAGCACACGCUCGGUCCUAUGUUUUUUUCGAGUAUUGCCUUACAUUCUGGGGGGGUUAAAUUAUUGUUUUGGUCCCUCUAUUAUGAUCAAGUUUUGGAUUUAGUCUUUAUACUUAUUUGGUAGGUCCAAAUUUGGUAUAAUUUGUUUUUGGGAACAAAUCUCAUAAUUAUACAUGAACUUUGAUUUAACGUGCAAUUGUAUACAUGAGUUUUAAUUUGGUGUAAUUAUACACGUAAAACUCUAAUUGUGGUUAAAACAUAUACUUGAAACUUUAAUUUUGAUUUAAUCAUACAUAUUUAAAAAAAUAAAUACAUCAAUUUAUUUUUAUAUUGGAUAAAUAUAAUUAUUUAUAUAUGCAAUAUAUAAAUAUAAAAUGAUUUUAUAUCAAUAAUUGUGUUGAAAAAUUUCAUGUAUAAAAUUACAGAGAAUCAAAGUUCAUGUAUACAAUUACACAUUAAAUCAUACUUCAUGUAUAGUUUUGGGAUUUAUCCUUUUUUUUUUUACUUUUAUAAUAGAUAUAAGGUAACAUUUAGUUCUCAAACUUCAUAAUUUUUCUCAACUUGGCCCUUAAAAAUUUUUGUCCAUUUAUCCACAUUAGCCUCUAAACUUGGUAACAUUUCUCGGAUUUAGUUUAUGUGAUGACAUGACAUUUUGAGAAUGUAUUAGAAUAUCACUUCAAAUUUUUAUUAAAAAUAUAAUUUUUAGCUUACAACGUGGCAAAAUAUUAAAGUAACAUGUCAUAGCAUGUACCAAAACGAAAAAAAGUUGCCAAGUGAUUGUUCUUACCCACUAAGACCUUUUAAAGGCAUGGGUCUGAAUGCUACCAAGGUCAAAUGAUAGGACAUUUUCUUGGUGGGCUUAGGUGCUCCUAUCGAAACUCCAUGAAUCCUUUUGGGCUCUUUUGGAGUAGGGAGACAAAAACCCGAGGCUAAAAUCGAGCAUAGACACUUUAAGAACAAUACCUCCACUGUUGAGGGCAAGUAUCUACUAUGGAGUGUCUCACUCCUUCAAUAGAAGGUAUUGUCCCUAUGUCAAGUUUUAUCUCCCGUACUCCAAUGAGAGCCUAAAAGGGUUCACGAAGUUUAGGGAGCGCCUCGGUUGGUGGAGAUAUGACUUGCAAGCUCAUGGGAGAAGUGUUAAUAUUGUGCGAAAUACUAAUUAUGCAUAUUAUGCCUGUGGUGGUUCAAACCACCAACUAAGGCUCAAAUGUCUUACCUUUGCAUAUCUAGUACCACUUGGCCAACACUUCUCUCAUGAGUUUGUAGGUCGUAUCUCCACCAAUUGAAGCACUCCCUAAACUCCAUAAACCCCUUUGGGCUCUCCUCAUAGUACGAGAGACAACCCCAACAAGGGAACAAUAACUUUUGUUGAUGGAGUGAGACACUCCAUAGCAGAUACUAGAGUUAUUCAAGGGUCAGGCUACUCACCAAGCCAGAAGGCCUACUCGAAAUUUGAAAGUGUUUGAGCAAAAAUAUUAAGCUCAAAAAAUGGGCUUGGGUAAAAAAAUUAGGCUUAUUUAAAAUAUGGGUCGAGCUUGAGCUUGAACAUUCAAGACCCAAGCUCGACCCAACCUGACCUAUUUUUAAGUUAAUAAUAUUUUAUGGUAUAUUAUUUUUAUACAUUACGUAAUUUAUAACACAUAAAAAUUAAAUCUAUAGUAGUAUAUAAUACAAACUACUAUGAUGUAAACGUUAUAAAUUGCUAAGGUGACUAUAUAUAAAAUUUUAAUAAAUAAAAAUAUAUAAAUUAUUAAAUAUUAAAUUAAAAAUAAUAUGGGCAGACCUAAAAUGGUUUUGAGUUAGCCAUUCACAAAUAUGGACGUGCUUGAGCAAAAUUUUAAGCUCAUAUUUCGAGUCGAACCGAGCUUGGACAGGCAUAAAGAAUGUUAAUAUCAUACAUAGGUCCGACCAACCCAACUUAUGAACACCUCUAAAUAGAUACUCACCCUCAACAUAUUUAAUAAUAUUAACUAUUUCAGUUAAAAUAUUAACCUAAUUUUUUCUUGAAAAAUUCCCUUUCACUAUUAAAAAAGACUAUAUUAGUAAGACAAGUUAAAAUAGUUAUAUAUCCAAGGUAGUAUUUUCACUAAAAUCAUGUUUACCCAUAUGAGCAUUUUAACCAGAAUAAUUGACUCCGUUGAGUGUUGGCUCUCAACGUAUAAAAUGAAUCAAAGAAAGGGUGGAUUGAAUCCUUAAAACUUUAAGGUAUUUUUGUAGAAAUCCAUUUAAUCAAGACAAUAAAACUUAAACUAAUGUGAAUGGAAAGAAAAGCUAAUAUAAGGGUUUAUACAGGUUGCGCCAUACUAACCCACCUCCUCUACUUAGCUCGAGAAAGUUAAUAUAAAGAUCUCUCUUAACUCACUCACGAAAGCAUUUUCAAUUUAUCUUCUAUGUAGGAUAAGAUGGAAACCUUUCUUUUUAUCUUUUACAAUGAUAAUAGUAAAAAUUACUCUUAACUUUCAAAGUUCAACUAUCAACCUCUCGUUUUACAAUUUUUUAGCAAUAACAAGAUGGAUUAAAAACUUGUAUAAAGAUUUUCGAUAAAUAACAAAAAGAUAUACAAUGAAAGAUAUAAAAAAAAUGAAGUUGUCUUACAAUUUCUUACUAAUAAACUACAUUUGAUGCUUGGAUACGUAUCUCUUAUCUGUUAAAUAAUUAGAGUUGUUGAGAGACCCAUUUCUGAGAUUGAUCUUAAAAUACUUCUGACCGCGAGCUCUUACUUAUCUCCAUUUACAAUUUAACUACUUGAGGGAUUGACGUUAGGAACAUUGUGUUCAAAGUUUAAAAAAUCAACUUUAAAAUACUUAAAAAUAGAUUUGUGAUAAUCUCAAAAAUAUUAAAAAAUUAUCAAACUAUUUUAGAUAAUUGUUUUAAAGAUUUUGAAGAAUUGAAAAUAUUUUAUGAUAUUUUAAUAAAUUUUCUUCAAAAGGAAUAAAUCAAAUUAAUAAUUAAUUUAUCUAAAUAUUGACAUGAAUUGUUAUUAAAAACACCCAUUUCAACAUAAAAAUAUUAAUAUAGUUAGAAUUAAUUUGUUUUGCAAAAAAAUUCACUUCAAUUUUUUUAAUAAAAAAGUUAAAAAUGUUAAUUAUUUACAUUAAUAUCAAAUUAUUUUGAAUUAAAAUAUAUAUUAAAUAUUAAAUUUGAUCAAAAUUUAAAAUUUUUAAUAUUCAAUAAUCAUUGUUUAGAUUGAAAUAUAUAUUAUGUACAAUUUAUAAUAACUAAUACUAAAAGUUAACCCCAAAAUCAAUGAGAACAGCAAGUUUGAAUUUUAUACACUUGUUAGGGGACAACUAAGCUUAGUCUUAUAUCAUAAUGAGAGGGUUAGCUACGAUAUUGACCUUUUAAUGUGAGUUUGAAGUGAAAUUUAAUGUGAACUAUUUUGUAUGUGUUUAUAUAUAUAUUUGUUUAUAUCUCUAUCCGCGGUAAGACACUAGGUAAGUUUAGGAGUUGUCUGAACAAUAAGUUUAUCAUCAGUGAGUUAGGAGGAUACCUGUGAAUUCACCUUCUCAAAGGGACUAUCCGGACAAUGGAUGGCUCAGUCUUCACUGGAAACAUAGAAUCAUUUGGUCACCAAAUAUCACAUGAGCUCAACUACUUUAUCCCAUUAGAGUCAGAAGGGAGGACAAGAUUUAUCAUGUCACAGGCAUCCCCCUCACGUGCUCCAUAAUGAUGGUUAGAUGGUAAGUCCAACAUGUUAACACCAUAUUACCAGGGACUCUCACCUAUAAAUAUCUCCAAGAACGAUGAAGAGGGAAUCAACUCUUGAGGAUACUAAGCCUACAUUCUGCCAAUACUCUUCGAAGUUUUUAUCUUUAGCAUUCUCUCCAUCCUUGUUAUCCUUGAUCUCCUGCUCUCCGUCUUGACCGAGUGAAUCGACCUUCUCAACAACUAUUCUCUUCUUCUCUCCAUCCUUCCCUUAUUGAGUCCAAUAUCAACAAUAUUUAUAUUAUUUUUCUAUAUGAUGUUAUGUUUUGUACAAUUUAUUUUAGUUAAUUAUAUUAAAAAAUAAUUUAGUAUUAAUGUCGUAUAUUGUAUUUGUUUUAUUUUAUAUUCAUAUAACUUGUUAUAAUAAUUUGGUUUAUAAAAAUGUUAUAUGUAUAUGUCUUGUUGGCAUGAUUUUUUAUAUGUAAAUCAUUAUAAAAUUAUAUAAAUUUUUACAUGUUAAUAAUUUUUUUUAAAUUUUAGAAUGAUCUUAACUCGUAUUAUAAAAAAAUAUCUUCAUGUUUGCUUUUUCAUUGGAAAUAGCUUUGUCCAUGGUCAAAUUAUUUGUUCAAGCUCGAAGGCCCGUUUAAAAUAUGAGAAGAUUUGAUUUGGGUAAAAAAAUAGACUCAUUUUAAAUAAGGUUCAGGCUUUGGUGUCAACAUUCAAGAAUUGAGCCCGACUCAAAUACCCCUUUUAUGUUUUUGUAAUAUAUUUUUAUUUUUAUAUAUUAUGUAAUUUAUAUCACAAAAAAAAGUAAAUAUAUAAUUAAUACAAUACUAUUUAAAUAAUUUUAAAAACAUGUUAAGUUAUCUAAAUUUAAAAUUGUAAUAAAAGAUGACCUGUAGUAUUAAAAAUUAAAUUAAAAAUAAUAUAUAUUUUAUAAAAUAUGAGGGAACUUAAAAUAGACUUGAGUUAACUAUUUAAUUAUAAAUAUAAGUGAGUUUAGAUAAAAUUUUAAGCUUAUAUAAAAUAAACAGAAUACUAAUAUCAUACAUAAACCUAACUGCAUUCGAUUCAGCUUAUAAAUAAUUCUAAUCGGAGAAUUAAGAAUUUAGGAUAGUUUCUAUCAAUGCUUCUAUUUUAAUAUUUUAAAAAAUAUGGUGGUACAACAUGCACAUCUUUAAUAACAACAAAUCAUGCCAUUAGUUCAAUAGUGUAUAUAUUGGGUUUUAAGUUGAUUGACACGAGAUUUAAGAUUUAAUCCUUGUAUAUGUCAACUCAUUCUCCUUUCUCGUUGUAAUCUAAUUGUUUGCUUAUAUCAAAAAAAAAAAAACCACUAACAUCAUGACUCGAACCUAAAAUAUGAGUGAGUUGCAGGUGGAAAGAAAAUAUUUUUAGAUAAUAAUGAUUUGUAUUAUAAAAAGCAGACUUUUACUUUUCUCUUAUCAUUUCUUGUAGAGGUCCACACGGUUUUCGCUUUCGUUUUUUUUUUAAUUAUAAAUUAUUUUAUAAAUAUUUUAUGGAUGUUUUGUCCAAAAACUUUUAUGUAAUAUACAUUUGUCAUAAGGAAAUGUGUUGCACGAGUCAACCACAUGGAGCAGGAAACAUGGUGGAGUUCGCCAAUCUCGCAGCAUAGAAAUAAAUCCUGCUUAGAUAGAAAUAAGUGGUUGUGUUUGGGUUUGUUUGCAACAACUUAUAUUGGGCUAGAAUACGGGUCAAGUCCCUUUCGCAAAAGCCCAUGUAUUAGUAUGGCUAUUGUUGUUAAUACUAGAAGAUCUGAGUUCGAGUGCGUUGAAGCACAUCAUAUUUUUAUUUAUGAACUGGGAAGAGCUGAUAUGAUCUAAAUCUGUAAUGAGAUGUUCAAAAAAAAAGUAUUAAAUGACAAUUUAGAUAUGAUGUAGUGCAUUUUUAAUACACAUGGAUUAAAUUAUAAACAUUGCGUACUUAUUGUAUUGAUAAUUUUCAAUUUAACAUGUUAAAAAAAAACCGUGUCAUUAUAAUUUAGGUUUUCUUUUUUAAACACAUCAUAUUCAAGUUGCAAUGUUAUUGGAAUCAAAUCUAACCAUUCAAUUCAAUUGAAAAUUGAUAACUUAAGCGAUUCAACCAUUACAUAUAAUUGUAAUUAUUGAGAACUACUUCAAACACGAAAAAAAUUGAAAACAAAAAACUGAAAAUGGAGAAAAAAAAUCCCUAUUUAAUUCGGGUUUUAUCUAUGUUUUGAGAUUUUAAUUUUUUUAAACAAAAUUUAGCUUAGAUUUUUCUUUCCAUAAGUAUAAUUGGUAGGAAAGAUAGAAAAAAAAAGGGAAGAAAAAGUACAUUUCUUCUAUUGCUAGAUAGAAUUGAAAAAUGAAAAAUGAAAUAAAAAUAAAAUAUUUGAAAAAAUGCAUAAUUUUGAACUAAUAUGCACAUCUGCUUCAUUUUCUCUCCUCUUAUCAUUCUAAUUUGGAAUAAUUGAUUUUUAUGCAUUGGGAUGAAAUAUGAUCAUCUCUCUUAUUUUCUUUUCUCUCACUUUUCUUCUCAACCAAGCACAUCAAAAUUUAUUUUCUUUCCACUUUUCCAUCAAAAUUUGGAACUUUGGGUUUUGAAGAAUACAUAUGUUUGCUAGCCGGGUUUGGUUUUUAAAACAUUGUCAAGUCGUUCAUGCGAUAGGUACACAUGUGUUUACAAUUUGGUCCACUUGUUUUGAAUUGAUAUUAGCUUAAGCAUAAUAGCUAAGUUGAUAGAAGGACUUAAUCGGUACAAUACAAAUACUUCGAUAUUUCAAUUAAAAUUUUUAAAGUUUGAGAACAAAUUUAAAUUUUAAGUCAUAAUUUAGUAACGUUUGGUGUGAUUAACCUUUUCUUUAAAUUUAUAAAAACAAAUUUUUUCGAUGAUAUCAAAACUAGAUCGACUCUAUCAAUUCAAUCGAUUUAAUUGAUAUCUGCGUUGUUCAACAUGAAAGAAAAAUAAGAAAAAUAAACUAAAUAAACUAAAUGGGUAAAAAAAUUAUAAUUGUGUAUAUAUUAUUGAAAAGUGCAUUAAUUGUUGAGUUAAAUGGAUUAAAUUGAAAAUAAAAAUUAUUAUUAAUUUGUGAUUUAACUCUAUUUUUAUAAUAUUAAAAUUACAUUUUUAUUAAUAAAUAUUGAAUGUAAUAAUAAAAUAUACCAUAUUUAAAAGAAAAUUGCAAAAUCGAAUGAGGAAAAAUGAUUAUAAACCCUAGAUAUAGAUGUGAAAACAUGAAAGAUAAAAAAAUAAAAAAUCUUUGGUGCAUUAAAAAUUGUAUGAUUUGAUGGUAAAAAACUAUUUUCCGUAAAAUAAACGCAACUUUCCAAUUUAUGAAAAUCAACUACACGCGACGAUGACUACAAAAUUUCUUUCCUACAAAGUUUCAAACUCUACAAAGAUAAGACAUUUAUUGGUGAAAAUUUCCCAUUAUUCAAUAUUUGAAAAAAGAAAUAUAGAUAGACAAAAUCAGGAGCGAAUUUAGAAAAAUUUUUAGGGAUGAAUUAAAUUGUAAUUUUUACGAUAGUAAAAAUGUAAUUUCACUAUUUUAAUAGUCUAUAUCUUUAUAAUUUUAAAAGAUUAAAUCAUAUUUUUAUCAUUUUAAGGGGGAAAAGUGUAAUUUUACCUUUACUAAUUUAAAAUUUUAAAAAUUUUAAAGGGCCUAAAUGAAAAAUUUUCUAUUUUAGGGCGGGCAGGGGCCAUGCCGAACCCCUAGUUUUACCAUUGGAUAAAACAGGUUAGAUUCUUUAUUUUACAUCAAAUUUCUUGUUUCUCCGACAUUGCAGUUAAAAAGAUUAAAGCCACAUCGGUGAAUCUUGAUUAAAGCUACAACAGUGAAUCUUACGCCCCAAGCAAUGCAAUGGAAUAGAUUAAAGCCAAAUUGGUGAAUCUUGUUUCUCCGACAUUGCAGUUAAAAAGAUUAAAGCCAUAUCGGUGAAUCUUGAUUAAAGCUACAACAGCGAAUCUUACGCCCUAAGCGAUGCAGUGGAAUACAUUAAAGCUAAAUUGGUGAAUCUUGUUUCUCCGACAUUGCAGUUAAAAAGAUUAAAGCCACAUCGGUGAAUCUUGAUUAAAGCUACAACAACGAAUCUUACGCCCCAAGCAAUGCAGUGGAAUAGAUUAAAGCCAAAUUGGUGAAUCUUGUUUCUCCGACAUUGCAUUUAAAAAGAUUAAAGCCACAUUGGUGAAUCUUGAUUAAAGCUACAACAGUGAAUCUUACGCCCCAAGCGAUGCAGUGGAAUAGAUUAAAGCCAAAUUGGUGAAUCUUGUUUCUCCGACAUUGCAGUUAAAAAGAUUAAAGCCACAUCGGUGAAUCUUGAUUAAAGCUACAACAGCGAAUCUUACGCCCCAAGCGAUGCAGUGGAACAAAUUAAAACCAAAUUGGUGAAUCUUGUUUCUCCGACAUUGCAGUUAAAAAGAUUAAAGCCACAAUGACGAAUCUUACUUUCCAAAAGUUACGAGUUACAAAUCCUAUCUCCCUGAUAUUACAAUGGAGUGGAUCGAAGAACCAAAAUCUCAUCCCCCUAAAGUUGCAGCAGAGUGGAUUGAAACUACAGGUCAUAUCUCUCUGAAGUGCAGUGGAGUAGAUCGAAGCGAUAAGACGCAGUGGACUGGAAUGACUACCUGAAGAAGAAAAACAUCAGAAGAAGUCAAGACUCGGCGAGACCGGACAAAAUUGGCCUUUCUUAGUCUUUGCUCUGUUCUCGUUACACGACAACGAGCAAAGAGGGGCAGCUGUACAGCCCAAUUUAUGCCCGGGCCCAACAAGCAGAGGCAAAGCAAAAAAAACAAACAGCAAACACAAAUAACGGGCCCAAAUACCAGACCCAUUUUGCCCUAGCCCAAACUUUCAAUACCCAACUAACCUAACCCACCUAAAUAACCCACUAACCCUCAGCCCAAAACAAUUAAACCCAAUUACCAAACCCAAUACAACACUAGCCCAAUACCCCAAAUUAGACCCAAUAACCGAGCCUAGUUGCAUUGGGUCCAAGGUCUCAGCCUCCAUGGUCAAACUAGGGUUUCAGAACUGAAACCCUAGCUUACCUGCCCUCAACGCCGCAACCACCGCCAACUACCACUGUCAUCUCCACCCACGUGCGCCCAUGCCUGCAAUGACAGAGAGGAAACAUCAGCAAGCAAAGAAAUAGACUAAAAAAACUUAUGUAAAUCGGCUAUAAAGCCAAGAAUGAAUCAUUGUAAAAGGGGGGACUUCUGUUUUUGGGGAAAUCGGUGUAAAACUGAUUAAAAACCAUUGUAAUAAAAAAAUGGUUCAGAAGAAAGAAAAGAUUGAAGAAAAGACCAAGGUAAAAAUCCGCAAAUGGCACUUUGAAAAAAAAACUCUAUUGGGGCAAUGCCGUUCUCUUGGGCCUAUCGCGAUUUUGCCUAUUGAAGACGAGAUUCUUUCUGAGUUUUUGGACCCAAUCCCGAUCAAGGAGGAAUGUUCAAAGUUAUCCAUCAUGGUCAAAUGCACCAAAAGCAAAUGAUGUGAGCUCAAAAAAAAGAGAGAGAAAAAGAAGAGAAUUCCAUGAGAGGACCUAGUAUCGAAGAAGAUCCUUCCCACACAAAAAGAACUUCAUGCCAAGAUGGGAAGAACCUUAUGUGGAAGGCCUUAUUUGGAAAAGCGUCAAUCUUGAUCGGAAAGGAUAACGAGGACAUGCCUAAUCCAAUAAGUUCAAAAAAAAAGAGGGAGAGGCCAGGGUGAAAACCCGCAAAGGGCACCUUGAGACCAAAGGGGAUUUGAGUUGAAAACCCAAAAAGAGCGGCUCAAACUUUUGAUCAUAAUAGGACAUUAAGUGAUCAGAGCGACUAAAAUUUUGGAUCAAAUUGGGGGAUGAGGCGAUCAGAGCAGCUCAAAUUUUGAUCAGAUCGUGGCAUAUGGUGAUCUUGCUAUACCUGAAUUAGUAGGAAAGGGUAGGCGACAUCUUGGGGCAUCGACAAAGUCCUGUUGAUCUCCUAAACACGUCUUCAGAAAAUUUGUACAGAGAAAUUCAAGCUGCGAUAUCUAGGGCACCCAACCUUCAUAUUAUUUAUAUAUUAAAUUUGUUGUUCUUGGAAUACUUUUUCUUUUCUAAGAUAUACAUUCCCAAUCAAAUUUUUUAUUAUUAUCAUUCUUUACUAUUUUGAUAAUUUAUUCAUUUUGAGCUAUGCUCAGAACCAUCUUUAUUCUUAUCCAUUGUUAUAACCCUUUUUGCAAGCAUGUUGCAUUGGAAUAAUGAUUAAUGGACAAAUAUUACUUUCACAAGGGAAGUUUGCAUAUUACUCUAGAAGUUUCUAAAUAAUAUAGGAACCUGAAAUAGGACUAUUGUUUAAAAAACACCAAGUUUAAAGGGUGAAAUAUCUAAGAAGGAAAAGCCUAAAUCAGGACUAUCCUUUCAAACUUUGUUGUCCAAAUAAGGAUUGAACAAAAUGAGAAGAUGCCGUGUUGGUGACAAAGCUUCAAUGAAAAAACAAGCGAUGUUCACCAAGCAAUAAGAAAAGGUUUUCUGUGAGAAGAAAAUACUUCAUUGUGCAUAGACAUUUGGUAUGACACCUUGGGAAUGGUGUAGGAGACCAAAGAGUUUCACAUUCUGUAUCCUUGAAUUGUGAUAGCAGAAGAUUAAGAAAAAGCCAUAUUUUUCUACCCUUAGGUUACAGUGGGAGAAUGAUGGUACAAAUUUUGCAUCCUAGUGGAUUGAACUUGGAGGUUUGCAGUGGGGGCAAUCUGAUUAAGUGUUUCUUUGGAUAUGCCAGCCAAGCAAGAAGGCGUUGUAACACGUCAGUGAUAAAAAAUAAGCAAUAACAACUCAAACAUUAAAAAAUGGGUUAUUCUCAUGACAUUCUGCAUUCAUGCAAAUAUCAUUCAUACACAUCUAGUUAGGAAAUUUUGAUUCAUUUUAAUCAUGACAUCCUAAACACUAGGCAUAAAUAGGUCCAUCAAAUGGAUUAUACAGGUCAUGUUUCCCAGAGAACAGAUCAAUGAAGAUAGCAGAUCUUGCCUUCCUGUACUGACAGUGAAGCAGAUCGAAGAAACCAUAGUUUGCAAUUCAAACGAUUAAAGCCACCUCGGUGAAUCUUGAUUAAAGCUACAACAGCAAAUCUUACGCCCCAAGCGAUACAGUGGAAUAGAUUAAAGCCAAAUUGGUGAAUCUUGUUUCUCCGACAUUGCAGUUAAAAAGAUUAAAGCCACAUCGGUGAAUCUUGAUUAAAGCUACAACAGCGAAUCUUACGCCCCAAGCAAUGCAGUGGAAUAGAUUAAAGCCAAAUUGGUGAAUCUUGUUUCUCUAACAUUGCAGUUAAAAAGAUUAAAGCCACAUUGGUGAAUCUUGAUUAAAACUACAACAGUGAAUCUUACGCCCCAAGCGAUGCAGUGGAAUAGAUUAAAGCCAAAUUGGUGAAUCUUGUUUCUCCGACAUUGCAGUUAAAAAGAUUAAAGCCACAUCGGUGAAUCUUGAUUAAAGCUACAACAGUGAAUCUUACGCCCCAAGCAAUGCAGUGGAAUAGAUUAAAGCCAAAUUGGUGAAUCUUGUUUCUCUGACAUUGCAGUUAAAAAGAUUAAAGCCACAUUGGUGAAUCUUGAUUAAAACUACAACAGUGAAUCUUACGCCCCAAGCGAUGCAGUGGAAUAGAUUAAAGCCAAAUUGGUGAAUCUUGUUUCUCUGACAUUGCAGUUAAAAAGAUUAAAGCCACAUCGGUGAAUCUUGAUUAAAGCUACAACAGCGAAUCUUACGCCCCAAGCGAUGCAGUGGAACAGAUUAAAAUCAAAUUGGUGAAUCUUGUUUCUCCGACAUUGCAGUUAAAAAGAUUAAAGCCACAAUGACGAAUCUUACUUUCCAAAAGUUACGAGUUACAAAUCCUAUCUCCCUGAUAUUACAAUGGAGUGGAUCGAAGAACCAAAAUCUCAUCCCCUUAAAGUUGCAGUAGAGUGGAUUGAAACUACAAGUCAUAUCUCUCUGAAGUGCAGUGGAGUAGAUCGAAUCGAUAAGACGCAGUGGACUGGAAUGACUACCUGAAGAAGAAAAACAUCAAAAGAAGUCAAGACUCGGCGAGACCGGACAAAAUUGGCCUUUCUUAGUCUUUGCUCUGUUCUUGUUACACGACAACGAGCAAAGAGGGGCAGCUGUACAGCCCAAUUUAUGCCCGGGCCCAACAAGCAGAGGCAAAGCAAAAAAACAAACAGCAAACACAAAUAACGGGCCCAAAUACCAGACCCAUUUUGCCCUAGCCCAAACUUUCAAUACCCAACUAACCUAACCCACCUAAAUAACCCACUAACCCUCAGCCCAAAACAAUUAAACCCCAUUACCAAACCCAAUACAACACCAGCCCAAUACCCCAAAUUAGACCCAAUAACCGAGCCCAGUUGCAUUGGGUCUAAGGUCUCAGCCUCCAUGGUCAAACUAAGGUUUCAGAACUGAAACCCUAGCUUACCUGCCCUCAGCGCCGCAACCACCGCCAACUGCCACUGUCAUCUCCACCCACGUGCGCCCAUGCCUGCAAUGACAGAGAGGAAACAUCAGCAAGCAAAGAAAUAGACUAAAAAAUCUUAUGUAAAUCAGCUAUAAAGCCAAAAAUGAAUCAUUGUAAAAGGGGGGCUUCUGUUUUUGUGGAAAUCGGUGUAAAACUGAUUAAAAACCAUUAUAAUAAAAAAAACGGUUCAGAAGAAAGAAAAGAUUGAAGGUUAUUUUCUUAUUUUCAUUUUUUUUUACUUUUUUUUUCUUAUUUUUUCAAAAUAUUAAACAAAAAAAAAGAAAUGAAGCAUCUUUACCUUGUUUUACCGACACCGGAGCGUUCAAGAGGCCGAGGAGACCAUUCGGCCGAAAAAAGGGGAGACUUUUGGUCUCCCCGCUGCCGUGCACGGUGGCACCGGCACGACGGCGUUGACGGUGGCUCUCCCGCCGGAUUUCAGGCCUGACAUCGGAGAAAGGGGGAAGGUUUGAGAGCUUUUUAAGGUUUUUGUUUUUGAGAAAAGAAAAAUGAGGAAAUUUGAAAAAAAAUUUGGCUUUUAUAGCCUUUACAAAACGGCGCCGUUUUGGGAGGGUCAGGUAAGCCCCAAAACGACGUCGUUUUGGGCUCCUGACCCGACGUCCAACCCGCUCCAGGUCAAGAUCCGCGUGUUAUGCUUGGAGGGGCUAUUUGCGCUUUUAGCCCCUCCGCUUUUUAAUGCCUCCGCAAUUAGUUUUUUUAUUUCUUUAAAUUUAUCCCUUUAUUUUAUUUUAGAUUUCAAUUUAAUCCCCUUUGAAGCUAUGCGUUUUAGAGAGGAAGGGAAAAUUUCCCUUCCAGCCCCUCUAUGUUAUUCGUGUGUUCAAUGUGGUCCCUUCCCUUUGAUUUUAUUUAGAUUUAACCCCGAAUUUUGUUUUAAUUUUUUAGUUUAGUCCUUUUGUUAGUUUGUUUAUUUUCUUAAUAAAUUUCAUAUUAUUAUUGUUAUUAUUAUUAUUAUAAUUGCUUUUAUAUAUAUAUAGUUAUAUACAUACCUACAUUUUUUAUGUAUAUUGUAUGAUUUUUGUACAUAUUUACAUAUUUACAUAUCUAUAUAUAUGUAUUUUAUUUUCAUAAAUAUAUAUAUUUACAUAUUCUUCAUUUUUUAAAAUAUUUAUUUUAUAUAUGUACUUUAUAUAUUAUGAUUCAUAUAUAUAUACCUAUACAUAUAUACUUUUCAUAUUUUAAUUCACAUACGUAUAUGUAUAUACUUACUUAUAUAUAUAUUUAUAUAAAAUUUUAAAAUAUGUAGAUAUGUUUUUAUAUUUUAUAUAUAUAUGUAUACACGUGAAUACAUUUACAUAAUAUGUUUAUACAUACAUAGUUCUUCUCUUUUACAUAAAUAUAUAAAGUAUACAUAUAUAUACUUAUGUUGUGCGGAAGCGUGUAAAAGAGUAAAAUUAUUGUACUAAAAAAUCACACUAAGUUCAAUUCCCAGGAAAGAGAGGUAGAUCGCAAGGAUCGCUUAAGUACCAGGUCUUUCCUAGCCAGAAUAUCCCUCAAUCGUAAUUUAAUAGCACAAUAAAUCACUACAAUCACACACACAAUUCAUGCAGAAUAAUACAAUAAAGAACAUAAGAAUUUAACGAGGUUCAGCAAAUUUUGCCACGUCCUCGGGCACUACCAAAUAUAUUUCACUCCAAAAUACAAGUGAGAAUUUACAAAGAGAGAGAGAGAAAACAAUGCCUUAAGUAGAGAAUGGCAAGUUUGAGAUACAGAAUGAGAGAUGGUUAUGCCUAUUUAUAGUUGAGGUUCAGGGAUCAACUUGCAAAGUCACUUUACAAUUAGGGACCAUAUAUUGCAAAUAUCUCAGAUUUUAUUAUGCCAAUAUCUCGAUACCCAUAUCUUUGACUUUCCAAUAUUUGAUACCCAUAUCUUUGACUUUCCAAUAUUUGAUACCCAUAUCUUUGACUUUCUAUUAUUUGAUACCCAUAUCUUUGAUUUUCCAUAAAUAUGGAUAAUUCCCAAUAAUCUCCACCUUGAAGAUUUGAUUCGAGUAAUCUUAUCUUCACACAAUUCUCUCUGCCUUUGUCAACAACACUUGAUAGUGCCUUCUUCAACUGUUAAACAUGCAGAAUAUUGAUCAAGUUCAAACAAUGUUCGAACUUGAUUGUUGUUACCACCUUGGUCAUCAUAUCUGCGGGAUUAUCUGCAGUCUUAAUCUUCUGAAGGUGAAUUUUCCCCUCAUCAAUAAUUUCCCGCACAAAGUGGAAACGUACAUCGAUAUAGUUUGUACGUGCAUGAUAGACUUGAUUCUUUGCUAAAUGAAUAGCACUUUGACUAUCACAAUAUACGCAAUGAUCAAAUUUACUUCUUGUAUACCUUUGCCCUUUCAUGAACUGAUCAAAUCGCUUGUACCACUGCCUUGGAGAUUGUUUCAAUCCAUAAAGCGACUUUGUCAGUUUGCAAACCCAAUUUUCUUUAUCAGCAACCUUGAAUCCAUCUGGCUGAGUCAUAUAGAUUUCCUCUUCCAAAUCACCAUGUAAAAAUGCGGUCUUCACAUCGAGCUGAACUAGUUCAAGAUCAUAUUGCGCAACCAAGGCUAGCAAAAUCCGAAUAGACGAAUGCUUCACAACUGGAGAAAAUACUUCAUUGUAGUCUAUUCCUUCUUUCUGAGCGUAACCCUUUGCUACCAAUCUAGCCUUGUAUCGAACUUCAUUUUUAUCAGGAAAUCCUUCUUUCUUUGCAUAUACCCAUUUGCAUCCAAUUGCCUUCUUUCCUUUAGGUAGUGUCACCAACUCCCAAGUCCUAUUUUUAUGAAGAGACUGCAUUUCUUCAUUCAUAGCUUGCUUCCACUUUACACUAUCAGAGUUACUUCUUGCUUCUGUGUAAGUAGAAGGAACAUCAUCAUCUGCAAUUGGAAGUGCAUAGGCCACCAUAUCAUCAAAGCGAGCAGGCAUACGAAUAUCUCUUCUUGGCCUUCUAUAUGCAAUUGAAUCAUGUUGUUGUAGAAGUUCUUGGGUCGAAACUUCUUCAUCAUUUGUUCCUUCAAUAUUAGCUGGAUCAUCAUUAACCUUUUCAAGCUCCACUUGCUGCAAAGUGCCACUGGUUGUGUUAUCCUUUUGUGAAUCAUUAUUUUUCAUCAUGGUUGAUUCAUCAAAAGUCACAUCUCUACUGAAAAUUAUUUUCCUUGUAUCAGGACACCAGAGACGGUAUCUUUUUACUCCACCAGUUAUACCCAUGAAUAAUGCUUUCUUUGCUCUUGAGUCUAACUUAGAUUCUUUUACAUGAUAAUAUGCAGUGGAACCAAAAAUAUGUAAAGAAUCAUAAUCAAUAGCAGGUUUACCAGCCCACCUCUCCAUAGGAGUUUUUCCAUUUAUUGCAGCUGAUGGCAACCGAUUAAUUAGAUGGCACGCAUAUGUAACUGCCUCAGCCCAAAAUUCUUUGCCCAAUCCAGCAUUGGACAACAUACAUUGAACUUUCUCCAGUAUAGUCCGAUUCAUACGUUCUGCCACCCCAUUCUGUUAUGGUGUAUCUCGAACAGUGAAGUGUCGUACAAUACCUUCAUCGUGACAUACUUGUAGAAAUGGAUCAUUCUUGUACUCAGUACCAUUGUCUGAUCGAAGUCGUUUGACUUUUCGACCAGCCUGGGUCUCCACCAUCUUCUUCCAUUUCAGAAAUACAUCCAAAACUUCAUUUUUCCUUUUCAUUAGAUACACCCAUACUUUUCUUGAAUAAUCAUCAACAAAAGUAACAAAAUAGUGCAUACCUCCCAAAGAAGC